CGGCCAGCAUGCAUACAGGGACUGGUUUCCAUGCUACUGCAAACUGGGCUCCAACUGUUGUUAAAUCACAGGUUACAGGAUUGGAUUUAGAUAAAUCAAUGUAUAACUAUUUAGGUAAAUUAACUGUUGCAACUAUGAAAUUCACUACAGAUCUCGGUAACUGGAGUACUUGUGCCAUCAGGUAUUUAUGGAUGCAACAACAAAGAAUGGCAUUAGAAGACACACUAAUGAUUCCUAAACUAGAGAAGAUUAGAGGGAUGCUUAACCUCACAGAUAAUGAAUGGUUACUUCUGAAACCCCAAUCCACUAAAUGCAAUGAAUGGUUAACUGGUAAUGUUUCACAUUUUUCAUGCUCAUGCUAUUUUACACUAUAUCAUACAUCAUUAAAGGAUGUUAAAUUAGCUUGUCAAUUUAACACAUUACCAGUACCAGUUUAUGAUCUCUUUACCAGGAAUUUAACCUGGUGGGCACCCACAUACACAGGGGACUAUAUUUUCCCCAAAGAUAAUAUGACCUAUUCCCUUAAACACUGUGUUCUCACUGACAAAGGAUAUGCAUGUCGACACUCGUCCCCUAUUUACGAACCAUGCUUACUCCAAAAUGAACUUAACAAGUGCAUAUGGCACAUAUAUCCUGAAAAUUAUUUUACCAUGACUGAAAUAAGCACACGACAUAUCUGUUUGGCAACUAACCUCCCUACAAAGAUAAUUACUAGUAAUACAAGUAUUAAUCUACCUCUCCCCUUUUCAGGAUGUUUGACUAAUGUUACCUGGUUAGAUCUUAAUGACACCCAAUAUUAUUUCAGCGACACAAUCACUUUAGACAAACAUAUUAAUGCCCUAUUAGGCUCUCUGCCUUUUGAAGAUUACCAUCUACCUCUUGAGACUAUUGUCUCCUUAAUGAAAGGAAAACAACAUAUGUUUAAACAUCUUGUUACACAUAAUGAUGCUAUAGUACAGGUAGCCACACAUAUCCUAAAAGGAGAACUCCUUAAGGUGAGUUCACAAAUUCAGAAUGAUUUAGCCCAUCAUUGGUACGAUGCUUUUACAGGUUGGUCCCCUACUGGAUCCCAGAUAAUCAAAUUAUUCUUCUAUCCUCUUGCUAUUAUAGUCCUGAUUGUAUUGGGUAUGAUUUUAUAUAACUGCCAUCUUACUUGUACAUUGAGGAAGAAUAUACAGAAAUUAAUCCAUAAUGCAGAACAGAAACAAUUGGAAAUUCUCCUCUCUGCCACUGGAGGCUAUCAACCCAUCUUUAAAACUGGGCCUUAGGAAUUACCACAUGGGAAUCGAGGUGAAGAAAUUAAUGAAAGUCCCGCAGGGAGUGACUAGCACCCCUGAAAAUACCAUGUGGAGGUUUCUCUGACCUGGGAAGAUCUUAUCAAUGAUAUGAGCAAGUGUAUUGCUCAAAGAGGGGAAUGUAAGGAAGUGAAAUGGUUAACUCUUUUUGCUUUAUAUGCUUUAAAAUAAUGUUUGAAAUAAUUAUGCUGACUUUGGCAGAUGUAUUUUGUACCAAGGUCUUUCCUCUACAGGAUGUAUGACCUUCCUUGACCUUAGGAUGUUCCUGUCUCGUCUUUAUCCAAAUGCUUAUCUUUUUCAUGACCGACAAGUAUGUACUAUUAACUACAAGGACACUAUAGAUCUCACUGCUUGCAUGACAAACUGUGUAUAAAUGCUAGCCCUGAAAAUGUACUCAUUGAGAACUUGUUAGAGCACUCUUUCGUGUCUGUGUGUCUUAUUUGCUAAACAAGAACUCCCAUCAAUUGAUGUGGUGAAUGGAGGAUCGAGAAUCGAGGGGAGUUGAGUCCAGAACAGCAUUUACCCUUUCACACAUGACUGUUCUUUGGAGUCUUAUAGUUUGUACAGUAGUUCGGCAUACAAAAAGAUAUAAUGAGUAACUUUGUGGUUUAGUUAGAUGACCGGAACUGACAUAUUGUAACAACACGGCAGACAGAGGGAACUUGUAACAGGGUGGUUCAGUGUGAGUGUGUUACUAUUUUUUGAGAGGUAUUCAGCCUUCACUGGUAUAGAUAUUAUGGAGCGUCAUGGUUUCUGUCUUGUUUAUCCCUGUGAACUUCCGUGUGUGUUCCCAGUGUAUAUGUAUUACUACUUCUACUCCUACUAUAACAAGAUUCUGAGGUUGUCUAUCUAGCAAGCCUGUAGGUCUUGAGUGUUGGUCUCUGCCAGUGAGGAUUUGGUCCAUGGUUCCCAUGUUUUUGUGUAGGUAGCAUAGUUUUUUGCAAUGGAGAAUGUGAUUUCUUCCAUUUGUCUCACCCCUUCCACCCUUUUAACCCAUUCCCUUACUGUGGGAGGUUUAGUCUGUUUCCAGUGUAGUGGGAUGCGAUUUUGUUUGCUGCUAUUUUUAAGUGGGUGGUUAAGGCUGUAUUCUGUUUUUGUCGUUCUCGGGGGGUGGCAGAAGGAAGAACAGGUAUUCCAGUGAGAAUAGGAUUUGCACACCCGCAAUCAUUUGUGUCAGUGUGUGUAUGCGUCUCCAGUAUUUUGUUAUCAUUGGGCACUGCCACCAGAUAUGUGUUGGGUUGGUGGCUGGUUGUUCACAUUUCAAACAUUUGUAUUUAGCUCCAUCGUAUAUUUUGUGUAUUUUCGCUGGGGUGUAGUGCCAGCUAGUGAUUCGCUUGUAAUUACUUUAUUCUGUGGUGAGGAUAGUGGACGUCUUGUGGGCCCUGAGAAAGAUAUUUUGCCAUUGGUCUUGUGAUAUGUCUAAUGUUAGUUUGUUUGCCUAUUUCCUUGUGAGCUGCGGGAGUUCAGCUGUUUGCUCUUUUUGUAGAAGCGUGUACAUGGUGGAUGUUUUUCGUUUGAGGGGGUGUGUUAGGCAUAAUUUCUCGACGGUCGUGGUUUCUCUGUCACCAUAUGGCAGUAGCUUCAAACUUCGGAUAAAGUGGUUGAGCUGCAUAUAGUAUAGAUGUUGUGUGCCCGUAGGGGACCGUGUUGUAAAAAGGAAGUGUAUGUCUUUUAGUUUGUUCCCUUGGACCCAUUCUCUUUAAUAUUUUUAUUAGUGAUAUUGCAGAAGGUAUUGAUGGUAAGGUAUGUCUUUUUGCUGAUGAUACUAAGAUAUGUAACAGGGUUGAUGUUCCAGGAGGGAUAAGCCAAAUGGCAAAUGAUUUAGGUAAACUAGAAAAAUGGUCAGAGCUGUGGCAACUGACAUUUAAUGUGGAAACGUGCAAGAUAAUGCAUCUUGGACGUAAAAACCCAAGGGCACAGUAUAGGAUAUUUGAUACCCUACUAACCUCAACAUCUGAAGAAAGAGAUUUAGGAGUAAUUAUUUCAGAUGACUUGAAGGUAGGAAGACAAAGUAAUAGAGCAGCUGGAAAUGCUAGCAGAAUGCUUGGUUGUAUAGGGAGUGGUUUUAAAAGAGAGACGUGCUCAUGCCAUUGUACAGAACACGGGUGAGACCUCACCUGGAGUAUUGUACGCAGUAGUGGAGACCGUAUCUUCAGAAGGAUAAUUAUACUCUAGAAAGAGUUCAGAGAAGGGCUACUAAGCUGGUUCAUGGAUUGCAGGAUAAAACUUACCAGGAAAGGUUAAAGGAUCUUAACAUGUAUAGCUUGGAGGAAAGACAAGACAGGGGGGAUAUGACAGAAACAUUUAAAUACAUAAAGAGAGUCAACACAAUAAAGGAGGAAACUAUUUUAAAGAAGAAAAACUGCCACAACAAGAGGACAUAGUCUUAACUUAGAGGGGCAAAGAUUUAAAAAUAAUAUCAUGAAGUAUUACUUUUACUGAGAGGGUAGUGGAUGCAUGGAAUAGCUUUCCAGCUGAAGUGGUAGAGGUUAACACAGUGAGGGAGUUUAAGUAUGCGUGGGAUAGGCAUAAGGCUACCCUAGACUUAAGAUAAGGCCAGUGACUAAUUAAAAGUAUUUCGAAAUAUUGGGCAGACUAGAUGGGGCGAAUGGUUCUUAUCUACCAUCACAUUCUAUGUUUCUAUGUCUUGGAGCCAUAAAUAAGACCCCUCUAAGCUAAGCUGUUUUGUCCAGUUGGAGAAUUGUGCUUGUAAAAGGGGGUUGUGUGUGAGAGGGUAUAGUGGUGAAGGGUAUAAUAAAACGUGUUUGUUUCGGGUAAUAGUUGACCAUUAGCUGUGAUCGUCGAGUAGCUGUGAUCGUCAGAUGGUGUUUGUGUCGUAUGAAUAUGAGGCCUGACUUAUGCCAUGGGAUCAUCAUAAUAGGAGCUUCCAUGAAGGCAGCCUCUAUUUUCACCCAUUGAUGGGUCAUGGUCUUGUUUGCCCAAUCAUAUACCCUUGCUAGGUGAAUGUCCUUAUGGUAUGGCUCCAUGUUAGGGAGCCCUGUCCCCCCCCUUUUUCCCGGGGUUAAGUCAGAAGAGAGUUGGCAAGUCGGGGUGUGAAUAUGACCAUAAGAAUGCUGUAGUCAGUGUCCUAAUUGUGUCAAAGAAUUUCCUGGGGAACGCCUGUAGUACGUAGAGAAUACAGGGCAGUAGAUUCAUUUUUAGAAUGUUCAGUCGAUUGAACCAUUCGUAACGUGGUUUGUGCCAGUUUUUCAUAUCCUUGGCUAUGGUCGAUAGAAGAGGGGGGAAGUUUAGGUCAUAUACUUGAGGGAUCUUGUGUGACAGAUGUACUCCUAGGUACUUAAUGGAUGUAGGGGCCUAUGUGAAGCAAAAUUGCUGUUGCUGUUGUAUAUUUAUGUCUGGUGCCGUAUUAAAUGGUAAUAACUCACAUUUGGUUAAGUUGGCUCGGAAGUUGUAUAUAUUGCCAUAGGCUUCCAUUUCGUUUAGGAUGUGUGGGAUGGCUGCAAGUGGGUCUGUUAUUGUGAAAAAAAGAUCAUCAGCGAAUGCUGAAAUGUUGUAUUCCUCUCUCUUGACAUUGAGUCCCUGGAUUAGCGGGUUAUCCCUAAUUCCCUGUAGAAAUGGUUCUAGGACCAAUAUAAAUAGGAGGGGGGAAAAGGGGGCAUCCCUGUCAUGUCCCGUUGGUUAUUUGUACCGGGUUAGAUAGUAUCCCGUUAAUUCAGAGUUGUGCAGUGGGUGACAAAUAGAUCACACUUAUCUAGUCUAACCAUCCUGGCCCGAAGCCCAACUUCUCAUCAUAGCUGCCAUUAGUAACCAGUCCACCCUGUCAAAUGCCUUUUCGGCAUCUAUGGCUAGCAAUGCACUCGGCUUCUUGUUCAUUUUCGCUCAGUGCAUUAGAUUUAAUAUUUUAGUCAUGUUAUUCUUAGCUUCCCUGCCCGGUACAAAGCUGGAUUGAUCUGGGUGUAUUAGAUCAGGGAGUAGCGCUUUCAGUCUGGUGGCCAGGAUUUUUGUAAAUAUUUUAAUGUCUACGUUAAUUAGUGAGAUGGGCCUGUAACUGCCACAAUUGAAGAUUAUGCUAGCGCAGUGUACUGAUAAUCUUAAUUUUAAUAAUGACAGGAGGCGAAUAUUUUGCAUUAACUUUCUUUACUAGCUCCACAGCAGCAAAGAAAAAACAGUUGAAAGAAAGAACCAAUCAGCUUGAGUCAGAGAGUAUAUAAGUUCUAGCCUAGCCAUUCAUUUCCUCUUGAAUAGUGCGACAUCACAAGUACAUAGUAUGAUAACGAGUCUUGAAUCAACUUGAAACAACUAUUCCAACUUGGAAACUUUAGUAGCGUAGCCAAACGUCUUCAGGCAACAUAAACUUGACACCAGAUUCCAGUACGUUCGGUAUCUUGUUAAGCUGAAAGGAGAAAGGAGACUAGUAUCAGUGAUACGGGACCGACCUUAUGGCAUACAUGUUUAUAUGAAUGUUGACAGUAUGACUGUUAAACUAGCUUUUCCAUAUUAUCUGAAAUUAGUCCCUUUCUACGCUAGACAGAAACAAAUGUAAAGAGUACCAUAAAAACAUCUCACGAUAUAGAUAUAUAAACCAGUAUCAAGAUGUCACCUGGAAUCCACUUACCUUAUUAGGGUGGGAACUUCAAGAUGAAGGGAGGGAAAAUAUUCGCCUCCUGUCAUUAUUAAAAUUAAGAUUAUCAGUACACUGCGCUAGCAUAAUCAUCAAUUUUACCACAUGACAGGAGGCUUCAUAUUUUCCAAUUUUAACGCUCAGGAAGAAGGGCGAAUGCGGCAUUGGACGACUGGCGAAAAUAGAUUGUCCGAAACGUCUAUUUGCGUGACCAGUCGGCAGUUUGCAGAAUGUCUGAUAGUGAUGCGCCUGCUAAGAAAGCAGCUGAUGCCGCCGCCGCCCGCACAGAAUGUGCGCCAAAGGAUGAUUCUAUGCCGGCUAGAGAAAGGAGCCAUCUGAUCCAUCUGGAUAGGGUGGUUACUGACACUGGUCCAUGUGGACUGACAUAUGAUACCAGCAAUUGUCUUGCUGUUGGUGAAUGCAAUGUCUCUGUGGCUGUGAUAUAAGCACAAUUGAGGAUCCGAGGUGAAGAAUGGGUAAAACACUGAUGACAAGUCCGAUUUGGUCCUCAGUGAAAUAUGGAAUGUAACCCCUUCUGGGUUUAUAGAAAAUGCAUCUUUAUCGAACGCCCUAACAUCUGAUACCCUACGGAAGGAAACCAUGCACAGUAGGAAUGUGAAUUUCGCCGUCAGUUGUUUUAAUGAUAGUAGUUUGUUAGGGGGCCAUCCUCUUAGAAAACGGAGUACUACGUCCACAUCCCAUAGGUGUCGAUAUUUUGGUGCUGGAGGUCGUCUCAGCUUGAUGCCGCAUAACAGUCGACAGAUCAAGGGAUCUUGUCCUACCGGUCUACCCUGGGACGGCACGUGGGCUGCCGAGAUGGCGGGUCUGACCACGUUGAUGGGGUGAUACGAUUUCCCCUCUUCGAAUAUCUUCGCUAGGAAGUUCAUGAUAUCGGAUACAGGGCCAUAAAGGGAUCCAGGUUCCGCCCUAUGCACCAAUCGGUCCAAGAGUGCCAUGCUGAUAAAUAACUCCUUCGUGUUCCAGGGGCCCAGGAGUCCCAUUGGAGGUCCUUAGUUGUUGCCGAUAGGUUUCUGGUACUCCAUGCUCCCCUGAAAGAUUCCAGGCUAUAAGCGACAGGCUGACGUCUAGGAGCAUCGGGUGUGUCUCCCCCAUUGGGUUUCUGAGUAGGUUGUAAUCGCUCGCUAGUAGGAUUGGAUCCUGCCAAGCCAGUUUGAGCAGAUCCGGAAACCACAGUUGGCUCGGCCAGUUGGGUGUCAGGAGCGUUACUCUCACUCCCCGUCGUCGUACCUGGUGAAGAACCCUCGCGAUCAUGGCGAAUGGGGGAAAGGCGUAAGCUCCUCGUGGGGGCCAAUGUUGGGUGAAGGCGUCUACCGCCAGGCAUUCCGGGUCUGGAAGCCAGCUGUAAAACUGUGGUACCUGGUGAUUGUUGCAGGAGGCAAAUAGGUCCAGUGUGAAGGGCCCCAUCUGUUCUUUCAGAAGGGCAAAUAUCCGUGGGUCCAGUUGUCAAUCGCUGACGUCUCUCCAGUGUCGGGAGUACCAAUCUGCCGUACGAUUCGAUUCCCCUGGCAGGUAUUCUGCUUGUAUCGUAAUGUUGCGUGGGAGGCAGUAGUCGAAAAUCUCCUUCGUCAGCUCCACCAGUGUUUGGGAGCGUGUACCACCAAGGUGAUUGAUGUAUCUCACCACCGAUAUGUUGUUCAUCUGAAGAAGAAUACAACAAUUGGAUUGUCCUUUCGCCAGACUGCGUAUAGCGAAGGAUCCCGCUAGCAGUUCCAGGCAGUUGAUGUGCAGUGAGAGUUCUUGGUUUGUCCAUGUUCCUCCAGUGGAUGCCUCCCCGUCCGUGGCACCCCUUCUCAAGCGUCUGGCGUCUGAUUCCAGCACAAAAUCCGGAUGGGUGCCGAAAAUGGCUCGGCCGUUCCAAGCGUGCAUACAAUUGAGCCACCAUUCGAGUUCCUGUCAUACCUCGUUCGUUAGCGGGACUGAUUGGUUGUACGUAGGGUUUUGUCGCAAGAAGCGGGCUUUCAAUUGUUGCAUGGCUUGGUAAUGCAGGGGGCCCGGAAAUAUGGCUUGUAUCAAAGAGGACAAUAGGCCAACGAUCCGUGCUAGUUGUCGCAGUGGAAUGGAAUCGCAUUUGAGUACUCUGCAAAUUUCCUUCUUGAUGGCAGUCACUUUGGUAGCCAGGAGAUGCAGAAUGCAGGACCUGGAAGCCCAGGAAUUGAAUGGAUUGUGGGCGUCAUUGCGGAUUUUGCUCUGUUGACUAUGAAGUCCAGGGAUUCCAAUCACUGUACUGUAUAUUCUGUAUGUUGGACGUCUAGAUAAAUGAUGCACCUGAUCCCACGCGUCCUGAGAUGAGAGACUACUGGCUUCAACAUCUUCGUAAAAAACACCAUGGUGCCGAGCUCAGACCGAAGGGGAGACAAGUGAAUUGCCAAGGGGCGCCGUCCCAUAGAAAUCGGAGGAGAGGGCGGCUGUCUGUGUGAAUCGGGAUUGAUAGAUAUGCGUCUUUGAGAUCCAGAAGCGUAAACCAGUCCUUGUCCUGAAGGAGGUCUCUUAGUAAGUGUAUGCCCUCCAUUUUGAAGUGGCGGUAGGUUACAUGGGCAUUCAAUGCUCUGAGAUUGAUGACCGGUCUGAAGUCUCCGGUUUUCUUGCGGACAAGAAACAUAUUGCUGAAGAAGCCUCCCUGUCCCUGGACGGGUUGUAUGGCGCCCUUCGCAUGUAGUUCGCGGAGCUCCAUUUGUAUGAGGUGUGCGUCUGAUGUUGAGAGGUGUAAUGGUGGAGGAGGACAUUCCUGCACCGGGUUUGUCCGUAAUUCGAUGCGGUAUCCUCUGACUGUCUGUAGUAUCCGGGCAUCUGAGUAUAGUUCUGCCCAAUUCUGGGAAAAAAGAGAAACAGGGUAUGCAGACAUGGUUAGUUGGGACAUAGCUAUAGGUUGUUUUCUUACCUGUGGGAAGUCUUGCUCGGGCUCGUCCGCGACCUCCAUGUCCUCUGUCCGUACCCCUCUGAUAGUAGGGGUAGCUCUGUCGAGAUCCUGUUUCUUGGUAACCCUGGUAAAAUUUCUGUGGGUGUCCCGUGCGGGGGCCCGAUGGCCAGAAUCGGCUGGUGGCACGGCCCCGUUGCCGACCAGCCCUGGGAAAAACACCUCUUGUGAGAUUGCCACGGAAAACCUUCCGCAUGGAUGACCGGGCUUGGUUUAGUGAGGUGAAGACAUUGACAUGUUUGUUGAGCUCUUUGAGGAAGGCCUCCCUGUGCCUGUGGGCCCAAUUCUUUUACCCUUAAAUCCGCUAGUUUGGGGUCUAUGUGGAACAGUGCUGCGCGGCGCCGCUCUGUGGAGAGGGCCAAAUUGGUAUUCCUGAGAAAACAGAAGCUUCUCUGGGUCCGUUCGCGGAUGUCAUGUGCCCAUUCUCUUACCAUGUCCGCAUUAAAAGAGUCCGCCCUGGCAUAGGCGUCAUCCGCCAAAUACAUUACAGGAGCUUGUCUUGCUCCCCUCUCAGACUACUCUCUAUCCCUCUGCGGGGGUCUCGACCUCCCUGCUCCAUGAAUGUCAGCAUAAGCACACUCGGGUGUGAAGGCUACUUUAUUGGGUAGUGAUGGUCUUGGGCAUUCCGCUCUCAUCCGCUUGCGUACGUGCUUCUCCAGGGGUUUGCGGAUCCAGAAAUGCAUAAACCUGAGGAGAUGCUCAGGUGGGGCCCAUUCCCCUGAUCGGGGGUGCUGAAUAUUUCUGGGAUCGAACAUCCUGUGCCCUGUGGUGUCUAGAAACACCUCUUGAUCCUGUGAGAGUUUGGUUGAGGCAGAAGCUUCCUCGUCUCCUUUACCCUGGGGCUCACCCAGGAAGGUCUCCGUAACGUAGGUGUUAGAGCCCCAAUCGUCUUCGUCCGAUUCAGAGAUGUCCGCCUGCCAUUCAUCAAGAAUGGAGAGGGAGUGUGGCAUAUCUUGUUCCUCAUCCUAGGAGAUGUCCUUAGCGGGUUUUGCCAUAGGACCCUUACUGCGCUUCAGGGGCGCUUUGCCUUUGUUGGUGGCUUUUUUAGAUACCUCGCCCUUCCAGUGGCGUUUAGCCGGGCGGUGUUUCUCCUGAGAGGAGUCAUCCGACACCUCUGAGUCUUCCUGGUCACGAGGCCGUCUACUAGCUGACUUGCUAGAUGCAGUGGCCGGUGUUAGCACUUUCGCCAUUACCUUCUCCAAUGAGGCGGCUCCUGCCGCAUUAAUCACGGCCUGGAGCUCGCUAGUGUUCUGAUUAUCCCCCAUAGUGAAGGCACUAACAGGCACAGGGUUGUGGUUAGAUACGUGGGAGUUGGAUUGCAUGGGGGGGGGGGAAUAUGACAGGCCGAUGGCCGUAUAUUAAUCGCUAGUGGCAAGCGACAAGCGGACUCUGUACUACUGGGGCUCACCCAGUCAGUCGGAACUGCUUGAACAGAUUCCGUUAGGCAGCACUGCGUGACCUUUCCCAAAUGGGGGCUCACCCCUAGCCAGGUUACUGGGUAUAAAACCUAACUGGCUGUCCCACUCCCUAGGGAUAUAACACCCACCUUGUACACUCCAACAUUAGGCACUUUGCCCAGCGAUCAACUGUCUCUUUAAAUGAGCCUGGUGUGAUGAGAGUUGGACUUCCUCACAAGCCUCACGAAAUGGUCGCCGCGGUGAACAGGAAGAGAAAAAGCCCGCGAAGGCAGACAAUGAGCAGAUCCUAAACCAUUCGGUAGAACUCGCGAACGGCUCAAUUCACGGAUUUGCGAGCAGCCGAAUUGCUUAUGUGAAUCCAGUCCGUUCGCGUGAAUACACUGGUAUAGAGUGUUCGCGGGUGCGCACGAACGGAGCGCAUUGUGCCGUUCGCGCCUUUGCUGGCUGGGCACGCGCGAACCUAGGGCUAGCUUGCUCUAUUCGUGCGGAGAAGUGCACGAACAGAGCAGUGAGCCCUCUAGGAAAGUGGCGAACGUAGCCACUCGAGGAAUAGGGAAAGGUAGGGGGGAAGGGGGAUGAGGCUACCCGUGGUGUGAGGUGAAGCAGGGAAUCCCCUGAAUGGCAAAACCGUUAAAGGGGUACCCUAAAUAAGUGACCCCUUGCCACCCCCCAGUAGCUGUAUAACCUUAAAGGUCCCAGUAUAAAGAAAAUUAACUUUAUCAAAUUAACACAGAUAAAAUAGUUAAGGAAGUAUUACUCUGACCUGACUUGUGAUGGAGCAGCAAAGAAAGAGGAAAUGAAUGGCUAGGCUAGAACUUAUAUACUCUCUGACUCAAGCUGAUUGGUUCUUUCUUUCAACUGUUUUUUCUUUGCUGCUGUGGAGCUAGUAAAGAAAGUUAAUGCAAAAGAUGAAGCCUCCUGUCAUGUGGUAAAAUUCAGGGGGUCCUUGCCUGGUUUUGAGAUUAAGUUUAUGGUUGUUUCCAAUGCCUGUGUGGGCAGUGAUUGGGAUGAGGUUAGGGAGUUAAAGGUGGUGAGGAAUGGUUGUGCUAGGGCCGGGGCCAUGAUUUUGUAGUUUUUGUUUGUGUAUCCAUCUGGUCCCGGGAUUUUACCUAAUGUGGUGUGUCUGAUUGUUUGGUGUAAUUCGUCCAGUGUGAUUGGAUUGUCAAGGAAAUUCAUUAAGUUAUUUGGUAUUGUGGUCAUGGCUUAUAGUGGUCAUGGUGUGAGCUGUCGUGGUCUAUAGGGGUGUGAGUUCGUCAAUUGGGUAGAAAACAGUUUGAACACUCUGUAUCAACAAUAAUGUAGAACACAAUAAACCUUUUGCACUUUAUAUACAAUGGUUACUUGAAAACAAGAUAAUAACAGUAGUUAUAACAAAUAAUUCCCAAUAAACUGGUCGGGUAUGGCGAAUAGCUGUCGGUACGUAGGGCGUUGGGGAAGUGUGGGGGGGGCUCCAAAGGUAUGAGCUAUAGUGCUUGGGUAAUCUUUAGGAGCGUCGCCAUCCCCCAAGCUAUUGGUAAGCAAUGUAACCUCUGUGGUUAAUACUUUUCUAUCUCUAUGCGGGAGAUAGAAAUAAUUUGUUUUGGGUGUGUGGCAUAGGGUAAUUUUUAUACGUAGGAGCAGGGCCGGACUGGGAAAAAAAUUAGGCCCUGGCAUUUUUCAAUUAGAGCGGCCCCCCAAGAAGGGGGCGGGGCCAGAGAGGGUGUGUUUUGUCAUCACUAAUGACAAGCAUGCCCCCUCUCAAAGUGAGCAUGUUGGUUCAAUGCGCAGAGCCCCGCUGAAGAGCUCUAGCAUUAGAAAAAGGCCCUGUAUUUGUUCUGCACAAUGCAAGCAAAUGUAAUAACAUGCUUGCGCUGUGUUUGCUUUUAAAUUGUCUCUGGUGUCUCCACAAGUGGGAUACCAGAGGACAAAAGGGCCAGGAGAGUGUAUGUUGCAUGUAUUUGGCCCAUGCUUGUGGGAUUGCCUGUGUGUAAAGUGUGGUGUGGUAUUGUGUAAAUAGGUCAAUUUUGUGGUGUAAUAUGUGUGGCUGUAGAGAGUGCAUGUAUAGGGGCAUAAUGUUAUAGGGUAUGUAGCGAGUAUGUGCAUACGGGCAGUAGUGUGUGUGUAUAGGUGACAUAGUGUGUGUAGGGGUUGUAGAGAGGGUGUGUUUAGAGAAUGUUGUAUAUGUUUGCUUACCAGGAAUGUAGUGUGUGUGUAGGUGGUGCAGUGUGUGUGUAAGAGAUCUAGUGUGUAAAGGACCCAGAGUGUGUAUAGAAGAUUGUGUGUGUGUGUGUGUGUGUGUGUGUAGAGGAUUAAGAGUGCAUACAGGGUAAGGGAUCUAAUGUGUAUCUGGAGCGUAAUGUGUGUAGUGGUGCAGUGUGAGGGGUGCUGUAGUGUGUGUGUAUGUGUAUGUGUAUAUAUAUAUAUAUAUAUAUAUAAUAUAUUUGGACGUAUUGUAUGUGUGAGGUGCGCAGUGUGUUUGUGUAAGAGGGGUGCUGUGUGUUAGGGUGUUUUUAUCUGCCGUCACAUUCUAGGUUUCUAAUUUUCUAUGUCUUUUAACUCACUGAGGGUUAUUUUAUAAUAUAUAUAUAUAUAUAUAUAUAUGUGUGUGUGUGUUUGUGCUGUAUAUGUGUGGGAGUGAGGGUGCUGUCUGUCUGGGGGUGCUGUGUGUGUGUCUGGGGGUGCUGUGUAUGUCUGGGGGUGCUGUGUGUGUCUGGGGGUGCUGUGUGUGUGUCUGGGGGUGAUGUGUGUGUGUCUGGGGGUGAUGUGUGUGUCUGCGGGUGCUGUGUGUGUGAGGGGGCUGUUAGGGAAUUUAUUUUAAAUAUUUAUUUUUUUAUUAAUAAUUUAAAAAAUAAAAAGUUAUGUCCCCCCCCCCUUCAGUCUGGGAAGGGGGAGAUCCGUUUUGCCUGGGGGUGGAGAGCCGGGUAUCCAUGGAGGAGGGAGCCGUGCUGCCUUCCCUGGUGGUCCAGUGGUGAGAGUGAACUCUAACCCGCAGGCUAGAGUUCACUCUGGCGAGAUCUGAGCGUUGCCGUGGUAACCGCGGCAAUGCUCAGAAUCCCGCGAGAGGACCCGGCGGAGCUGCUGGUUAGAGCUCCGCCGGGUCCUCUCUCCUGCCUCCAUACCCAGCCUGCGGCCGCCUGUGACACUGCCUGUGGGCCGGUGAGGGAGAUCUUUGAUCUCCCCACCGGCCCAUGGAUGCACACAGCAGGGCUGGCGCUCGGGUAGCGCUGGCCCUUCAGGGGCCGGCCGGGGAGAUCCUGUGAUCUCCCUGCCGGCCUCGGCUCCACGGCCAUCGCGGCCCACCGGGCAUAUGCCCGAUGGCCAGUCCGGGCCUGCGUAGGAGACUGUUAGGACAUUUCUGUCCUGCCAACUAGAGGGGGGGGGGGAUUGUUGAACAUCAGUAAGCUGUAUCAUGAAGUUACAUUAAUAAACAUACAUGUGGGUAUUUACAGGACAAGUGGGUUUCAUACAACCUGUAUGGCUAUGUGUUUAAACACUUUGAUUGUUGAAAGAGUUCGUAAUGGGUUUGGGCAUAUGCGUGAAUCCUCCGUGCUCUGCGGAGUUAAUGAGCUAUGGUAUUGGUAGUGUUCGGAGGUCACUGGAGUCUUUCUUGUUUGUGAAGUGAUCAUUCCUCAGAGCUAAUGUGGUUAAUAGUUUGAGUUCGAUGCUAGUUCAGCGUGAUGUGUCCAAGCAUGUAAUCAGGUGUAAUAGGUUGUCAGUCUUUGUGGGUAACGUAAUGACCAGCAGAGAGUCCAACUGUUGUGUGAGGUGGGAGGUUUCAUGGUUAUUCGGCCAGACCUCCUUGCUCCUGUCGUUGUCUUCUGUGGGGCGAGAUGAAUCAAGGGUCCGGUUUCCUCUUUUUGGCUGGGGAAUUCCAUCUUUGGCGUUGUGGUAGGCUCGCUGGCUCUGGGUAUGGUUGUGGAGAGUACCAGUCCAGAAUGUGUGUGUCGGGCAUUUCAAGAGCCUUCAGAAAGGGUUAUACAUCAAUAUGAGAGGAGAUUGCAUGGGUGGUACCCUUAUGUUUAACUAUUAGGGUGAAUGAGAAGCCCCACCUGUACUUCAUAUUACGGGUUGUGGAGGUGUUCAGUGAUCGGUUUAAGUGCCCUUCUGGCUUGUAGCAAGAGGUCUGGGUAAACUUGCACUGAGUGUCCAUGGUAUAGGGGGCGGGGAGUGACAUGUCCCUUAGGGCCCUCAGUAUGUUAUCAUUCACUGAGAAGUAAUGAACCCUGCAUACUAUGUCUCUAGGCAUGUCCAUGGCUGGGCCUCUUGGUCUCAGCAACCUGUGGGCUCUGUCCAGAAUGAUGAGAUUGUCAGUCAUUUCCCAAGGUUAAAGAGCUUGGUAAGGGUCGCCGUUAUAUCUUCUCUUUGGAUUUCCAGUAGGCCCCGCACCCUCAAAUAAUUCCUUCGAUCUCUAUUAUCUAGGUCGUCCAUCUGGCGUUGGAUACCCGCCAUGUAUUGUGUAUGGGUAUUGUUAAGACCCUCUCAGCUUAAAUCAGUGAAACCGCCGUUUAGGUGAUCUUCUCCCUUCGAGACACCGGCUCUGCUGUUGUGGACCACCAAACUCCCGAACGGAGUGUAAGGGAAUACUUCAAUCUCCUGAACAAGGAAUCAGCUGAACUCCUUCUCCACUAGAAUAGGCGAAAUAACACUUCCAAGUAUCAAUCCCCCCAAACACGAGACGAAGCUCCGUCUUGAAGGUAAAACAGGAACUUGCUUUAAUGAAGGCUACCUUCCCGUUAUUUAUGCAGGUCUCCCACCUGGAAGUACAGUGGCCAAUCACAGUGGCUCAGGAAUAAAGACUCCCCUUUGUACAGGUAAAUCCCUCCUCUCUAUCCUGGAGAUAAUUGGGAAGAAAUCCAAUUAUCUCCAGGGAUAGAGACAAAUCGCCAUUUUACAUAGCAUAAUAAAAACACAUAAAAAUCAAUACCUUUAAAACUACCGAAUGCUUCUAGUUUGUGUAACAUAUCCCCAGAUAGCCUGGGUCUGAGUGCACAUAACUACAGAAUAGCGCUCAGACCCAAUGCACACAGUUCAAUCGCCAUGGAGUCAAAGUCUUUCACAUUGCUCUUUCGGUAUACGAUUGACUCCAUGGGAUGACUAGCUAGGUUAAGUCCAUUCGUGUAAUAAAACUCCUGAACAGACCGGCGUUAGCAUGCCCGUGAAUAAGAAGGGCAGUCGGCAGUUUCAGCGGUGUUCGGUAGAAAAAGUGUCAGUUUUUAGUUCCAUAAGUUCUUCGUCGAACACCGCUGUUCAUCGUGGUCGGCAUACAAAUGACGACCACCCUGCAUACAGUUAGAAUGAAGAGGUGUCUGCGGUUAACCACAACGUUCUAAUUGAGGCCAAUAGGUUAACCAGCAGAACACUUCUCUUCUGGGUGGCCUUCCGUUCGGUAGUUUUAUUCGGUAUAUUUUGCAAUAAACAAACAGGGGCAUACGGGCAGGUAAUUCCACGAAUGUAGACAAAACAGACGAACCAGCAAAAUAGGAUUCAGACAGAUGGAUCUGUCACAGGUAUCUAUUGUGGAGGAGAGGUGUUGGAUUUGGGUUUGCAGAACAUCCCUUUCUUCUUCUAAGUCGGUAACUUUGUGACUGACUUGUAUUUCGGAGCCCAACACCUCCAUUUUAGAUUGAAAGGUUGCUUUCAACUUGCUCAGCAUGUUGGCCAGAUCCUCUUUUGAUGGCAGGUUUUUGAGUAGCUCCCAUAUAUCAAAGUUCUUAGUUAUCUCCUGGGACUUGUAUGAGCCUUUGGAUGGUGCAGGGCUGGGUGGCUGAGAGUCAGAUUGAUUUCCUUUCAGUGCCAUUUUGUUUUCUACAGCCUCCGCCUCGCGGUCUGUCGUUUCUUUAAAGUAUCGUGUUAGAGAGCUCGUUUUUUUCUACGGUGUUCUCCCUGGAGUACUUUGAGAGUUAUUUUUUCUUUUGGGGUUCCCCAUAGUUGAUGUAGGUCUCCUGUUAGAGUGGAUUAUCGGUUGAGCUAUGAGAAGCUGAACUAGUGCACGUCCAUUCAGCUCCGUGGUUAGGCCAUGCCCCAAUCUCCCUCUUUUGUUAGUAAAUAAAGGUAUCAUUUAUACAAUGUUUGCUUAUUUUAUUCACAGUUCACAGUACUUUUAUAUAAGUUUAAAGAGACAAAACUGAUUUGUGCGUGGGGUCACACUAUGAUGUAAAAUCUGCAAUGUUUUUAUUUUCCAUUGGUGGAAAUGAUUAACUUACAACAAAACAAAAAACACUCAACAAUGCAACUAAUAUAUAUGUAUUAAGGCAAUUUGCCUGGAUUUGUGGGAGGUGCUUGGUAUACACUCAUAGCCUAUUUAAGGCACACCCCUUACCUUGGUCCUUACCGUUUGAGGUCAGCGUUGAAUGAGGAUCCACUUCCGGGUUCUCUCAGACGCCAUCUUGGUUUUUCAGUAUCCACAAGGUUUACCGCGGCAAGCUGUGUCCAGGAAUCCUGUUCAGGCCUUUUCCAUACGUCCAGCUUCUUCUGACCCCGGUCAUCGUCGUAGAUCGCGUCCCAGGGACUCCUAAAACGUAAGUCUGACCUACCUGUCACGCCAGAAUCGGUUCCCAAUGCGUACGGUACAGCACGGGUCCUCGCUUUAUGUUUUUUUCCCUGUUAUGUCACAAAGUGCACAAGCCGUUAGCGGUUUUCAUUCGUACGGGAAUUCGGCUAAAUCGGUAUAUUCGUAUAAGUGGUCAUUUCGCAUAUAACUAUUCCGUGUUACAGUGAACAGGUUAACAUUUCGGUUGUUUUGCCAUUCUGCACUUUUUCAUGAUAUGCUCAAACACGAUUAAGGUUCGUAUAAAUUUCAUACGUUUAAACUAUUCGUUCCAACUUCUGUUUUCCCUCACAUUGGGUUUCGGUUUUAUUUCUAUGUGUUUCGCAUAAUCCUUUCGUGGAUUACAUUCACCAUUUCAUGUAUAUACCAUUUAGGUAACGAAUUGCUUGGUUAAAUAGACAGAUUAUUUCUAUUACUGUUUAAAGGUAUCAGCUAUUGUAUUAUGUCCAUAAAAAAACCAUGCUCGCUUAUCUGUAUGGAUCAUUUUGACUCCCACGCUUUCAGGGGUCUGCCAUACUUAUCCAUUCAUUCAAAUGGACUCAGCCUACAUUACAGGCCUCAUUUCUGUGUUAUAACUACAACACAUACAUAAGGAUACAGUUUCCUUUUACAAGCAUAAAUUCUCGGGUUGGAUCAUGUCCUGAUCCAACCAAUCAUACGUCUUUUUCAAUACAGAUAAAUCAUAUAUACAACUUUACAUCACUUUAAGGCAUUUUUGUGUAUCCCUGCCCCUUUCUGUUAUUUUAUUACAUAUCAUACUAUAACGCUGUUUAUAUAUAGGCCACGGCCUCCCUCAUCCAUGUUCUUUUCUAUUUGACACCAUCAUACAUUCCCCACUGUUUUAUACAGAACUAUGCAUUAAAGACACGGCAUCACUUUGCCUUGGUAACACAUUUAUACUCUCAUGGUAUAUCACUACACUUCAUUUACCAAGUAAUACGCCAAUCAAGCCUUAAAAAACAUCACUGGUACGGGCUACACAGUCUACUUCAUUUCCACACAGUCCACACUCACUAUAUUACUCUCUUUUACCCAUUUUUCAGGCAGUCCAGGUUUAAAUAGAUAUUUCACCACACAGUUUCCUGUGAGAUAUUCAUACUACCAGGUACGUACACCUGCUCAUAUGGUAUUCUGCCAUACAUUUCAUUUCUCCCCCCUAGGUUAGAGUACUGGAAAUAUGGUCAUAGGCUUCCCAAUAGGUAUUUACCCCUUCUUGGCAUUGCCAUCAGUUAGUGGUCCCACGAGGCCAACACCCCGCCUCAACGUUUCAGAGGCAAAAACCCAUUAGGCCACAUGUUAACUAGCAAUCUCGCAUGUUGCAUAGAGAGGGCCUCACCUGUCACUCCCUUUCCCUGUUUUCUAUGUUACAGUCACCGAGAGGCCUAAAAUUCCUGCCACUACGACAGGUGGCCUCAAAUCCCCUCGCGCCAAAGCAUAGAUAGAGCCUCUCAAGCCACUUGGCAACUAGUAGGGCCUCACCUGUCACCAAAUAAGUGUAAUGUUUCGUCAUCCGGCUUAGCUAGCCUGUGAGUAUGAUUUUGGUGGUUUUCAUACACUAAUUAUUUGUUUUGGUUAUAGUAUGUCUCAGGAAGGGGUAGAGGAUUUCUCCCUGCCUAGCACUCCGGCUAGAGCUAUCACUCCUACACAACGAGGAGAGGUAAAUAGUCCAGCAUCGAUCAGAUCCCGGACGAUCCCUCGUAUAACUACCGAGUUAAGGAGACGGCAAAUCCCCUAACCCGCUACAGCAAGGAAAGCAGAACUUUUCAAACUGCUACAUACCUCAACAAACAUCAUGGAUCCCGGGGAAGGACCUAGCCAGUCCAACCCAGGAGACAUACAUUCCAUGUUAUCUUCACUCAUGGCAUCCAUGAGCAAGGUCAACUCCAGGUUGGAGAAACUUGAGUCGGUCACCACGGCCCUUACUCUAGCAGGGCCACCCACUGCUGCUUCACAAGAACCAGCCGACCUGCUAUUGGCUCCUCCAGCCAUCAUCUCGGAUGACCAGGAAGUUAGCUGAUGCUUGUGAAGCAGCAGUGGGUGGCCCUGCUCCCUGAGCACAUAAAAAGGGAUAUCCUGGAAGGUAAAGACGUCAACCUAGCUUCCCUGCUGAUUGCCUCCCAGGAUAUUGUGGAAAAUAAGACUUAUGCUUAUGAUGAUGUGUGUGUUGUUGUCAGAUCUAGGGACGCCCGGCUAAACAGGAAACUGACUAUCCCAGAGUGUAACAGAACUAUGCUUUCUGCCUGGACACAUUUACGAAUAGCACAGAUGGAUUUACAAAAGUACCAAAUUGCCUGUUUCAUGUGAAUCACUAUUGCCCAAGAAUGAAUCCAAACUACCGAACACCGGACCACCCUGGGGUGAAAUUAUGUGAUACUUUACCUCCCAGCUCUUUUUCAGCCGUUCGCAUGGUUCAGCAUGAAUCCUUUGUGCCCAGAUUAGGUGGCCACCAUUUCGGGACUUUACAUGUGUUUGCGGCCAUCUUACGCACGAACAGCGGUGUUUGGCAGCAAUCGCAUGGAACUAAAAACGGAUACGCAAACAGGCGAACACUGCUGAGACCUCCGUGACACCAUAGGUUCGUGCUAGAACUACCGAACAACCGGCCAUUCGGUAGAAAGACUAAACCUUACAUGGGGAUUCCAGCGAACACCAAGAUAACUAUGGAUGGCAAGGGUUCCAUGGAGUUUUAAUGCACGAACGAAGACCGACCGCAAGGCCAAAACUUGUGGAACUAUUUUCGGCUAGAAAGUCUGUGCGGUCGGUCAAAACUUCAAAGACCCAUAACUCCCGAACCCUUUAACCGAAUGAGCUGUAAUUUGGAUAUGUUGUUCCCCUGAAUAAGAGCUAUCUGGGGAUACUGGGUUUAAAGAUGUACCCCCUGUUUUUGGGGUACAUCCAGAACUUGGGUAAAAUUGUGUGUGUUUUAAUUAUGUUAAAUGUUUAUCUGAGGGGAGGAGACGUGGGGGUUGUACCAUGUAUGUGAUUGGUUAUUGUGAUAAUUAUGUAGGUGUAGCCCUUUCCAGGGCAGCAUUGCAUAAAAGGAGACCCCUGUCAAUAAACAUUAGUUCUACUUGACCCUUCAAAACGUAGCCUCGUCUCGUUCUUGGAAGGGGAUUUAUUGUACAGUUACUCUGCUUCAUUUUACAGUGAUGCCUGACUCUACCCUUGGAUAUUGUGGAUGGGAAUAAGAACUCCAUUACUACACAGCAGCUUGCCAAGAAAAGGACGUCUACAACGGCAGAUACCCCUUACUACUUGGGUAGCCGUUACAUUGGUGGCAGCGGUGGGAUGGUCCUUUUCAUCCACAAAGCAAGUGCUGAAUGGAGUCCCAGUACGCUUGACUGAAGAGGCCCACACUGAAAGAUCUGUUGGAAACCAGGGGAAGGAGUGCCAGCAACCGACCACGGAGAGAGCUGAUAGCUGACCUACUGGAGCUGGACGAAAUGGAUAGAUCUAUGGAGGUCGCUGAACAAUCUACUCCUGUCAGUGAGGAGGAUGACAUUACCAGCAUUGUACAGCAUGUACCCAGCAACUUCCGUGGAACUAAUUGAACAGCUGUUCCCGGAGGCGAGAGCGGAGAUUCAAGCUAAGAGGGGACACGAAAUUGAGCUGGUAAGAGCUAAACAGCCCAUUACACAGACAGUUCAGACUCCCCCAACCGCUGCUACAGGGAAGAAAAUACCGUUCACUGCGUUUAAAGCUUUUGUGGAAAGUGAGGAAGAAAUUGAUGGAUAUUUGGCUGACUUUGAGAGGCAGUGCUCACUACACCAAGUACCACCAGAGCAAUGGGUCACAUACCGCUGACCUCGUUCGAAUGAACAAAGAUGGCCACCGCCCUCUGUUCGUUUGUUGAAUGGCGGCUACUUCGGCUGCAUCAGAAGUGCCAAUUUAAAGCUGCAGAUCUGCUCCAAUACAAUUUAAAGGGGCAGCAAGUCUUUUAACCCCUGAAGGACACAUGAUGGAAAUAUUCUGUCAUGAUUCCCUUUUAUUCCAGAAGUUGUGUCCUUAAAAUAAAAUAGUCUUUAACAGGCAAUAUCUUCCAAGGGCCAUAGUCUUAAAGGGGCAUUGUUCCCAAAAGUCACAGUAUGUCCCCAGAUAGUUCUUAAAGGGCCAGCAGCAGCAUAAUAAAAGACAAUAUGCCCAAAUACUGUAUUUAAAGGGCCAAAUCCCACAGGGGCCAUAGUCAGCAGGCAGGAGGCGGGCAAACAGGCUUCUCCAAUGCGUUCCACCAUCAUAUUUACGUCAUUCCGCUUCCGGUUUCACCUAAAAUACAUUCAUCUUACUUCCGGGUUUCGGGGUUACAGAUUAUUGGAACGCUACAUGCGUUCCACCGUCCUAUCACUUCCGGUGUCUGUCCCGGCCGAGAUAGGGCUAUUUACUAUAUAUGCAAAGUGAUAUUACAUAAUAUAAUGCAUUCUUUAAUCACAACCCUAAAAAAAGAAACAGAAUAGGGCUCACAUUCAUAUUGCCAUCUGUAGCAUUUUGGAAGACAGCUCAUUUAGAAAAUAAAGGAAGAAAGGGAAUUACUAACUCCUAAAAACUCCUAUCAAAACCUUACAGUGAUUCUGUUACCAUAGUGAUACAUAUUAAAAUAGAUAUAAAAGGACAUACAAUUAAAAGCAUUCAUUUUAACAGAAAAACAUAAUAUAAAACAUUUCACCAAAGUGCAAUAAGUAGGUGAAUUAAAAGGUGAAAAUAUGUUCUUUUUUUUAAUAAAGAAAUAUAGCAAUUUCUAUUGUGAGGUCCUAAAAUGUAAAAAAAAAAAAAGGAAUACAUAUAAAAAAUCUAAAAUAAAAUAUUUGCUAAGUAAAAUAUAUGAAUUUUAUCUUUCAAGCCCUUUUAAUAUUGAAUUAAGAAAGAUAUUAAGAUCAUAUGGAGUCAAUUUAUAAAAUGGCACAACUCGAAAUCUUGAUUUAGACCAUGGGGAAUUAGCGUGUUAAAAUUAAAUAUACACUUCAUCUCCUCUAUUCCAAUUUUUUUCGUGUAGUUGCCUCCUCUUGUAGCGGAGGAGCAGGGGUUAAUCCAAUGGCUCUCCGCUGGGAACAAAGAGUCAGCAUACAAAAUCACAGGAACACAGCAUAAUCCACCUCCCCAAGGACUAGACGACACAUAGUCUGGGAGUCAACUGUCAGCUUUAUUCACAGGUCUGCUUUUAUGCAUUUCUCCCAUGCAAGGGAUUAUUACAGUAGCCAAUUGUAACCUGGUCACCUCCCCUCCCUCUCCUCCCCUUAGAUUAGCCCUUAAACAGAUUAGUGGGGACAGAGUUUUCCCCACUUUCUAGAUGUCCCCUAAAUACAGGGGGUACAGGGACAAAUAAGGGGUCCCCUGGUAGAUCUGAUCUGGGUGAGCAACAUACUCGAAAUUCACCCAGAUCGGACCAGGGGUUCGGGAGUUACAGACAGUUAAAGAUUUGACCGACCGCAGGGACUCAGUAGCCGAAAACAGUUCCAUGAAUUCUGGCCCUGCGGUCGGUCUAUUUCAGUGAAUUAACAAUACCGAAUAACCUAGCCAUCCAUGCGAUUGCAAGCCUUCGCAUGAAUCCCCUCGUUUAGGGGAAUCUAUCUACCGAACGCCGGGGCGUUCGUGUGUUUGAUUCGUGCUGUCGGAGCAUGCUGGAGGUCUCAGCGGUACUUGGUUAGUCGAAUGCCCGGUUUGAGUUCCAGGCGUUCGACAACCAAGUACCGCUGUUCGUGUGUAAAAUGGCCGCCGCCACGUGUUCAGUAUGCAAAAUGGUGGCCACACAUACAGGUACUUAAUUCCCUCGCAACAUUGAAUCGUUCAGCUAAUUGGAAACACACGACCACCCCGGGGUGGUCUCCCGUUCGGUAGUUUCGGCCAUUCGCCUAAAACCAGCAAUAUAACAGGAAAGUCCAUUCGGUUAGUUAUUCCCUUGGUGAAAAUCCCUCAUUCACACAGAAUGAUCAGUUCCAGUGGCAGGGUUUGCCACACCUCUCCAGUCUUUUCUUACAAGUUUAAUUGCACAGAAGAAAAGGCCCUCCGGGUUUUGGUUAUGCACUAGCUUAAAAUGAUUGGAAACGCUAUGUGAUUCUAACCCCUUUUUAAUGUUUCUGCUAUUCUUAUGUGAAGACAGCGAAUCGUUCUUCCUAUAUAUGAAAGAUUGCACGGACAUUUGAGGAGGUAUAUUACUCCUUUAGCGUGACACGAAAGAUGGUCCUUAAUUUCAAAUUUUGUAUUGGUAUAUUAUUCUAAGUCUAAUAUGUGUCUUUUCUUGCUUUUUGUUCCUCUGCAUGCUAGGCAUGAUCCACAGCCAUAAAAACCUUAACUUUGCUUUAAAAAACUAUCACGAGGAGUUAUAUUUCUUAAACUACUCUGUGUGAGGGUUCUCUUCAAAUUACGUGCUCCCCUAUAAAUUAUUUUUGGUUUAGUUGGAAGAAUGGCUUUAAGGGUUGGGUCAUCUUGUAAAAUAUGCCAGUAUUUUGUUAUAAUUUUGUGUACUUUCCUGUUGUUACUAUUGAAACUACAAAUAAAGGGAAUAUCGCUUUUGUUCCAUUUCUCCUUCUUAUUCUGUUGAUAGGUGAGGAGACUUCUUCUGGGGAUGGAGAGGACUUCUUCCAAAACACUUUGCAACUUUCCUUCUUCAUAUCCCUUCUCCAUAAAAUUCCUUUUUAUUCGAUUCACUUGGUUUACAAAGUCCUGAUCAUCUGAACAAUUACGUCUAAUGCGCAAAAAUUGUCCUCUAGGGGCAUUGUUUAACUAUGGUUUGUGGUCACAACUCUCUUUCUUAAUCUACCCGUUGGCGUCUACCUCCUUAAAAUGAUUCCUAGUGCCAAUAUGUGAUUCUUUAAUAUAGAUUUUGAGAUCGAGGAAAUUAAUUUACAUCUACAAUCUACAACCCAGUACUUGAUUGGGAUUGUUUAGAUAUACUCUCCUGGGGGGAAUCUUGUGAACGAGACUGUAUGGCCGUAUACGUUCUGUUUGUUUGCUCAAUGUGCCCACAGCUAAACCACUUUCUGUUUCUGUCCCUUCCUCGCAUUGGUUUUUGAAAAAAAGGAAACCGAUAAGCUACCUCCACACCGUGAUUAUGACUUUGCCAUAAACCUGUUACCAGGUACUAUGCCCCCUAGGGGUAAGGUCUACCCGCUUUCUGAGAAAGAAAAUCAGGUCAUGGAGGAGUACAUACAGGAAUCCUUAUGUAAAGGUUUUAUCAGAAGGUCCUCCUCUCCUGCUGGUGCUGGUUUCUUUUUCGUUGCCAAGAAAGAGGGCGAUUUGAGGCCAUGUAUAGACUACAGGGGUCUGAACAAUAUAACGGUUAAAAACGCUUAUCCUAUCCCUCUCAUCACUGAGUUGUUUGAUCGUGUUAAAGGUUCCAGAUAUUAUACUAAACUAGACCUCAGGGGGGCUUAUAACCUGGUUCGUAUAAAAGAGAAUGAUGAAUGGAAAACAGCGUUCAAUACACGCAGUGGGCAUUACGAGUAUCUAGUCAUGCCUUUUGGACUGUGUAAUGCUCCUGCUGUGUUUCAGGACCUCAUAAAUGAUGUCCUUAGAGAUCUACUGUGUUAAGACACCUCCCGUGUCUUUAAGCCAAACCGCCGUUUAGUAAACCUUCCCCGGCUGCAGUACAGUCUCUGUUCGCUUACUCUGUAACCCACGAACCAAAUGCAGGGGAAGCGGCAAUCUCCCGAUCGAAAUCCACGAACGGCUCCAAACUCCCGAACGGCAAUAUACGAACUGCUAGGAACCGUCGAACAAUAAUAUCCCCAAAGCGGCUUUCGUUCCAUCCAGCAGUCUCUAACCGUGAAGAAGAAAUCCCCCCAAUAACGAGACAGAAGCUCCGCAUUGAGGGUCAAAUAAGAUCUGGUUUUACUGUGGGCUACCUGCCCGUAUUUAUGCAGGUCUCCCACCUGGUGGACACUCCCCUAGGGGACCAAAUGGAAGACUUAAAUUACAGACAGAUAGAAGGACAUUUCUGACACACAGUCACAUCUCUUACCCACAGUGCAUUCUGAUUCCCUCCCCUCUGUCCUGGAGUUAAUUACCAAGUAACUCAAUUAACUCCAGGACAAGGACAGUCGCCAUUUUAAACAUAAAAUAAUAAAAGACAUAAAAAUGCAUAACUACAUGAAAACUGAACAUUUCCCAUUCGUAUUACAUGUCCCCAGAUAGCCUGGAUCUGAGUGCAUAUUAUUGGCGAAUAGCGCUCAGAUCCCACACACAUAGUUCAAUCGCCAUGGAGUCAAAGUUCUUACAGUCUUUCGGUAUACGAAUGACUCCAUGGGAGGGCUAUCUGGGUUAAGUCUUUUGUAUGCUCUCAAUCUCCCGAACGGCCGGUGUUCGCAUGCUUUCAUGGAGGCAGCCAGGCGUUCCCUUGUUUCAGCGGUGUUCGGCAGAAAAAGUGUCCGUUUUCAGUUCCAUAGAAAUAGAGCCAAACACCGCUGGGCGUUCGCAUGAUUUAAAAUGGCCGCUGCCUCGUGGUCGACAUACGAACGACGACCACCCUGAGUUCGGUUUAAUUGAGAAGUGUCUGCGGUUAACCACAACGUUAUAAUGGUGAUCACUUCGUUAACCUGCAGCACACUCCUCACUUGGGUGGCCGUUCGUUCGGCGGUUUUGUUCGGGAAAAAGAGUCAUUCGAAUGGCUGGGCUAUAGAAACCAGCCAUUCAUACGAACGGGGACAAACAGACGAACGGGCAAAAAUCCAGCAGACAGAUGGUUCUGUCACACGGCUCCCUCCUUGUGGGACACUCCGGCAGACCCGGCUUGACCCUGUGGCGGGUCAACUUGGGGAUGACCGGACUACGAGGUGAUGGAAACGUCUGUUUGUCGUGACAACCCAUCUGCAUUUCCGUUUAGCUUACCGGGUCUGUAGCUGAUAGUAAAAUUGUAGGGCUGUAGUGCCAAGCUCCAUCUCAGCAGUCUCCCAUUGUCUCCUGAGACCCGGUUAAGCCAAACGAGUGGGUUGUGAUCAGUCACAAGGGAAAACUCUUGCCCAUGCAAGUAGGGACUUAACUUUUUCAAUGCCCAGACCAAAGCCAAACACUCCUUCUCCACUGCCGCAUAACUCACUUCUCUGGGUAACAACUUUCUGCUGAGAUAUGCGACAGGGUGCUCUCCUCCAUCUUCCCCGACUUGGCUCAGCACAGCCCCCAGUCCAUACAUGGAAGCAUCUGUAUGGACGAGAAAGCGUUUGUUAGGGACUGGGGCAGCCAAGACAGGGGCAUUCACAAGAGCCUGCUUCAGUGCCUGGAACGCAGCUUCACAAGCCGGAGACCACAGGACCUGCUUAGGCAAGUUUUUCUUGGUCAGAUCUGUCAGGGGCUUAGCGAUAGCGCUGUAGUCAGGGACAAAGCGUCUGUAGUACCCUGCCGUCCCCAAGAAGGCCAAUACCUGGGUCUUAGUAGUAGGUGGGGGCCAGUUAGCCACUGACUCUACCUUGGCUGGCUCCGGUCUCUGGCUCCCACACCCCACUCUGUGACCCAGGUACUGUACUUCAGCCAUACCUAGAUGACACUUUUCUGGCUUCAAUGUCAGGCCAGCGGCCCUAAUCUUAUCCAGCACUACCCCUACAUGUACCAGGUGUUCCUCCCAGGACCCACUGUAGAUCGCAAUGUCGCCCAAGUAUGCACAGGCAAAUUCUUGGAAGCCAUCCAGGAGUCUAUCCACCAUCCGUUGGAAAGUAGCCGGUGCAUUUUUCAUCCCAAAAGGCAUGACCUUAAAUUGGUACAGGCCAAAUGGGGUGACAAAUGCCGACUUGGGGAUAGCAUCCUCGGCCAGGGGGAUCUGCCAGUAGCCCUUACACAGGUCUAUGGUGGUCAGAUAUCGCCCCCUGGCAAUACGAUCUAGUAAUUCGUCUACCCGGGGCAUUGGGUAGGCGUCAGUGGUGGUCCGCUCGUUGAGUCGCCUGUAGUCCACACAGAACCGGGUGGUCCCAUCUUUCUUUGGCACCAGGACUACAGGCGAGGCCCAAGGGCUGUCGGAGUGCUCGAUAACCCCAAGUUGGGUCAUCUCCUGUAUCUCCUUCCGCAUUCCUUCACGGACUGCUUCAGGGAUACGGUAGGGGGGCUGUCGUAACGGGGUCUGUCCAGGGGUCUCUACCUUAUGCACAGCUAGGGUGGUAUAACCUGGUUCCUGGGAGAACGUCGCCUGCUUCUCCCAUAACAACUGCUGCGCCUGUACCCUUUCUGUGGGGUUCAACCGGUCCCCUAGCUGUACAAGGGUAGUAAGGUCAGUCUGGGAAUCCCUUUCUAAUAGAUCUGGAAGGGGUAAGUUCUCAGAAUCAUCUGCAGCUGGGGCACAUACUGCUGCAAUAUUCUCAGGUCUCUCCUGGUACUCUUUCAGCAUGUUUACAUGAAAGGACCGCUGGAUCCUCUCAUCUGCACAGCUGGCUAUCAAGUAAGUAGUGUCGCAGAUCUGCACCACUACCUUGUACGGGCCCUGCCAAGAUGCCUGCAUCUUGUUGGCCUUCACAGGUUUAAGCACCAAUACUUUUUGCCCAACCUGGAAGACCCGCUGUCGGGCACCCUGAUCGUACCAUCUCUUCUGUCUCCCCUGGGCCGCCUGGAGAUUCUCCCUUACCAUCAGGGACAGUUUCUCCAUGCGGUCCCGGAGUUCCAAAACAUAUGGUACUAUGGGGAUCCCUUCCUGCUCCGUCUCCCCCUCCCAGUGGCCUCUAAUGAGAUCUAGGGGUCCGCGGACCCUUCUCCCAUACAGCAGCUCAAAGGGGGAGAACCCAGUAGAUUCCUGGGGCACCUCUCUAUAAGAAAAUAAUAGAUGAGGCAGGAAUCUCUCCCAGUCUCUGCAAGUGUCUGUAAAGGUCCUCAGCAUCUGUUUGAGGGUACCGUUAAAGCGCUCGCAGAGACCGUUAGUCUGUGGGUGGUAGGGUGAGCUAAGUAACGGCUUAAUGCCGCACACCUUCCACAGUUGCUGGGUGAGCACAGCGGUGAAUUGGGUUCCCUGGUCGGAGAGGAUCUCCUUAGGGAACCCGACCCUAGUAAAAAUUCUAACCAGGGCAUCAGCAACCGUCUCUGCCUCUAUGUUAGACAGCGCUACUGCCUCUGGAUAGCGGGUGGCAUAGUCCACCAUGGUAAGAACAUACUUCUUACCGGAUGGACUAGCCCUGGCCAGUGGACCCACAAUGUCAACGGCUAUGCGGGCAAAGGGCUCCCCUAUAAUAGGCAUCGAUAAUAGCCUAGCCUUAGGGUGGUCCCCCCGCUUUCCUACCCGUUGACAUGUGUCACACGUGCUGCAGUACAUCCGCACAGCCUGGUUAAAGUUUGGCCAAAAGAAGUUCUGUGAAAUCCUAUAGGCUGUGCGGCGGGACCCUAGAUGUCCAGCUAAAGGAACAUCAUGCCCUAUCCGCAGAAUCUCCUGCCGGUACUUUGCAGGUACCACUAACUGGCGAUUCGGCGGAGUGGCAACACUCUUCUGGGAAGGUUUAGGGAUCCUAUACAACCUGUCCCCCACCCACUCAUACCGUUCCCCAUCUAUUCCUUCCUCCCCAGCAUCUGCCCUGUCCUUGUAUCUUUGGAGGGUCGGAUCUGCCCGGGUUUCCCUCCCAAACUCCUCUGGGGAAUCCCAGCUUAAGGGAACCUGAUCUGGGGUACCAGUCGGGGAAGGAGAUCUUACCUGGGUCUCGUCAGCAAGUGGGCUGGUUCCGGCAGCACGGGUCUGGGCACGGGUGGUCACUGGGUUCACGUCUGCAGGGCCCAUCGGAGCAUAGGCUGAAACCAAAGGGGCCAAAUCGUUUCCCAAAAGAACAUCGGCGGGCAAGUCCUUCAUCACCCCCACAUCCACAUGCCUAGCGCCCACUCCCCAAUCCAAAUGUACUCGGGCAACAGGUAAGCGAAACACGGCACCCCCUGCUACCCUUACUGCCACAGUGUCCCCAGUGUGCUGAUGCUCUGAGACCAAGUUCUUUUGGAGCAGUGUCAUCGUAGCUCCUGUGUCUCUCAGCCCAUUCACCACUCUGCCAUUCAGCUUCACAGUUUGCCGAUGUUGCUGGCGAUUAUCCUGGUGAGCUGCUUGCACUGGGUCUGCCUCGUGUAGAAUGCCCCAAAAUUCCUCCUGCUCUAGGCAGUGAGCAGCAGGCUGAGGUGGGCGCUGGUUUCCAUUAACUGGUCUCCUCCAGGACUGAGCCUGGUUGGCACUGUUCAGUGGGCACUCAGGACGCUUGUGCCCCAACUGCUUGCACCCAUAGCACCGGAUGGGUUGGGAGUACUCCCGGGCAUUAAAUCGGGCUGGUUGCAUAUAAUUGUUAGCUGGUGGUGCGGCUGGGGUACGGUGUACUGGGGGUUGGUAGACUGCAGGAGCGGGUGUUACUGCUGGUCGAUACUCCAGCCUGGCAGGGGCUUUAGCAGCUGUACCAUCCAACUUGCGGGCAUCCGUGUAUUCGUCUGCCAGACGGGCAGCCUCGGGUAGGGUAGAGGGUUUUCUGUCUCUGACCCAUUCCCGGACCCCAGCAGGUAGUCUAUCAAAGCAGUGCUCCAGCAGGAACACUUGUAACACCUCCUCCCCAGUUACCGCUUGGCAUCCAGCCAUCCAGUGGGCUGCGGUACGAUGGACUCUGCAGGCCCAUUCCACAUAAGAGUCCCCAACCAGCUUGUUGGUUUCUCUAAACCUCCGCCUGUACGCCUCUGGGGUUACUGCAUACCUGGCUAGGAGCGCCUCUUUCACAGCCCGGUAGCUGGUGAUCUCCUCCUCUGGGAUGGCCCGAAAAGCUUCACUAGCCCGGCCAGAUAAUUUCCCAGAGAGGAUGGUGACCCAUUCAUCUGCAGGUACCUGAUGUAGCGCACACUGCCUCUCAAAGUCUGCCAAAAAUCCAUCAAUCUCUCCCUCUGUUUCCACAAAAUUUUUAAAUGCAGCAAAAGGUACCUUCUUUCUGGCAACCACAUUAUUGUCAUACGGUACCUCUGCUGCUGCAGCUCCUCUUUCCCGGGCCGCCUGUUGUGCUGCAACUGCUGCCUGCACACGAACCACGAUGUCAGCUGAGGGGUUGGGGCCAAAAUGUGCCAGCCUUAUUUGUACUGCCCGGUUGAAUUGUAUUUCCUCGGGUGUUAAAUCCAAGGUACUGGGCACGUUGACUCUUUCCAUUCCCGUUGCUGCAUCCAUCUCCAUUAGCAAAGCAAUAAUCUCCCGUUUCUUUAAAUUGCUUGCUGACCUUCCUCGGCGUUCCAAUAUGUCCUUAAGUGUAGCACGCCUUAAUUCCUCGUACUGCAUGUCUCGUAGCUGACCUCCAAUGCUGUAGGAUUCAUCCCGUCGCUUGCCACCAAUUGUUAAGACACCUCCCGUGUCUUUAAGCCAAACCGCCGUUUAGUAAACCUUCCCCGGCUGCAGUACAGUCUCUGUUCGCUUACUCUGUAACCCACGAACCAAAUGCAGGGGAAGCGGCAAUCUCCCGAUCGAAAUCCACGAACGGCUCCAAACUCCCGAACGGCAAUAUACGAACUGCUAGGAACCGUCGAACAAUAAUAUCCCCAAAGCGGCUUUCGUUCCAUCCAGCAGUCUCUAACCGUGAAGAAGAAAUCCCCCCAAUAACGAGACAGAAGCUCCGCAUUGAGGGUCAAAUAAGAUCUGGUUUUACUGUGGGCUACCUGCCCGUAUUUAUGCAGGUCUCCCACCUGGUGGACACUCCCCUAGGGGACUAAAUGGAAGACUUAAAUUACAGACAGAUAGAAGGACAUUUCUGACACACAGUCACAUCUCUUACCCACAGUGCAUUCUGAUUCCCUCCCCUCGGUCCUGGAGUUAAUUACCAAGUAACUCAAUUAACUCCAGGACAAGGACAGUCGCCAUUUUAAACAUAAAAUAAUAAAAGACAUAAAAAUGCAUAACUACAUGAAAACUGAACAUUUCCCAUUCGUAUUACAUGUCCCCAGAUAGCCUGGAUCUGAGUGCAUAUUAUUAGCGAAUAGCGCUCAGAUCCCACACACAUAGUUCAAUCGCCAUGGAGUCAAAGUUCUUACAGUCUUUCGGUAUACGAAUGACUCCAUGGGAGGGCUAUCUGGGUUAAGUCUUUUGUAUGCUCUCAAUCUCCCGAACGGCCGGUGUUCGCAUGCUUUCGUGGAGGCAGCCAGGCGUUCCCUUGUUUCAGCGGUGUUCGGCAGAAAAAGUGUCCGUUUUCAGUUCCAUAGAAAUAGAGCCAAACACCGCUGAGCGUUCGCAUGAUUUAAAAUGGCCGCUGCCUCGUGGUCGACAUACGAACGACGACCACCCUGAGUUCGGUUUAAUUGAGAAGUGUCUGCGGUUAACCACAACGUUAUAAUGGUGAUCACUUCGUUAACCUGCAGCACACUCCUCACUUGGGUGGCCGUUCGUUCGGCAGAUUUGUUCGGGAAAAAGAGUCAUUCGAAUGGCUGGGCUAUAGAAACCAGCCAUUCAUACGAACGGGGACAAACAGACGAACGGGCAAAAAUCCAGCAGACAGAUGGUUCUGUCACAUACUGCAUAUCUGUGCCGUAGUCUACCUUGAUGACAUACUUGUAUAUUUUCCUGAUUUGAAAUCACACCAUACUCAUGUGAGGAUGGUUCUUAAGAGAUUGUUGCAGAAUGGUCUUUAUUGUAAGUUAGAGAAAUGUUUAUUUGACCAAAAAUCUGUACAAUUCCUAGGGUAUGUCAUUUCUGAACAGGGAUUCAGCAUGGAUCCUUCUAAAUUAGAAGCCAUACUGUCUUGGCCUCUUCCCCAAGGACUUAAGGCAAUACAGCGGUUUAUAAGGUUUGCCAAUUAUUAUUGGAGGUUUAUUAAAAACUUUUCAUCAAUUAUUUCUCUGAUCACGAAACUGACUAAAAAAGGUUUGCACCCCAGGGUUUGGACUCCUGAAGCCUUUGAAGCCUUCGAGACUCUCAAAAAGGCAUUUGCCACUGCCCCUGUGCUACACCAUCCUGAUCCUUCCCUUCCCUUUGUUAUGGAAGUAGACGCUUCGGAAUUAGGUGUAGGGGCAGUGUUAUCACAAAGACAAUCGCAUGCCGGACCCAUCCAUCCCUGUUGUUACUUUUCUAAAAGGCUGUCUGAUUCGGAAAAUAAUUACGACGUCGGGAACAGGGAACUAUUGGCUAUUGUGAUGGCAUUUAAAGAAUGGAGGUACUUAUUAGAGGGAGCCAGACACAAAAUCCUGGUUAUAACUGAUCAUAAGAAUAUCUCCUAUAUAGCAGAUGUCCUCUCGUCAGGCUAGAUGGUCUUUAUUUCUACGCUUUCAGUACAUUAUCACAUAUAGGCCUGAAUACCGUAAUGUCAAGGCUGAUGCUAUCUCCCAACAGUAUGAACCUUUGGAGUCGAUUGCCCCCGCUCCUGAACCCAUUGUGCCUACAUCUAAGAUAAUAGCUGCUACCCGUUUGGUUAUUUCGGCUCUUUCCCUUGAUUGUAUCAAGACACCUGUUGGUAGAUUAUACGUGAAAGAGAAAGACAGAAAGAAGUUAUUAGCUUUAUUUCACACCGCCAAAACUGCUGGUCAUCCAGGGGUUACCAAAACAUACAAGGGUCUCCUUCAACAGUUUUGGUGGCCCUCACUUAAACAAGACGUGGUAGAUUAUGUGCAGGCUUGUUGUGCUACACACAGUGUAAGUCCCCUAAUGUUAAACCCCUGUGUGAGGAACUGACUCUGCUGGGUUUCGAACCCUGGUUUACAUGGUGCUAAACCUUUUCAUUACCAGUACACCAGCCUGCCUUUUGCAAAUUUACCUGAGAUCUGAUACCAUUGCUUGUAGAGUCAAGGUUAUCAGUGACAACUCACUUCAGCUGUGUCUAGUCAGGUGUCUGGUUCUUGGCCUAUAAAAGCCACUUCCUGUCUCUUUACCUUUGCCAGAUUAUUGUGGUUCCUGUACUCUCUAAUCCAGCGUGUUCCUGUUUCUCCUUCCUGUUGCUGAAUUUGGACUGUUUUGACUUUGCUGCUUCUCCUUCCCACUGACCUCGGCUUGCCUCACUACGAUUAUCAUCUUUCUGUUCCAGUCUCCCAUCUCUGCUUAAGACCAGAAGGCCACUCAAGGCUCAGGGGCUCAACCACCUGGGUAACGAGUGGCUACCUCUGGCAGAAAACAUUGCUGAUCUGGCUACUGGACUCCAAAACUUUGUAACAUCAAUAUCAUUACAGAAUAAUCUGGCCCAUUCAUGGAGACCGUCGGAUCAGAUUCUGCAUUGGCCCAGCAGGUUGCUUUUAAUGCAAGAACUAUGCAGACCCAGGCACAGACCAUUCAAGUGCUGCAGGAUCAGGUAGCUGAACUGCAAAAUGAAGUUCGAUCAAUGCAUAGUGAGCUUACCAGCUACAGGGCACAUGAUGUUGCGGCUGCUGCUACUACUACUGUUACACCUGCACAAGAUGCCCGCUUGCCUCUACCAGAAAAAUUUGGAGGAGACCGCAAAAAAUUCAGGGGUUUCCUAAAUCAAUGCCGUUUGCAUUUUAUGAUGUUACCUAACCGUUUUCCAUCUGAAAGAGAGAAGGUGGGAUUUAUUUUUUCCCUCUUCAAAGAUGAAGCCCUGGCCUGGGGCUCCCCUUUUCUGGAGCAGGACAGUCCAAUCUUGGGAAAUUUAAAAGACUUUCUUGAGGCCAUGUGCCUAGUUUUUGAUGAUCCCAAUCGCUGUGCUACAGCAGAAGCCACUCUCCUUCAUUUACAUCAAGGGAGGCGCUCUGUGGCUGAAUAUGCUGCUGAAUUCAGACAGUGGGUUACUGAUACUACUUGGAACCAAUCAGCCCAGAGGUUCCAUUUCAGAAGGGGUCUCUCAGAAGCUAUAAAAGAUGAGCUAGCUCGUGUUGAUCUUCCUGUUGAGUUUGAUGCAUUUGUGCGGUUGGCUAUCCGUAUUGAUCGGAGACUUUCAGAAAGAAGAUUGGAAAGACAGGGCUCUUUUAAACCAAGUGCUACUCCUACUUUCUAUUCAAGAAUUUCUACUCCGACCCCACAAACACCUACAGACUCUGAACCUGAGGCUAUGCAAGUAGAUCUAAUAAGAGGGCCAUUAUCCAAUGAAGAAAAACAGUGGCGACGCACUCACAACUUAUGCCUGUAUUGUGGUAGUGCAGGGCAUUAUGCCAUCAAGUGCCCUAACAAGUCUAAAAGAACAAUAGCUAUGACUGCUGAGGGUGCACAGAUUCAACACCAAUCCCAGAUUUCAGACCAACUGGAUUCUGUCACACAACCCUUGUUUUCUCUGGCUCAGGGUGAAGAAGGUAUGAUGACUCAACAUCCUCAUUUGGUGGUGCCUAUCACUUUGCAAUAUGGUAAUAAUACAAUUUCAACUACAGCUAUGAUAGAUUCCGGAGCAGGAGGAAACUUUAUGGACAUUAAAUUUGCAGCAGGAAAUAAAAUUCAGUCUAUCCCUAAAUCUUCACCUGUGUUAAUGGAAACAGUAGACGGUUCUCCACUUACGUCAGGCCCGGUUACACAUGAGACUGUGCCCUUAAAAUUGAUUCUGGAAGUGAAUCACCAUGAGUCUAUAUCUUUCCACCUAAUUUCCUCAACACAGUUUCCAGUGAUUUUGGGUAUACCCUGGCUUGCUCUGCAUAACCCACAGAUUGAUUGGAAGACUAGAACUUUGUCCUUUCCUUCAGAACACUGCUUAAUGAAUUGUCAACCCUCUAAGGCGACACCUGUUACCACAACAAUUAAUGAAAUGGUUGCUACAAACUUAACUAAGCUUCCGCUACAAUAUCAGGAUUUCGCAGAUGUCUGUGAUAAGAAGAAUGCUGAUCAGCUUCCACCUCACAGGCCUUAUGAUUGCCCCAUAGAGCUGCUACCUGGAGCUGCUAUCCCAUUUGGCCGUAUAUACUCCCUUUCUGAGCCUGAAUUGAAAGCACUUCGUGAAUACAUACAAGAAAAUCUUGCCAAAGGCUUUAUUCGACCAUCCACUUCUCCAGCAGGAGCUCCUAUAUUCUUUGUAGAAAAGAAAGAUGGCAGUCUACGGCCUUGUGUUGAUUACAGGGACAUUAAUAAAAUCACUGUUAAAAACCGUUAUCCCUUGCCUCUCAUUCCUGAACUUCUGGAGAGACUUCGUUCAGCUAAAAUAUUUACGAAGCUUGAUCUACGGGGGGCAUAUAAUCUGGUUCGCAUAAGACCAAAUGAUGAAUGGAAAACAGCUUUCAGAACCAGGUACGGACAUUACGAAUAUCUAGUAAUGCCAUUUGGGCUUUGUAAUGCCCCUGCAACUUUUCAGCAUCUAAUCAAUGAUGUACUACGGGAUCUCCUGGAUCAGUUUGUUGUGGCAUAUUUGGAUGAUAUCCUGAUAUUUUCUGAUAAUCUUGAAAAUCACAGAAAACAGGUCUGCAUUGUUCUUGAGCGCCUUCGUACCCACCACCUAUACAUUAAACUGGAAAAAUGUGAGUUUGAACAAACAGAAAUUCAGUUCCUGGGGUAUGUAAUAACUCCUAAAGGUUUAAGUAUGGACGCAAGUAAAAUUAAAGCUGUGCUGGACUGGCCCAUCCCCAAGAAUGAAAAAGAUAUACAGAGAUUUGUGGGGUUUGCCAAUUUUUACAGGCGUUUCAUUAAGAAUUUCUCUGCCGUUAUUACACCGAUCACUGAACUUACACGUAAAGGGACUCCUUUUCAGUGGUCCAAUAAGGCUGACACUGCAUUUUCCAGAUUAAAGACUCUGUUUACAUCUGCCCCUAUCUUGGUACAUCCUCAGCCAGAAUUGCCAUUUACUGUAGAGGUAGAUGCUUCUGAUUCAGCUGUUGGGGCUAUACUAUCUCAAAGGACUGGACCUAAGAUGUUGUUACAUCCAUGUGCCUUCUAUUCCCGCCAGAUGUUACCAGCAGAAAGAAAUUAUGACAUAGGGAAUAAAGAACUUUUGGCUAUAAAAGCUGCCUUCACCGAAUGGAGACAUCUCUUGGAGGGAGCCACCCAUCCAAUUACUGUCCUCACAGAUCACAAAAAUCUGGAAUGUAUCCAAUCCGCUAAGAGACUGUCAGCCAGACAAGCACGCUGGUCCCUAUUUUUCUCAAGGUUUAAUUUUUUUAUUUCAUACCGCCCUGGUUCCAGAAAUGGCAAGGCGGAUGCCUUGUCUAGGAUAGCUGACCCCCUCCAUACUACAGUAACCAAGGCCACCAUCUUGCCAGAGAGCAGAUUUUUAGGAGUUACCUUUCCUUCUGAUCUAAUGUCUCGCAUUAAAAAGGGCUACUCUAAAGAUCCAGUUUUUCGUGAUCCUCCUCGUGAUCUUCAUAUGACCAUGCUUAAUGGGUUUUGGAUUUUUCAACAACGUCUGUUUGUUCCAGAAUCAGUGCGACUGGACGUUUUACGCCUCUACCAUGACUCUAAACCAGCAGGUCAUCCAGGAAUCCGAAAGACACAAGAACUACUUACCCGAUCCUUUUGGUGGCCUAAAUAUUAUGAGGAUGUUAAGAAGUAUGUGUCCUCUUGUGAUGUAUGUGCCAGACAUAAGACUCCUCGCUCAUCCCCUGUUGGCUUGCUUCAGCCUCUUCCGAUUCCUCAUCGUCCCUGGGGAUCUAUAUCCAUGGACUUUAUUGUGGAACUACCUCCCUCUAAGGAACACACUACUAUUCUUGUUGUUGUGGACCGGUUAACCAAGAUGAGUCAUUUCAUACCAGCUCGUGGUCUCCCUUCAGCUAAACAGACUGCUGACCUUGUUAUUCGGGAAAUAUUUCGCUUGCAUGGAGUGCCUGAUGAAGUAAUUUCUGACAGGGGAGUGCAGUUUACAUCUCAUUUUUGGAAAUAUUUUUGUUCUAUUCUAGGUAUUAAUGUAAAUCUGUCUUCAGCUUUUCAUCCACAAAGUAAUGGACAGACUGAGCGAACCAACCAGACUUUAGAACAAUAUUUGCGGUGCUAUAUUAGUUACCUGCAGGAUGACUGGCUGGAUUUUCUACCCACGGCGGAGUUUGCCUAUAACAAUGCCCAACACUGCUCCACUUCUCUGAGCCCAUUUUUUGCCAAUUAUGGUUACCAUCCAACCUUUCUAGUGAGUCUCCCAAUUACUACUCCUAUUCCUGCAGUCACUGACCGGCUAACCGCCUUACGAGAUUCCCAAGAACUGUUGAAGGAGACUCUUUCGGAGGCUCAGGAAUGUUACAAAAGAGCUGCUGAUAGGCACAGAAAGGAGGCCCCAGUUUAUCAUGUUGGUGACAAGGUUUGGCUGUCAACAAAGAAUCUUAAGCUUAGGAUUCCUUCUCAUAAAUUGGGUCAAAAGUUCAUGGGACCUUUUAAGAUAAUCGCUCAGAUCAAUGCAGUCACCUUCCGUCUGCAACUUCCGGAUUCCAUGAAAAUACAUCCGGUGUUUCACGUGGCACUGCUUAAACCUUUUCAUGAAAAUACUUUCCCUGGUCGAGCCUUGCCUGCCCCACCACCAGUCCUCGUGGAUGGGGAAGAUGAAUACGAGGUGGAAAAAAUUCUUGACUCCAGGAUCUUCCGCAACAAACUUCAAUACUUGGUUCAUUGGAAAGGCUAUGGUGAGGAGGAUAGAUCAUGGGAACCAGUGGACAAUAUUCAUGCUCCUGAUCUUCUUCAGUCUUUCCAUGCACAGUACCCUGCUAAACCAGGAAAUAGGGCAUCCAGAGGCUGCGCCUGUAAAGGUGGAGGUAAUGUGAGGAACUGACUCUGCUGGGUUUCGAACCCUGGUUUACAUGGUGCUAAACCUUUUCAUUACCAGUACACCAGCCUGCCUUUUGCAAAUUUACCUGAGAUCUGAUACCAUUGCUUGUAGAGUCAAGGUUAUCAGUGACAACUCACUUCAGCUGUGUCUAGUCAGGUGUCUGGUUCUUGGCCUAUAAAAGCCACUUCCUGUCUCUGUACCUUUGCCAGAUUAUUGUGGUUCCUGUACUCUCUAAUCCAGCGUGUUCCUGUUUCUCCUUCCUGUUGCUGAAUUUGGACUGUUUUGACUUUGCUGCUUCUCCUUCCCACUGACCUCGGCUUGCCUGACUACGAUUAUCAUCUUUCUGUUCCAGUCUCCCAUCUCUGCUUAAGACCAGAAGGCCACUCAAGGCUCAGGGGCUCAACCACCUGGGUAACGAGUGGCUACCUCUGGCAGAAAACAUUGCUGAUCUGGCUACUGGACUCCAAAACUUUGUAACAUCAAUAUCAUUACACCCUGGGACUCCUAAUGCCCCUAUCUGUACCCAAGAAACCAUGGACCCACUUAUCCAUGGACUUUAUUAUGGAUCUUCCUUCAUCUGAUGGACAGACAGUAAUUUUAACUGUGACAGAUAGGUUCUCUAAAAUGGCACACUUUAUUCCACUUAAAAAACUACCUUCUGCGGUUCAGUUGGCUCAGGUAUUUGCCAAAGAGGUGUUCCGCUUGCAUGGUAUACCACAGGAUAUCGUAUCCGACAGGGGUCCUCAAUUUGUCUCUCGGUUCUGGAGGGGCUUUUGUGCUAAGAUGGGGAUCUCCUUGUCGUUUACUUCCUCCUAUCAUCCACAAUCUAAUGGAGCUGCCGAACGGGCAAAUCAAUCUGUGGAGUUAAAUUUACGCUGCUUCACGAAUGCACACCUGGUCUCAUCUCCUUCCCUGGGCUGAAUUCGCCAGGAAUACUGUGACUCAUUCGUCCACUGGCUUAAGUCCUUUUAUGGUAGCUUAUGGGUUCCAACCCGGUGUGUUCUCCGACAAGGGAAUGCCCGCUUUGGACGAGCACCUCACCUCGUUGCGGAAGAUGUGGGAUCAGGUCCAUGCUACUCUCUCUCGUGCGGCUGCUACUCAGAAGAGAUUUGCUGAUCGUCGUAGAUGUGCGGCUCCUUCUUAUGCCCCGGGUGAUAGGGUUUGGUUGUACUCUAAGAAUCUCCGCCUCAGGGUUCCCUUGAUGAAAUCCGCACCCAGGUUCCUUGCGUAAGGUGAAUCCCGUGUCCUACUCCCUGGCCUUGCCUCCUUCCAUGCGUAUACCUAACACUUUUCACACCUCCCUUUUGAAGCCCUUGCUCUGUAAUCGGUUCUCUGGAUCUCUCAGGCGUCCUGAUUCCCUCCACGCGGUCUCCAGUGACGUGUACGAAGUUGCUGCUCUCCUUGAUUCUCGUUUCUCUUGAGGUCGGUGUGGUGACAUUCUGUCAUGAAACUAAUAUGGUGACCAGGGGUCAUGUGACCAAGCUCAUGUUUGCCUUUCUUACAGUGGGAUAAGCUUUGGGUAAUUCAAUACCUUUACAAGUCAGGAAAGAGAUAACUACUUCCCCCUUUCUCCAUUCCUCUCUGUUCCUUCUUGGCUGUGCUACUGAGCAGUCCCUUAAGCAGACAUGGCCUAAUUUCUAUCAUGGUGAACUGUGAGUGGGAUUUUAUAAGAUGUAGUUGUUAUCGUUAGUUAGGUUGUUGUUGCUGUUUAUCAAACACACUGCACUUUUAGCUGGAAAAUUCCAGAAAAAGAAUACAGAGAAAUGGAUUACUGGGGUACUAAAAAGGGCCUAACCCUUAUAUUGGCAAAUAUACAAAAGAAAAGAGGGGGAAAAAUCCCAGGAACACCGGGAGUAAAUCCCCUCAGAACUAGUACCCCCUAUAUAGAGCAAUAAAUAGGAUUUGCCCACUAGUCGUGUAUAGAAAAAAUAAUAAAGAUUUAUUGAAAUAGAUUAAAAAACCCAUAAAUAGUGUGCUAUAAUACACCAGACUGCUAUAUACUAGGAAUAAAAGGAAUCAGCUAGAGUGCACAUAACUAUAUGAUACAAUUGGAUAUUUAGUUGCACAGAGUCCAGUAGAGAAGUAGUAAGCACAUAAGCUACUUCAAGUUAGCAACAAUAUCCAUAUAAUGACACAUGUAAAUAUAGUAGACACCAGCUAAAGGCUGCAUUCAAAUUCCUACACAGAACGACUAAACUCUUCACUAUUAGAUAUCCAAAUUAAGUAAAAAUGAAGUUUUGAAGUUUUGUGGCCUUGAAUGGGUUAAGAGACAUCCGAGGCGAGGGAACUAUGAUCGUCUAUUGAGACAGAGAGAAUCUAGAUGGAUUUAUAGACUCAAGACUUUACAACCUUUGGGUCUAAAUGAGGGUUUCUCAUUUGCUCCGUUUAUUUGAUCUGUUAUGUUGGAGAUAUAUAAAUGUAUAUAUACAUCUGUAUAAAGUCUCGCGAGCCUUAUCUGGGCUACAUCACACCUUUAUUAAACAUUCUCCUUUCGGCUUAUAAGGAUGUAUUUGACCAUUAUUGACUGAUCAUAUGGGUGAUCCAAUUCUGGGUAUAUGCCCUAAUAUCAGUGAAUAUAACUCGGAUCUGGAAGAAUUGACUCUGCCGGUAAUCUACUACUGGAUAUGCUAUCGAAUAUUUAUAAAUACAGUUUUGAUCUGGAUUAAUACUUGUAGGGUUUAUCUAUUUAUUCUUUUUCCCCCCUUUUUUUCCAGUUUUCAGAAUAUCUGUACCUUUAAAUGGACAUGCCAAUUUUUUAGGAAUUGUUAGUAUUAUUAUUAUUCUUUGUAUUAUUGUUUAUUUUUUCAAUUUAUGCCCCCUUUUUUUCCUCUCCACAAUAGAGUCCUAAUUUUCCUUUAUUUUUAUCUCCUCUAUGAUACUGUUUCAUGUUUUCUAAACAUCAUGUAUAUAUAUAUAUAUAUAUUUCUGGUUACUUAUCCUUACACUGUGCUAUUCUAUAUAUUUAACUUUAAGAAAUAUAUGAUCUUGAAUGGAACUAAGAUAUCAUAGUGAGCCUAAAUUGCAUCUUUCUAUGUGAGGAUCUGCACAUGCGCGUUUUUCUGGCGAAACGCCAGCCUCAGCGCAUGUGCAAUAGCCUCCAGAGGACUUUUGGCUUAUUAGGGACUCCGUCGACGCCGGCUAAAUGUGUGCGCAUGCGUCUCUUCUUUGACCGAGUAUCGGCCUGAGACGCAUGCGCUUCCUGCCGGAUUCUAUACGUACGGGUCUACCUCUAUUGGCAAGGUACUGGGGCACUCUGAAACCCCUUUUUUCCACCCCCCCUCUUUCUUCAUACGAAAAUAGGUGGGCGUGUCAAAACGAAGACCAAGCCCCCCUAUGACGGGCGGGCAUGUUUUGGCGCCAAUUAUAAGUGCAUAUAAGGGAGAGGACUAAAGGAGGACUUUUGCACACUAUCAUACCCUUGAGAAAGGCGGACAUUACCGCCGAAACGCGCGUUGGGCUCCUGCUAUAUCUGGUGGGGGGGGUGUACUUGGGCAAUUAGCCUGUUUUCAUCGGUUGAAUUAUAGUUCAGGGUCAUUUGAUCUAUUGAACAUCUUCUAUUGCCUCCCCACUUUAUUCUUCAUUCUCUCCACUGAUAUCUUUCUGUCCUUUCGAUUUAUUUACUUUGAUAUAGAUACUUGAAGCCAUUGUGGCUAAGAUAAACUUAUCUCUAUAUAUACCUAUACAUUUUUACUUAAUUUGGAUAUCUAAUAGUGAAGAGUUUAGUCGUUCUGUGUAGGAAUUUGAAUGCAGCCUUUAGCUGGUGUCUACUAUAUUUACAUGUGUCAUUAUAUGGGUAUUGUUGCUAACUUGAAGUAGCUUAUGUGCUUACUACUUCUCUACUGGACUCUGUGCAACUAAAUAUCCAAUUGUAUCAUAUAGUUAUGUGCACUCUAGCUGAUUCCUUUUAUUCCUAGUAUAUAGCAGUCUGGUGUAUUAUAGCACACUAUUUAUGGGUUUUUUAAUCUAUUUCAAUAAAUCUUUAUUAUUUUUUCUAUACACGACUAGUGGGCAAAUCCUAUUUAUUGCUCUAUAUAGGGGGUACUAGUUCUGAGGGGAUUUACUCCCGGUGUUCCUGGGAUUUUUCCCCCUCUUUUCUUUUGUAUUGUUGUUGCUGUUGUUGUUGGUAUAGUUAGUUAGAUUGUGUGACAUUAUUUGUAUGUUGUUGUUCUUUUGUCUCUGAAUAAAUAUUUGUUAAAGUAGACGGACCAGAGUUUAUAUGUGUAUGCGUACAUAAUAAUUUAUAGAGUUUGGUAAUUUACCACAGUCGGUUGCAGUAUCUGGUGUAUUGGAAGGGUUACGGCCCUACGGAGCGGUCUUGGGUUUCUAUCUCUGAUUUAAACGCGCCCUCUUUGAUCUGCUCCUUUCAUGCGCGGUUUCCUUUGAAGCCUUUGGCUUCCAGCCCGUCGGGCAGUCCUCAAGGGGGGAUUAUGUCAGGGCUCCGCAGGCGGCUGUGAGUGGAGGCUGCAAGCCUCUUGCAGCACUCACCCUCAGUCCUUCACCGCCCGUGGUCUCCCCUUCCCCUACCUGUCGGCGAGCGGUGUCCUCACUGCUUUAUGCGCCGCUCGCGUCCUCCUCCUCGCCUCCCAGCAGCAGCAUGAAUAACGCUGCACGCUAGGAGCCCGCGCAUUUAUGCAAACGCCGGGGUCAGUCACGUGACCCGCUGUUAAAGCCACAGUACCAUAAUCAAAGUGGGAGGUGUAGAUAUCUCCCACGUGUGAUUGUUAAUUGUGAUUGGAAGUUAUCCAAUCAAAAUUAAGCACAGGAGUUAUAUACUUACCUUUCCUGUCUCUCAGUGCCCUGUUGUGGUCUUGUGAUCCGGUAGUGCAGUUUGCUCGUGUUUCUCUCUGGUUACCGAUUGUUUGGCUCGUUAUUUCGAUUUUCCUGUAUUCUCCAUUCCUUUGACCUCGGCUUGUUUCUCGUUCUCCUGUUUUCUGCCUCCCUUUACUUGGCUUGUCUCCUGACUAUUCUUAGGGUGCUUAACCCGGCCAUUCUAAGGACCGGUAUAGCACCCUUCCUCUCUGUGACCUGUUAGCUUGUUAGGUUCCCGAAUCGUGACAAAGCAAGAGGCUAGCCAUUAGUCCCCUCCAGGCACAAGUGGCAAUGGGCACUUCAUCACAAUUAGUUUACAUCUCAAAAUAUAUAUUUCACGAACAGGUACCCCCUCAAGCCCUAUAUCCCUGGAUAGCUUGGAUCUGAGCGCCCAACAUAUCCUGAAAGAGAUCAGAUCUGCGAACGAAGUCGAAAUGCCACCGGGGUAAAGUUUAGACCUGACAACACCUGAGGCGCCUGCCUAAAAUGUUUCCAUGGAUUUGGGCUGUGUGGCUGGUCUCUUUCGGAGGUAAGAAAUAUAAUAAAAUACCGAACAUAAUAACUUGUGAGCAUGUUAAGUCUGUAUAAGGAAAAUAAAAUACAAAAUAAAGCCUAAUAAGUGGAAGUACCCAUAGAGAUGACACAAAGUAUAGAUACUCGUUGCAACUGCUUGUUACAAAUGUUAAUACAGUGAAAGUGUCAAUAGAGGCAUAGCCAAGAACUCACACGUAGUCUGUGCUAAGGUACAACCUGAAUAUGAGCACUUGGCUGAUACUUGGCUAAGUACUCUGGCUAUUAUCACAUGCAGAAUAAACUGGUCCCUAUUAUCAUGUUACCAGUGGUACUGAUUGAUAGAGCCUCAAGAUAGCUAGUUAGAUCUAAAUAUAGCUCAACACUGCUUCCUCUCAAUAUAACAAAGAUCAUUAUUUAGAUCUAUAUCAAUUGCUUAACAUGAAAUUAAGGAAAGGACAGGGUUUACCUAUGACCUCUUUUUUAUAGAGGACAUAGGCAUUGAAAAUUGCAAUCUGGCUCACAUAUAUUCUGAUUUUACCAGGUCCUACAUUUUCGGUUCACCAGAUAUAAGUAUGCAUUGGUCAUCUAAGUCUACUCCUCCCAUAUACUUUCUGAAGUCUACAAUGCACUUUGACUUUUCCAGAUGCUCAGUUCUACCUCUCACAGAUACUGGCACUGUACUUUCGUUGUGCAUUGUAGACAGCAUGUAGCUGGGAACUGAAGGGAACGCAAGAGAGCUGAAGAGGAAACUCUACUGCUUCUGCCAGUAUGGGGGAAAUCCCUGUGAUUCUUCCUCACUGUGCCACAAGUUAGGUUUUCAAAGCACAAUACCUUUUUUUUAUAAUUCUCUGCUGAUAUAGUAGUUGUAAACCCAUAGCCCGUAUUCCUUAAUUAACAAGGGAAGGAUUAGAUCCCAUACAAUCUUGCUACUUGUACCCACAGAAUCAGAGCUUCCUGGUGGGUCAAGAUGGCUAUCUUUCUCCUGAUAAAUGCAAGGCGCCCAUAUUUAACCAGUACAGGAUUUGCAUAAUUUAUAAAUUUAACGCCAUAUUGGGACUGCUUAUGGUAUAUAUUGUUUAAAUAGUAGUAGACCUUUAUAAAUUACCUUUACAUUUCAUAAGGGACUUGUCAACUGCAAUAUUUUGAUCGGGGACAUCAUUUUCAGAAAAUGUGUCUGACAGGAGUUGGAUAAAGUCUAAAUACAAAAAAAGAAAACAAGUAAUAAAAGGCGCUAAUAAAUCUAUUCAGUCUCUAAGGAGCAAUCUUCAUGCAAACUAAGGAAUUUAAAUGCAGUUUUUUUGGCUUAUCGCCUAAAUGUUGCUCUUGAUACUUUUACAGAUAAGUUAAAACAAAUUACACCUUUAAAGUAAGAAUGCACAAUCUAAAUAUUCACAGAUCUUAAUAAAAAUAUAUAAGUAAAUGAAAAAUUAUUAAAAAUAGAUAAGAGGGAAGAAACAAUCAUACCUACUAAAAUGCAAUGAAAAUGGUCUGUUAUUCUACAUCUAGAAUAACUUUCGAUUUGGGUUUACGUGGCUGUAACGGAGCUUCCUGUACCCCGGCUGGGUAACUCCAUUGAUGGAUGCUCCUAGUGCUUCCUGAGGGCUCCAACCACUCCACUUGACACCAUAAGCACUGCAGACCCCACAAACAGUCGCAGCUUGGUUGGGGUCUUGCGGUCUCCUACCCACCCUGGACCUACGACAAGGCGCCAGGUUCCAGUGCAUGAACCUCUCUUUUCUCAGAAAGGGAAGCAGGAACAGGAACAAGCUCUUAUAACAGCUUAGUAAUUAUUCAAGGGAGUAUGAAGAGCAUAGCAAUCCCUUGUAGCAGAUUCCCCCAAUAAGAGAUAGGACUCUAGAUUGAGGGUGAAGUAGAACUGAAGGUUUAUUGCCACAGCCUGGAAUAAAUACAGUUUUUCAGGCCAGAGGCACACCCCCUGGACCUGAUGGAAAACAUUGGCAAAAGGAACAUAAACCAAUGGGAACAAUAAUUAGUACUGUAACACUCCCACAUACCGUUAGCAAGCCCUCCCCUCUGUCUGUGAUAUAAUUAAGGUAUAUAAUGUACUAACUUAAUUAUCCACAGGCAGAAAACACACAUUUUUACCCAAAGUACAGAAACACCCCAAAACUACAACAUAUCGCCUUAAUAUACAUCCCUGGAUAGCCCUGAUCUGGGUGAACAACAUAUCCAAAAAUUACCCAGGUCAAAGCACGGAUUCCGGAAAAUCCCAAAAGUCUUUUUUCAAUGUGUAUGUUCGGGGACCAUUCGUGCACAUCGUUAAUGUCAAAGUGCCGUUCGAAAUUUCGAACACUGUUCGACUCCCGUCGAAGAGUCAAAGUUUCGGAGAAGGUAAAGUUCAGCGGUGUUCGUGCCGUCGCAUGUCCGAUUUGAGUUGCAUGAACCCGAUGACAAAACACUGCUGAACACGUUCAACUGAACAAGAUGGCCGCCGCCACGUGUCCGACUAUACGAACGGCGACCACUCAGCCGUUAAACUGAUAAACUGGUUGCACACUCCACUUGUGUGUGGUCCAGCUGUUUGGUAGUUCGAAGUUCCACUUUGAAAGUUUGAAGGGGCAUUGUGCCAAGUCCAAUAUGAACAAUUAGUGUUUUUAAAGGGCAAUACAUCCCAGGGGCCAUAGUCACAGGGCAAGAGGUUGGCAAGCAGGCCUCUCCAAAAACCACUUUCGCCACACUGGCUUUCAUUUUUAUUUUUUUUAUCCCUUUCCCAUUCACAUCUGUUUUCCCAAACAAUUAACCAAGGUUAUACCCAUUUGAUUUUAUACUGGUUUUCCUUAUUUAUAUUUUCUAUUUGGGUAUGAAUUGCAUGUGAUAUUCUUCUAGCCAUAAAUACUUGUUCAAUAUUUGGCAUUCCUAACCCCCCCGUGUUGGUUUUAGCAUCAAAGUCUUGAUAUUAAUUUGCGGCAGUUUCCCUUCCCAUACAAAUUUCCUAAAUCCUGCCUGUAACAUUUUAAAACAAUUUAUUGGAAUGUUAAGAGGGAUUAGUCUGAAAAGGUAAAUCUAUCUUGGAAGAAUGUAUGCCUUUAAAAUGUUUACCCUGCCCCACCAAGAAAUCGUCAUAUUUUUCCAUUCCAUCAAACUUGUAUUAGUUUGUUUUAAUAAAUGUAGACAAUUUAAUUCAAUAAUUUAUCUACACUAAUUUGAACAUCACGGUAAUUUAAUUAAUUUGAGAUCCACUCUAAACCAUAUUCUCUAUCCAAAUAUUUUUUUAUUGCUCUCUGGGAUAUAUCUCUCAAGGGCAAUAGAUUUCUUGAGGUUUAAUUUAUAUCCUGAAAUCACAGAAAAAAAUUAAAUAAUGAGUAUCAAUGGAUUCAUAAAGUUUACAGGGUCUUGUAAAGUUAAAAUCACGUCAUUCGCGUAAAGAUUUAACUUAGAAUUUGUCUGAUAACAUUCUGGUCCCUUAAUGGCUCUGUCUUCCCUUAUUGCAGUUGUAAGAGGUUCCACAGACAUUUUAUACAAGAGUGGGGACAAUGGGGAGCCCUGUCUGCUACCAUUCUUCAAUGGGAACCACUCAGAACUAAACCCAUUUCCUACCACCCUUGCUGUCAGGUUGGUAUACAGAGCCUCAAAUGAUCAUGUCCAUCUACCAAAUGUCUAUUGUUACCUGGGAGAUGUGAUGCGAUCAGAGUUUGAAGGUUGCGAUCUGCCCUGAUAUUCGAGCAUGGAUGCAUUUGAGAGAUGCCGCCAGCAGGGCUGCCAUCAGAAAUUUUGGGGCCCCUGACACACCUCAAGGUCUGGGUCCCCCGGUGCCUGCACCCGAGUCCGCCCAAAGUGUUGCCCCCCCUGAGUCCGCCCACAGGAAUGCAGUGUCUGCAGGGCCCUAGGCAAAAGUAAAAUUUGCCGCCCCCCCAUAUGACAUCACAAUGCCCCGCCCAUAUGAUCUGCCAUGUUAACUAACGCCAGUGCUGCAGUGCCGCCGUGUUUACAUUAAAAGGCCUGCAGGGACAGGCUAUAGACACCAGAACCACUACAUUAAGCUGCAGUGGUUCUGGGGACUAUAGUGUUUCUUUAAUGUGAGGUAAAUUAGAGAUUAGUGCCACGAAUAAUAUACUAGAUUGCCUACUUACAACCAGAUGAGGCUGAUGAUGGGCUCUAGCUGCAGUCUGGCUCCACUGGUCUGGUGUAGAACAGGCUCUCUGGAGGCGGUUUGUAACUGUGGUCACAAAAAUCAAUGUUCUGGGAGAACGGGAAGCAGCUCCAUUUUUUGGGGGUCCUUUACACAGCUCAAGGUCUGGGUCCCAGGGUCCACCUUCAUAUUCCACCAAUGAGUUUGUUCACAGGGGGUGGAGUGUGUAGGGGAUGUCCUGAUAUGUGUGUAAGGAAUGCAUUGUGUGAAUCUGUGUUUGUAUGUGUAAGGGCUGCAAGGUGUGUUUGUGUAUGUAUGGGAUGCAGUGUGUGCGUCUGUAAGGGAUGCAUUGAGUGUGUGUAAUGAAUGCAUUGUGUGUUUCUGUGUGUGUAAGGGAUGCAUUGUGUGUAACGGUUGCAUUGCUUGUGUAUGUGUGUCUGUGUGUGUAAUGCAUUGUGUGUUUUCUGUGUGCAAGGGGUGCAUUGUGUGUAUGUGUGUGUGAUGAAUGUCAAUCUCUCCCCGUCAAUUUCUUUCUCCCCCCAGUCAAUUUCCUUCUCCCCCCCUCCAUCAAUUUCCUUCCAGCCCUCUCCAAUUAGCUUCUCCCUCCCUCAGUUUCUUCUUCUCCCCCCCUCUCCAAUUUCCAUAUUCUCCCCCCCUCAAUUUCCUUCUUCUCCACUCUUCUCCCCCCCUCAAUUUCCUUCUUCUCCCCUCUCCAAUUUCCUUCUUCCCCAUUUCCUUUUUUCUCUCCCUCUCCAAUUUCCCUUCUCCCUCCCCCCAAUUUCCUUGUUCUUCCCCCUCCAAUUUCCUUCUUCUCCCCCCUCUCCAAUUUCCUAACACACGCUCACACACACACACACUUUUUUUUUUUACAUUUCAUCCCCCAGCCUCCCUACCUGUGGGAUUGCUGAGGGGAUUCCCUUGGUUGCAGUGGUGUCACCCGGCGGCUGGUCCUGCGGGCGGGCUGGCGCGCAAAGGAGCACUCUCCCUGGCUGCACGUCAACUUCCGGCUCCGGCAUCAGUGCGGUGCGCGAGGGAGAGUGCUGCCUCGUCCGCCCGCAGGACCGGCCGCCGGGUGACACCAGGUGCAGCCUUGGGGGGCCCUGAGGUGACUGGCUGCUGGGUCCCCCAGGAGAAUAGGCUGGCCACAGUGGGUACAUACCAGGUCGCAGGGCCCCCUGCAACCCCGGUAUGUACGCCACUGAAUCUUCCCUGAGAAACCCCACUACAUUUAUUUUUCCUUGUUUUAAGAUAGGGACUAUAUUGGAUUGUAACAUCUCCAAUGGGAUAUGAUUUAUUUUUUUAUAUAAUUUUAAAAUGUUAUGCAUUUAGAAAAAUACAAGGUUGAUAUUAACAUUCUUUCUAUUCAGAAAAAUGACAAAUAUAUGAACAAAAAUAAAACACACAGUAAAUACAGGACACACGGGUCAAGUAAUAGGCCUUGUUUUUAAUGCUGGUUUUGUCAUUUUGGAUGUGUGGUGAGCUUAUAUAGGUCUAGAUGAUGAGCCUUUCCUUUCGAUUUGUUGCAUAUGCCUCAGUUUAUGAAGUAUUCCAUGAAUAUCUGGGAGUUUAAAAAGCCGACAAUUCUCUACUAGGUCUUGGAACCCUCUGUGCUUCAUAAAAGAAGUAAUAGUGACAGGACCCCGAUUUUCUGGAUUAAGUUCUCUGAAUAUAUGUUCGAUGUUCUUGCUAUAAUCAGUUGUCUGGUUUUUAAGAUAGCACCAUGCUGGAGAACACGCAGGAUUUCUUGUAGUGUAAUAGUUACUUCUUCUGUGGUCUCUGCUAAUUCUAUUUCCUUUUUUAGUCAUGUUUCUGCUCUGUUGAAUGGAGUCCAUAGUGGGAACAGACUUAAGAAGUAUAUUAUCCCCUGGUUUCUUCAGGAGAGGUUACCCAGUAGCAACACUUAAUGCUCUAUAGAAACCAUCUUUAGGAUCAGGAUGGCAGGCAAAAUACAACAGCAUCUAUGUAUAAUCAAGAAGGGCAGGAUCUCUUUUCCGAUUGGCAAACAGCUUAAAGAAAAACGUUAUGAGAUGUUCCAGCCUAUUAAAUGACAGAGGUUCUGUUGGAUUUUCAGGUAUAUGUAGCUGUUUUUGCAGUGAACCAAAGCUCACCCUGGUUGUAGCUUUCUUCAUUAAUAGUACCACGUCUGUACUCAUCUAUAUUUUGAAACCUGUGCAGUGUGUUAAGAAGCUGACUGGAUGAAGGGUAUAGCCAUGGCAAAGAGGCUGAUAAUAGAAAUGUGGGCCAGUUGACUCCAUCCGAGUUCAGAGAUAAUGCAAACGUUAUUUCUUGAAUCUCUGGGACUGAGAGAUUCAUCCAUAAAUCUGGGAGGACAUCAUUGCCGAUGUUCAUUGAUGUGAGGUCCAUUUGGGAGCCACCUGCAUGCGUUGCUCAUACAGGUUGUUCAGUUGUAAAAUAGUUAAUGUUCCAUUAAUUAACAUUUCCACUGGAAGAGAUUGAAAGGGAGUAGGUGAAUCAGGAAUUACUUUUAACAUCAGAACUGAUGUAGAUGUCUGCUCGCUCCGGAGCAAGUUCAUUUGGUAUCUUUGUGCUUGUUUCAAUGUAAUGAUGUGCACCUUGAAUUAGUUUUUCAAUACUUGACAUUUCUGCUAAAAGUCUAGCUCCCAGCCAUGUCUUUGUAAGCAUGUUCAGCUUUUGAUAUUAGAUCCUGACAAACAUCCAGGGCCGGACUGGCCCACCGGGAUACCAGGACAUUUCCCGGUGGGCUGCAGUAAUCUGAGGCUGGGCAGACAGCCCAAAUCAUUAGAUUGUUUUUUAAGAAUUUUCCCCUCGAGCUGUGCCAGCCUGUGUCAGUCCAAGGGGAGUAAUGAGGGAGGAGCUGGUGGCUGGUGCAGCUGCAAUUAGUCUGCCCGCGGCCGGAGGGAGACCUAUGAGUCUCCCUGAACUAUUUACCUUAAUUUCGUCCACUUGCCCUGCCUCGGCAUACAAGCCCCACCUCUGUAAUGCAAGCCCCACCUCCCUCAUGUAAGCUCCGCCCCCACGCACGGUGCUGACCUCGCUGCAAAGAAGGGCCACAAAAUGGCAACUUCAGCUGCUGCCAGUGCCAGGUAAGCUUCAGCCACGGCUGUGUGUGCCUGCUAGUGAGAGAUAGUGUGUCUGUCUGCUAGUGAGAGAGUGUGUGUCUGUCUGCUAGUGAGAGAGAGUGUCUGUCUGCUAGUGAGAGAGAGUGUGUCUGUCUGCUAGUGAGAGAGAGUGUGAGUGUGUCUGCUAGUGAGAGAGAGUGUGUCUGUCUGCUAGUGAGAGAGAGUGUGAGUGUGUCUGCUAGUGAGGGAGAGUGUGUCUGUCUCCUAGUGAGAGAGAGUGUGAGUGUGUCUGCUAGUGAGAAAGAGUGUGAGUGUGUCUGCUAGUGAGAGAGAGUGUGUCUGUCUGCUAGUGAGAGAUAGUGUGUCUGCUAGUGAGAGAGUGUGAGGCUGCUAGUGAGAGAGAGUGUGAGUGUGUCUGCUAGUGAGAUAGUGUCUGUGUCUGCUAGUGAGAGUGUGUGUCUGCUAGUGAGAGAGAGUGUGAGUGUGUCUGCUAGUGAGAGAGUAUGACUGCUAGUGAAAGAGGGUGUGAGUGUGUCUGCUAGUGAGAGAGUAUGUGUGUCUGCUAGUGGGAGAGAGUGUGAGAGAGUGUGUGUCUGCUAGUGAGAGAGAGUGUGAGUGUGUCUGCUAGUGAGAGAGUGUGACUGCUAGUGAAAGAGGGUGUGAGUGUGUCUGCUAGUGAGAGAGUGUGUCUGUCUUCUAGUGAGAGAGAGUGUCUGUCUGCUAGUGAGAGAGAGUGAGUGAGUGUGUCUGCUAGUGAGGGAGAGUGUGUCUGUCUCCUAGUGAGAGAGAGUGUGAGUGUGUCUGCUAGUGAGAGUGAGUGUGUCUGCUAGUGAGAGAGAGUGUGUCUGUCUGCUAGUGAGAGAGAGUGUGUCUGCUAUUGAGAGAGUGUGAGGCUGCUAGUGAGAGAGAGUGUAAGUGUGUCUGCUAGUGAGAGAGGGUGUGAGUGUGUCUGCUAGUGAGAUAGUGUAUGUGUCUGCUAGUGAGAGAGAGUGUGUGUCUGCUAGUGAGAGAGAGUGUGAGUGUGUCUGCUAGUGAGAGAGUGUGACUGCUAGUGAAAGAGUGUGUGAGUGUGUCUGCUAGUGAGAGAGUGUGUGUCUGCUAGUGAGAGAGAGUGUGAGUGAGUGUGUGUCUGCUAGUGAGAGUGUGAGUGAGUGAGUGUGUGUUUCUGUGUCUGUUUGAUAGUGAGUGAUCUAUGACUGUGUGCCUGUUGAUGUGUGCUAGUAGGUGUCUUAGUAUGGACAAUGUUUGCUAUUGUUUAGAUAUACUUUGUGCUUAGAGGUGAGAUCCUUUUAAACUGGUAUCCAGGACUCAGUGCUAAGAUGUGCUCUCUGAGUAUGAGAUACAAUAACGAUAUGGAAAUGUAAAGACCCAGUCCUGGGACAAGAGGAACAUCACAAUAAUGGGCUUCAGGGCAGCCCAGUGCCAUUGUGCUUAAACCACUCAUUAAUAAAAUAAAGACUGACACAUGACGGAGUUGGGUCAAGUCUGAUGAGGUUUCCUGAGAUCAGGCAGAGAGUUUAGGUGGUCUGUGUUUAUUUCAACAGCACUAAUUGGACCCUUUCCUCUCCUCCCCUCUGCAAGACCACCAGAUUUAGUUUGAUCGCCUAGGGGAAAAAAUCUCCACAUAUUCAGAGAUUUUUGUUUAUUUUUACUGCACCAACAAGUUAAUGAAUAGGCCAAGAUCAAUAAGGCUCUGAAAUUGUGAAAGGGAAGCAGCCAGGUAGUUAUUCCAAUUAUCUUGCCAAAGAAAGGGUUCCAGGAGAAUCCCUUCUGUGCAAAGCAGGGAGUUUCUUUAUCACAACUCUAGUGGUUAAAGGUUCUUUUUUUUUUUUAAAGAGAAAUACACAGUGAUUGCUUGUGUAUGAGUUACUGCCUAAAUGUUUAGCAGAAAGAGACCCCUGUAUACCAGCUGGGAGUGAGUGAACGUUUGUGUGUGUGUGUGUGCCUGCUAGUGAGUGAGCUUGUGUGUAUGGCUGCUAGUGAGUGAGCUUGUGUGUGUGUUUGUCUGCUAGUGAGUGAGCUUUUGUGUGUGUGUGUCUGCUAGUGAGUGAACUUGUAUGUGUGUGUGUCAGUGGGCUUGUCUGUUGGAAGCAUGUGUGUGUGUCAGUGGGCUUGUCUGUUGGAAGCAUGUGUGUGUCAGUGAGCUUAUCUGUAUGGAGCAUGUGUGUGUGUCAGUGAGCAUUUCUGUAGUGAGCAUGUGUGUGUUAGCUUGUCUGUAAUGAACAUGUGUGUCAGUAUGCUUGUCUGUAGUGAGCAUGUGGGUGUCAGUGAGUGUGUGUGUGUGUGUGUGACCGUGAUCUUGUCUGUAGUAAGCCUGUGCAUGUCAGAGUUUGUCUGUACUAAAUUUGUGUGUGUACCAUUAAACUUGUCUGUGUGUGUCAGUGAGAUUGUGUUUUUAUGUUAAUGAGCGUAUGUAUAUUAAUGAGAUUGUCUGUCUGUCUGUGAGACUGUGAAUCAAAGAGCUUGUGACAGUGAGAUUGUCUGUGUCUGCAUGUGGGUAUGCUUACUGUACAGUAUAGUUAAAUGUUUUACUCUAAAAGGACCAAUAUUUUGAAAAAAAAAAAUAUAUAUAUACACAUAAAAUAUAUAUAUACACGCAUACAUAUACACACACAUAUAUAUAUAUAUUACACACAAUACACAGCACAAUGACUUAUGGGGCUGGCAUAGAUUUUUUUUGCCAGGGCUGCUUUGUACCCCCAGUCCGGCCCUGCAAACAUCUAAGGCUUUAGAUUUUAUCAGAUCACCAACAGAAAUACAGAGCAGUCAAAAUUUUACAUGCUAACCCAAUAAAUAAAGCAGAGGUAGGCAACUUUCAACCUAGUCCAGAUAUUAUGGACUACAUCUCAUUGAGGCUUUGCCAGUAUUAUGAUUCUAAUGGCUUCUAUGGGUGAUGUAGUCCAUCUGGGGUGCCAUAGGUUGCCAGCUCCUAAACUAGAACCUUUUUAGUUACUUGACCCUCCUCCCCCCAAAAAAAAUGUCCUAAAACAAGCACUCCAUGUCAGUGCAUGGGUGACUGUAGGGGUGUACUUGAGUGGAGUGUUAAUGCAUGUAAUGUUUACAAAAAUUAAACAUUUGAAUUCAACAACAUCGUUCGUAUUUCAACAAUCCACAAAAAUUAUUAAAGUACCACCAUCUGAGAUUAAUAUAGUCCUAAAUUGAGUUGCUAAUCCAAAAUUAAAUCCAAAGAAGUAAAUAAUACAUACUUUAUAUAACAUAACUAACACAAACAACAUGGAAGACAUAAGGGUAUCCACUGAGAACAAAAAAAGGUGGGCGAGACCGGAUUUAUUUCUUUAAUAAAUUAAAUCAGCCCAGAACCACCUUCAGGAUAAUAUCUGUAACCAUUUAACAAAUAAAUGCAUCUAUGCAGGGGUUUAUUUUACUGAAAGGUAAACAUUUAUUCUUUAUAGUAGUCGAACCAAUAUUGUAAGUAGCAAUAUUGUUAUCGUUAAAAUAGAUCGCCUUUUCCAUUAGCUCUUAAAGGCGGAUUUGAGCUUUGAUCUCUAUUAAGGAGGGAGGUUCAUUCUGUCUCCAUUUUCUGGCAAUACAAAGCUUAACAGCCAUCAAAAGAUGUAUGGACAAAUAUGAAGGUGGUUUAUGCAUUUUUGGCAUGUCUAAAUGGAAUAAAAUUAUUUCUGGGGAUGAAUUGAUAUUCAAUUUGAAAUCAGCAAAAAGUUUAAACACUCCUAAUUUAAGAGUGUCCAAGCCAGUACAAUCCCACCAAAUAUGUUUAAGUGAGCCAGGUUCUUUAUUACAGCGCCAACAAACGUUGGUGGAGUUUAUUUGGAAUUUACAUAUUUUCGUAGGGACCAUAUACCACCUAUGUAUAAGUUUAAGAUAGGUUUCUUGUAUAUUUGUACAAUGUGUCAUUUUCCUUAGUGCUACAAAUGAAUUUAACCAGUCUUGACAGUAAAAAGGUUUACCCAGUUCGGCUUCCCACUUAAUAACAGUAUUGAGUUUAACACCCUGGUUUAAUGCAUCCAAGGCUCUUCUAAUGGUUGAAGUUUUAUAGUAAGCCUCCCCAAAGAGUAUUUUAUCAAAGGGUGAAUCUCUAGUUAUAGGUGUCUUGUGGAGAAAGUCACGUAUUCUUAGGUGUAACGGAACUCCCUGUACUCUGACCGAGUACCUUCCUUCUUGCCGUCUUCCUUCCACCCUGGAUCAGCUUCUGUCCUCCAGGACUGUGUAGGAAAGACCUCUUCCUCCAGGACUGUGUGGGGAAGACCUCUCCUCCAGAAGAGCGUAUCAGGAACAGCUCUUAGAAGAGCUAAGUGAUUAAAGCUCAGGGAAGUAUGGAGAGCAAUUCCCAGUGUGGGUAUAGCUGUCCCCUCCAAUCACGAGACAAGACUACGUGUUGAGGGUCAAGAAGAACUGAAGUUUUAAUUAGCACCAAAGGGCUUUCUUUUAUGCAGGUUUUCCCUACAUAGGACCACCCACAGGGUUUUGCAGAACAACCAAUAAACAUGUAGUAUACAUUACAAACACUCCCAUCAAUUACACACAAAAUCCUCCCCUCUGCCUGUGAUAUAAUUACUGCACACAGUGGAUUAAUGUAAUUAUCACAGGCAGGAAAAAUAUAAUUUUUCCACAUGUACUUUAAUUUAAAACUAUACAUCCAAUCUUCAUAAAUAUAAAUCACAUAUUAUUAACCAGCAUACUUUAAAUAUGAACAUACUCAAAAAUCAUGCAAAUCCUUCCAGUAGUUCAAAAGUUAGUCGGAAGUCCUUUGUGACCGACCGCAAGCACAUUUUCCUGCCCAAAACAGUUCCAUAGAUUUGGGCUGUGCGGUCAGUCAAUUUCACACUGGAAAAGUCCCAUUCGAACAUGCGUUAGAAUCUUCGAAUGGGACUUAGUCUCUGUGGCUAAAAACUCAGUGAAGGAGAAGGUAAGGGUCAGCGGUGUUCGUUGAAAUGUGUAGCUGAUUUCAGUUCCAUGGAUUUGGCUACACACACCGCUGACCGCGUGCGAAUGAACAAAGAUGGCUGCCGCCACGUGCUCAUUUGUCAAAUGGCGGCCACUUCGACUACUUCGGCACUUUGGCUGCAUCCAUAGUGCCAAUUUAAAGCUGCAGAACUGCUCCAAUACAAUUUAAAGGGGCAGCAAGAGUCUUUUAAAAUCCAAUCUGCUAAAAUAGUCUUUAACAGGCAAUAUCUUCCAGGAGCCAUAGUCUUAAAGGGGCAUUGUUCACCAAAGUCACAAUGUGCCCACAGACAGUUUUUAAAGGGCCAUACACAGUACAAUAAAAGUCCAUAAGCCCAAAUGCUGGUUUAAAAGGGUACAAUCUCCCAGGGGCCAUAGUCGCAGGGGAGGAGGCAGGCAAGCAGGCCUCUUCAGGACAAAGUGGCGAAGGGCACUUUGUCACAUUAGGUAUGUAAAAUACUCUGUAUUCGGUAUUCCUAUUUUUUUCCUGAAGGUACAGAAAACUGCUCAUCUCAGAAUUCCCUUAAAUGUCUUGAAUUUUUUUUCCCUCGUCUCCAGCCAACAUUCCGAUAAAAUUGAGAUCUUGGAUAAAUAAUUUUACAAUUUUUAAAGGAGCAUUUAUGGAGAUUUGAUUUUGAAUGAAGAAAUAUUUAUGUAUCAGCUUCAUAGAUUGAAAAAUAUGAAUUAUGAGUGGAUUAUCAAUAAGUAGAUUUUUAAAUUGUUUCUUAUCUACCCAAAAAAGGUCCAAAGAGUCAAUAGUACUACACACUUUAUUUUCAUAUACACUGCUCAAAAAAAUAAAGGGAUCACAAAAAUGACAUCUCCUAGAUCUGAAUGGAUUAAAUAUUCUUGUGAAAUACUUUGUUCUUUACAAAGUUGAAUGUGCUGACAACAAAAUCACACAAAAAUUAAAAAAUAGAAAUCACAUUUUUCAACCCAUGGAGUCUGGAUUUGAAGUCACACUCAAAAUGAAAGUGAUAAAACACACUACAGGCUGAUCCAACUUUGAUGUAAUGUCCUUAAAACAAGUCAAAAUGAGGCUCAAUAGUAUGUGUGGCCUCCACGUGCCUGUAUAACCUCCCUACAAUGCCAAUGCAUGCUCCUGAUGAGGUGGCGGAUGGUCUCCUGAGGGAUCUCCUCCCAGACCUGGACUAAAGCAUCUGCCAACUCCUGGAUAGUCUGUGGUGCAACGUGACAUUGGUGGAUGGAACGUGACAUUGGUCCCAGAUAUGCUCAAUUGGAUUCAGGUCUGGGGAACGGACGGGCCAGUCCAUAGCAUCAAUGCCAUCGUCUUGCAGGAACUGCUGACACACUCCAGCCACAUGAAGUCUAGCAUUGUCUUGCAUUAGGAGGAACCCAGGGCCAACCGCACCAGCAUUUGGUCUCACAAGGGGUCUGAGGAUCUCAUCUCGGUACCUAAUGGUAGUCAGGCUACCUCUGGCGAGCACAUGGAAGGCUGUGCGGUCCCCAAAGAAAUGCCACCCAACACCAUUACUGACCCACUGCAAAACCAGCCAUGCUGGAGGAUGUUGCAGGCAGCAGAACGUUCUCCACGGCGUCUCCAGACUCACAUGUGCUCAGUGUGAACCUGCUUUCAUCUGUGAAGAGCACAGGGAGCCAGUGGCGAAUUUGCCAGUCUUGGUGUUCUCUGGCAAAUGCCAAACGUCCUGCAUGGUGUUGGGCUGUAAGCACAACCCCCACCCAUGGAUGUUGGGCCCUCAUACCACCCUUCAUGGAGUCUGUUUCUGACCGUUUGAGCAGACACAUGCAAAUUUGUGGUCUGCUGGAGGUAAUUUUGCAGGGCUCUGGCAGUGCUCCUCCUGUUCCUCCUUGCCCAAACGCGGAGGUAGCGGUACUGCUGCUGGGUUGUUACCCUCCUAUGGCCUCCUCCAAGUCUCCUGAUGCACUGGCCUGUCUCCUGGUAGCACCUCCAUGCUCUGGACACUACACUGACAGACACAGCAAACCUUCUUGCCACAGCUCGCAUUGAUGUGCCAUCCUGGAUGAGCUGCACUACCUGAGCCACUUGUGUGGGUUGUAGACUCCGUCUCAUGCUACCACUAGAGUGAAAGCACCGCCAGCAUUGAAAAGUGACCAAAACAUCAGCCAGGAAGCAUAGGAACAGAGAAGUGGCCUGUAGUCACCACCUGCAAAACCACUCCUUUAUUGGGGGUGUCUUGCUAAUUGCCUAUAAUUUCCACCUGUUGUCUAUCCCAUUUGCACAACAGCAUGUGAAAUUGAUUGUCACUCAGUGUUGCUUCCUAAGUGGACAGUUUGAUUUCACAGAAGUGUGAUUGACUUGGAGUUACAUUGUGUUGUUUAAGUGUUCCUUAUUUUUGAGCAGUGUAUAUACCAUGCUUUCAGCCUUGAUUUACUGUUUCCACAUUCUAGAAAAUUUAAAAACAUUGCAGUAUCAUGAGUAUAAAAAACGUUCGGGAAGGAUAAACCUCCUUCCAUUAUUCUAGCUGACAUAAUUCUAAGCGCAAUCCUGAGAGGGGAUAUGAUAACUUUAUACAAAUAUAUUCGGGGCCAGUACAAACCUUUAUCUGGAAAUCUAUUCAUAAACAGGGUUAUACAUAGGACACAAGGUCACACAUUUAGGCUGGAAGAAAGGAGAUUUCAUCUAAGGCAAAGAAAAGGUUUUUUACAGUAAGAACAAUAAGGAUAUGGAAUUCUCUGCCUGAAGAGGUGGUUUUGUCAGAGUCCAUACAGAUGUUUAAACUGAAAUUGGAUAAAUACUUACAAAAACAUAACAUACAGGGAUAUAAUUUCUAAUUAGUGGGGUAAUAGCUGAUUGAUCCAAGGAGACAUCUGACUGCUAUUUUGGGGUCAAGAAGGAAUUUUUUCCUAGUUUGUGGUAAAAUUGGAAGUGCUUCAGACCAGGUUUUUUGCCUUCUUUUGGAUCAACAGCAACAACAUUUCUGAGGAAGGCUGAACUUGAUGGACGCAAGUCUCUUUUCAGCUAUGUAACUAUGUAACUAUGUAAAAUCCUUGGUUUCUUGUUGCCCCAAACGUAUGAUACGAAUAAAGAAUGAAAUAAUUGGAGGUUCUUCUUUGGGACUCUCAAGGGGAUUUUGCGGAAAAGAUAUUCUAAUUUUGGGCUCUUAUAAGUAGGCUCUUAGAAUAUUUAUUCUUCCAAGCCAUGGUAAUUGUAGUUUAGACCAUUUUAGGAUAGUGUUUCUAAAUUCUUUAAGAAGUGAGUUAUAAUUAUAAAAAAUCCACUCAUCAAUAUUAAAAUGGAUAGCUAUUCCCAGAUAACAAAGGGAAUUAGACCAAUUAAGUUUAUGGACUUUAUUCAAAUUUUCUAUUUGAGAAGUUGAGAGAUUAUAUUGUAAAACCUGUGUUUUUUGCAUGUUAAUUUUAUAAAUGGAAAAUCUACUAUAUUCCUCUAUACAUUGUUAAGUGCAUGGAAUAGAGGAUUCGGGAUUUGUUAAUGUCAUAAUUAUGUCAUCAGCAAACAGUUAUUUUUUGUUCUUGGUCUCCUAAAUCCACCCCAGUAUUAUUAUGUUUUUGUCUUAUUUAUACUGUCAGUGGCUCAAUAGAUAGUAUAAAAAGGAGGGGUGCCAAAGGGCAUCCCUGGUGGGUUCCAUUUGUAAUAGUAAACCAAUCGUAAUCUAGACCAUUACCAUAUAUUUUUGCCACGGGAGAAGAGUAUAGGGACAUUGUUAAGUCUUUAAAAGUUCCCUCAAUCCCAAACGCGGAAAGUGUAGCAGACAGGAAUUUCCAAUUUACCCGUCAAAAGCUUUUUCGGCAUCAACAGCUAUAAAAACUGUAGGGACAGAUUUUUUUUUUAUCAACUUCAAUCAUCAUAUUCAAGAUCUUACGAAUAUUAUCUCUAAUUGAUCUUCCUCUCAGGAAGCCAGAUUGAGCUAGCUGGAUUAGAUCUGAAAUUAUCUGGGUAAGUCUGUCUGCUAAAAUUUUGGAGAAUAUUUUUAUGUCUUAAUUAAUAAGGGAGAUCGGACAAUGAUUUCUAGGUGAGGUGUUUUUAAAUAAAACUAUUACAAUCUCUAAGAUUUGAAAUCAUUGUUUAGUGAAUAAGCGAGUGCGCUGGAUUCUGUAUUUUGCAUAUUUUGGCCCCAGCAGCACCCUAUAAUGUAUGCAUAUUCAUGUGAGUGCAGCCCUCUUGGUUUCUUUUAUAUAUAUAUAUAUAUAUAUAUAUAUAUAUAUAUAUAUAUAUAUAUAUAGCUCAAUAACAUAAAAUAAAGAAAUAAGCAAAAUAAUAAAAAAAAAAUACAAAAUUACAUAUGUAUUAAGGCCGUUUGGCCUGUAAUUGUAGGAGGGGCAUGUAUUUUCCCUACUUUCCCUAAAACUCUUACCUUACUCCACACCAUCCCUGGUCUAGCGAUUUGCAUGUGACUGAUUCCGGGUCAUAUGGAGGUCGCCAUCUUGCAACUCACCUGUUCCUCGUGGUUACCCUGUUCCUGCUCGUUUUCUUCCACUGGCCGCAGCAUUCUGUGUUCAAACAGCCCACUCCAAGCAGGCAACUUUGAGUACAAAACUAGGAACACACCAAAACCGUAAGCUACUGACCUAACCGUCGCACCAUGGUCACAGUCCCACGGCGUCAUCCCGGUUCAGGGCUAUCUCUGUGCUUUUACAUUCACUUAUUUCUUAUGGUGCACUGUUCACUGUUUUUUUUCAUUUUGUGGCAUCUCCUGAAUGAGGUAGUUUCAUUCUCCUCGCUUAGUCAUGUUAUGGCUUCAGUUUCAUUCUAAAAUGAGGAUCAUCUGCUCGUACGCAGGUUAUUUCACUAUCUUUUGUUUAGUCUACACGAAAGCCUAUGGCACUUAGUGCUUUUCGUGCACAAAUUCGUAUCUAGGUUAACUGCUGUGACAAACUACACUUCGCCACUGACUUUUGGAGAGGCCUGCUUGCCAGCCUCUUGCCCUGUGACUAUGGUCCAUGGUGUGUAUGGGCAUUUCAAAAGUCUAGUUGGGCUUAUUGGAUUUUAAAACACUUUUUCUGCCCCUUUAAAUCCAUGGGAAAAUGUGCCUCUUCCCCUCUCCUUUUUCCUAUUUUUUUCUCCAGCAGGGCGUUGUCCCAGGGACACUGCUUUGGCUGCUUUGUCCCUACUCAAUCUCCCAUCAGCCCUUGCUAUUUUCUGACCUCACCCUUGUACUAUAGGGCACUUUUAACAUUGGACAUAUUGAGCGCUCCGAUCCAUAUCUGGGGAUAUGUUGGACAUAUAGGUUAAACAUUGUAUUAUAAGAGUUAUGCAUUUUUAUGUGGUGUUUGACUUUCCUGUUACUGGAGAUAACUAAGUUACCACAGCCACAUGAGCCAAUUAUCUCCAGGAUAGAGGAGAAGAUAGACAGGUGUGAGUUCCAGAGAGCCGAAGGUGUUGUCCUUCCUCCCCAGCGGCAGUGUCCCCUACAGGGAGUGGAGGCAAUCAGUCUCCCUCCCCAGCGGCAGGGGGAGUCUCAGGGAGAGGAGACAGACAGUCUCCCUCCCCAGCGGCAGAAUAUUGUAUUGGGAGUAGAGACAACCAGUCUCUCUUCCCAGCAGCAGGACAAUGUUAUAGGAGUGGAGUCAGUCGGUCUCAUUCCCCAGUGGCACUGUGAAUCCCAGGGAACUGAAGGUGUCGUCCUUCCUCCCCAGCGGCAGGGUGAGUUCCAGGGAGCCGAAGGUGUCGUCCUUCCUUCCCAGCAGCAGUGUCCCCUACAGAGAGUGGAGACAAUCGGUCUUCGUCCCCAGUGGCAGGGUGAUUCUCAGGGAAAGGAGACAGCUGGUCUCCCUCCCCAGUGGCAGAAUAUUAUAUUGGGAGCAGAGACAACCGGUCUCUCUCCCCAGCAGCAGGACAAUGUUAUGGGAGUGGAGACAGGCUGUCCCACUGCCCAGCGGCAGCAUGUACUAUAUGGAGCGGAGAAUAUCACCCUCUCUCCCUAGCAGAAGCUGACCCUACAAAGAGGAGACACUAAUCUCCCAGACAGUACAGAUGGGACCGUGGUCUCUGUACUCGACCUACAGGGAUGCUGGAGGGCCGGUCCAGAUACCCAGCUACCCUCGCAGGAGCACCAGGAGGAGGAGGUAUGUGAGGUCUCCCCUCCCCAGCCAAGUGUCACACAGGCUACCCAAGCAGAAGGCGCUGCUGGCCUCUGCCCCCCAAGUCUCCGCCAGCGGGAUUAGAGUUGCUGGCCACCGAAUCAGUGACCUGGUACACACAGGCCAGAGUUGGCCACCAGGAAUCACAAGGUGCAGUGAUCAUUUGUUGUGGGUGGGCUAGGCUGGUGCUUGUCUGUUGUGGGUGGUCAGAUACCUGGUUAGUCUACCCCCAAAGGGGAGAUAUGUGAAAAACUGCCAUUUGCCACUGGCUUUCUUUGUGCCAAUCUGCUCUGCUCCCCUAGCUUAUGGAGAAGCCUGCUUGCCAGCCUCCUGCCUCAUGACUAUGGCCCUGGUGUGUAUGGCCCUUUAAAAACAGUAUUUGGGCUGAUGGACUGUUAUUUGACUAGUGCUGGCACUUUAAGCACAUUAUUGGGACUUUGUGAGAAUUGGAACAGUGCCCCUUUAAGUUGUAUUGGAGCAGUUCUUCUUCACCCUCAAUCUAGAGUUAGAAACAUAGAAACAUAGAAUGUGACAGCAGAUAAGAACCAUUCGGCCCAUCUAGUCUGCCCAAUUUUCUAAAUACUUUAAUUAGUCCCUAGCCUUAUCUUAUAGUUAGGAUAGCCUUAUGCCUAUGUUCUUAUCUGCCGUCACAUUCUAUGUUUCUAUGUUAUAACUUGCUUAGCCUCUUUCUGCCUAAUCUUAUAGAUCAUUUUGUCUUCCUCACUCUGGGUUUUUUUUUAUAAUUCCUAAAUGCUAACUUUUUGUUUUUAACUAUUUUGGCCACAUCUGCGGAGUACCACAGUGGUUUCUUGAAUUUUUGCUUUUACUGACAAGCCUAAUGCAAUUUUCUGUUGCCUUCAAUAGUGCAACUUUUAAAUAAUCCCAUUUCUCUUGGACUCCAUUUAAAUUGCUCCAGUCUGAUAAUGACUCCUCUACCCAUAUUCUAAUUUUAAAAAAGUCUGUUUUUCUAAAGUCUAAAACUUUUGUUUUUGUGUGGUGUGUAGUGCAGUACUACCCAUCUGGUCUAUUUCUCCUCUUUUUUUGUGUCUUUUGGAGGAACAUGAUUCAGGAAGUGGUGUGUUGCUGCCCAAAGAGCAAAAAGAUUUACUUUACUGAGCCAAUACCAUAUAGGCUCCAGACUAUGUGAGUGGGUCUAGUUAUUUACUUUUAUCAUCCAUUACCGCUAAAGACCAUCUGCACCAUAUUUCUUGUUUUUUUUUUUUCUUUUAUAUGUGUUUUCAAGUGUAUAUUCCAAAGUGUGGUAUCACACUAAAUUGAUGGGAUAAGUGGACACCUUUAUCACUUAAUAUAUUUAUAUAGCGCUCCACUAGUUGGUGUAUAUUUUAUAACAUAUCUUUUAGUAUUGUAAAUUGAUUGUGGAAAUACGGGUAUUUCACUUUAUGUGUUGAGCUGCUUCUCAUUUAGGCACUACAGAGUAUCAUUCACUAUCUCUGGAAAGAGGUUUUUACUGUUUUUGUUAAUGUUGCAGGAAACAGUUUGACUUUUUCUACAUUUAUCUUUGUGAAGAAUUUCCCCUUUUGUACACUAUUUCUACCUCUUUGCAUUUGGUAGAUGUACCUACCAAACAAAGACCACCCCCCUAUUGAGGCCUCUGUCUGUGUGGCCAGCGUUCGUACUACCGAACGCCACGUGACAGAGAAAACCGCGGCCAUCUUUGUUCAUGCGACUCCUCUACCCAAAAGUCUGUUUUUCUGUGUGACUCAGUCACUGUUCAUAUAUUAAACCACACUGACUGAUGAUCACUGGAUCCUAAACUUUUACCUACAGUAAUAUCUGAUACCAAAUCUCCAUUUGUUAACACUAAAUCUAGUAAGGCCUCUUUACGAGUUGGCCCCUCAACAACUUGUUUUAGAGACAAUUUAACAGGGUGAAAGCCUAAUAUAAGGGUAAAGUAUCAAGGUAGUGAAGGGGUUAACCCUAAAUGCAAGUAUAAUUGAGAAGAAGGAGAGAGAGCACUACCUAAAAAAAUAUAAUCUAAAAUUUAACUUUUAAUAGUGAACAAAAUACAGAGUGAUCAUUUCACACAUUAGUAAGUCUAGAUACAUGCAUAUCAAGACACAGAAAGAUAAUAUGAAAAAAUGUAAGAUUUAAAAACCAAAAGGCAAUAUCUAAAUAUCAAAGAUGUAGUUAACAAUGUUAAAUAGACUUAGAUAUCCAACUUUGAAUAGAAACUGUCUGCUAUUGUGGUACUGUUGCAAUUUGUCAAGAGUAUUCUGUUACAGUUAAUCAAGCUUUGCAAAUAAAAAAACGUCUGUUGCUGUAGUUUGUGAAGAAUACUUCGUUACAAAUUGGUCAUAAACGAAAAUUACCAACUUUGAAUAGAAACUGUCUGCUAUUGUGGUACUGUUGCAAUUUGUCAAGAGUAUUCUGUUACAGUUAAUCAAGCUUUGCAAAUAAAAAAACGUCUGUUGCUGUAGUUUGUGAAGAAUACUUCGUUACAAAUUGGUCAUAAACGAAAAUUACCAACUUUGAAUAGAAACUGUCUGCUAUUGUGGUACUGUUGCAAUUUGUCAAGAGUAUUCUGUUACAGUUAAUCAAGCUUUGCAAAUAAAAAAACGUCUGUUGCUGUAGUUUGUGAAGAAUACUUUGUUACAAAUUGGUCAUAAACGAAAAUUAAACGCUCUAGUGGUAUGACAACACGAGAAUACUGUCUAAUUUGACUAUUAGGCUGCAGUUAGGCGUUCACGUGUGUUAUGUAAAAAAUGUGCGAGGUAGCACCUUCUGGGAGUAAUCCGUUCUAUAAAACCCCAAAGUAAAUGUAGUCAGAAGGUAAAGGUAUAUCUGUGCCUUCGAGGGCACCUGUCAGACAGAGAAGCUAACUGCAAGUAAUAAGGAAAAGGAGAGGAAAAAAGAAUUAUAUCUAUAUCUUCAGUAAAUAACUGUGCCUUCAAGGGCACCUUUCUAGUAAAUAUAGCAAAUAGUAAAGCUAACUCGCUAGCGUCUAAAUGUCAAAAGCCUUAAUCAGUAUCCUGUAAUAUGUUGUUGAGUGUCAAUACACUGCGAGCGUUAUAGCCUCAAAUAAUACGAGCGGCUAAAUCCUUGAUUGCCCUCCCGACAUGCCCAGUGUCUAAAUAAUUCUUAACCGAGAUAUAGGUUUUUUGAAGAAUAAUCCCUGCAAGUGCAGAGUGUUUUUGGUGUUAGGAGGGAUCGAAAAAACCCCGACGCGCGUUUCGCCGGUAAGGCGGCUUUUCAAGGGGAACUUGGUCAUAGCCGGUUAGACUUUUAAAUAUGGCGCCCAGAGGUUUGAUUGGAGUCCCGAAGCUGUUAACGUCAUCAGUUAUGGCUGACGUAAGACGGUGGUCGGAGAAGACCAUUUAACUUUGUUCAAAGUUGAAUUGUAUGUUUGUGUAUUUCUAUAUUAAAGCAGGAGAUAUAGAAAGUAUGGGAUAAGAGAUAAGGAUUUAAUGCAAUCAUAAAUGAUGUAUAGAUAUAUCGCAAUUGUUAUGCUUGUCCCUUAAUUGUCUAAUAGGUAUGUUGUUAACAUAAAUUAGUGUGGUAUAAGUACAUGUGUAUUUUUAUUUAUUAUUUUUUAUUUUUUAUUAUUUAUUAUUUAUGUUAGGCAGAUGCCAUAUAAGGAGCUAAUCACUUUGCCACUCCAUAUGUUUGGCGGCAGUACACAUGAAUGUAUUAGAUUAGAUAGAACAACUAUGUUACAGAAUUGCACAUUAAUGAAUAAAUGGUAAGUAUGAUGCAUCUUGAUCUCCUAUUUAAUUAUGUAAACGGAACAGAAAAGUAUCCUGAAGGUAUGAAGUACGGGACAGGUGCUGCUUAAAGAUACAGCAGGGGACGCUAUAGGUGAUUAUUAUCUCUAUAGUAUCUUGUAGUUCGAAGUGAUAAAUUGUUAGUAAUUUGAAGAAAAUCAAAAUCAGUAUGGGUUGUUAAUCUGAAAGUAUCGUUAUAUACAUAUAAUUAGAUGUAAUGAGAAAGUGCCAAAAAAUGAAGGGAAGGGGAACGUUGUUAUGUCUUGGAAACUAGAUUAAAAAAUGUAUGUUUAGUGUAUAAAUGGUGUGUAGUUGAAUUCCUCAUUAAGUCCCUGUGGUGUGAGGGUCCUAAAUGAGUAUAUCCAUUUGGAUUCUUUUUGCAGUAGUUGUUGAUUGAAGUUACCUUUUCUAGGGUUAAAUGUCAGUUUCUCAAUAGCCUGAAAUCUUAAGUUAUCAACAUUGCCAUGAUGGAAAUUCAUGAUAUGUCUUGCUACAGGUAUAGGGGUUAUAGUGUUUUUUAUCGAAUUGAUGUGUUGAAGGAUCCUUCGACGAAAGGGUUGGAUUGUCUUUCCGAUAUAUUGGAUGCCACAUUUACAUGUGAUCAGAUACACUAACCGGGUGGUGCUGCAGUUGACCAAAGCGUUAGUUUUGAUGGUAAUUUUGGAUUGUGUAGACGUUGUUGAUUGGGAGGGAGUUAUGAACUGGCAUGCUUUGCAAUGGCCACAUCUAUAUGUUCCCUUGGUGUUUGUAAGCCAAUAAGGUUCUGCUGGGGUGGGGGCCAAAAAGCUAUGAACUAGAAGAUCUUUAAGAUUCUUAGAUCUUCGAGCAGUGAUGGAUGGAUGGCUAGGCAAUGAUUUCUUCAAUGUGGAAUUGUGUAGAAGGAUAGGCCAAUGGUCGGAAAAUGUCUGCGUCAUUUUUUCCCAACCGCUGUCAAAAGUGGCAAUGCAUCUUGGGGUCGAGGGGCUUGAUUUUGGACAUGUAGUCUUUAAGCUCUCCAGUCUGUUUGUCUCGCUAGCACGUUGAUAUGCUUUCUUGAGAACUUUGUUGGGAUAUCCCAAAGCUUUGAAACGGAGUUUCAAGGAUUGACAUUCUUGAUAGUAAACUGAAUCCUCAGAGCAGUUCCUCCUUGCUCUUAAGUAUUGUCCAUAAGGAAUGGAGGCCUUCAACCUAUAAGGGUGGUGGCUCUCCCAAUGGAGGAGGCUAUUAGUUGAGGUCAACUUUCUGAAGAGUUCAGUUUGAAUGGUGCCAUCCUCCAUUAGAAGAAUCUUUAGGUCAAGAAAAAUCAAUUCUUUAUCAUCAAUAACAUGAGUAAGUGUUAGAUUUAUUUUAUUGUUGUUCAAAACUCUGACAAACUCUUCACUUAAAGAUGUACUUGUGGUACAGACUAUACUCAGGAUCUUUCCACAUUCUGUCCUCCCACCAUCCUAAAAAGAGAUUUGCAUAAGUAGGGGCACAAGUCGUACCCAUAGCGGUCCCGGUCUCUUGCAUAUAGUAUUUGCAAUUGAAUAUUAGAUAAUUGUGGGUCAGAAUGAAUUCCAAUAUUCUGUUCACUAUUAAAAGUUAAAUUUUAGAUUAUUUUUUUAGGUAGUGCUCUCUCUCCUUCUUCUCAAUUGUUUUAGAGACAAUCUCAGUAGGGAGUUUAGAAUAUGUGUGCUCCUGGCACAUGUAGCUAAUUUUGUUUUCCAAUUUACAUCAGGAAGAUUAAAGUCACCCAUGAUGAUAACUUGCCCCUUCAUUGUCAUUUUAGCUAUUUCNNNNNNNNNNNNNNNNNNNNNNNNNNNNNNNNNNNNNNNNNNNNNNNNNNNNNNNNNNNNNNNNNNNNNNNNNNNNNNNNNNNNNNNNNNNNNNNNNNNNGGGAAGACAUCUCACAAGACCACCAUUGUCCAUCUCCACACCUCUUAUAAUGGAAUAACCCAACAACAACUGCUUUCUAUUAGGCCUCACCAUAGUCUCCAAGCCGGUCUCCACAACACCACUAGCCUCAGUGCCACUCUCCACAACACCACUAGCCUCGGUGCCCCUCUCCAAAACACCAUUAUAUUCUGAAAGUGCAGAAAAUUAAUUAUGAAGAGCAACAGACUGUGCAAAAUGCCUUUUAUCCACAACUCUAAGUCUACCAGAUCCUACAGUAAUCCAUCUGCCAUUCCUAGUAUGUCUCUGCGGCAGUGGCUUUGCAGCAGUUCCAGUCUGAGUCUGUUCACCAGAUAAUUUACAAAUCUCAGACUUCAAAACAUACAAUCUCCUGCCGCAAGAUAGAGAACUGUCUACAGAGUAGACAACAACCAAACCUCCAAAAAGUGGAACGUGAAACAAAUGCAUAGCAACUAUUACACUGAACUAAGUCUGCCAUUCCAAUGAGGAGAAUGAUUUAAAUCAAACGAAUCUUAAUUUUUUUAUUUAUCCUCCUGAAUACCUUAGAUUACCUCCAGUUUCUUACACACUUAGAAGCAACACUUAGAUGAAGCAACCAAGCUGUAUUAGCCAAGCUAAUGACAACAGCCCUUAUAUAACUCCUAAAAUCACCACCCACUAGGAAUGUUUAACACCUCUGAGUAUUUGCAAACAAUAGCUAAUUUAUAAAGCAAUCAAUAGCAAGUAAUCAAAUGCCUUAUAAUUACCAACAGGAAUUCAAACCUUGUGCAAUCAGUAACCUUUUCCUACAGAUGAAUCUUACCUGUAUCAGUAGAAAAGAAAGCUCUUAGCACAACUCUUAGACAGUUGAAGCUUCUGUAAAACUCUACAGAAUAUCUCCAACUACACACUUAGAAACAGCACUUAGAAGUAGCAACCAUGGUCCCUUGAAUAAUCACUUCUAAGCUCUUUUAAGAACUUGUUCCUGCUUCACUCUCAUGGAGGAGAGGUUCACCCACUGGAACCUGGAGCCUUGUUGUAGGUCCAGGGUGGGUAGGAGACGGCGAGACCCCAACCAAGCUACGGCGGUUUGUGGGGACUGCGGUGGUUGUGGUGUCUGGCGGAGCGCUUGGAGCCCUUUGGAAGCGCUAGGAGCAUCCAGUAACGGAGGUACCCAGUCGGGGUGCCAGGCGGUCUGUUACUUCCAUCUUGCUUCAGUUUGGUCCAAAUUUCUUUCCUUGUCACCUCCUCUCCAGUGUACAUUCACCUGUUCAAUAGGUAGUGUUACAAGAGCCCUCCAAACUGUAAUAUAGCAACCCCCUUUUGUUAAAACCUAUACUAUGUUUGGGAUUCAGACUGUACGAACUCACUCCACAAACUAUUCAUUCUUAUAUACGAACAACACCUAUCGCAGGCAGUUCCGCAACACCAAGAAGAAGCUGAAUGACACACAUGCCGAAUGGGCACACUGAAUGCGGAGGGCUGCUACCCAUUGGAUUAACGGAUGUCGGGCAGUCACUGCAGUCGAAGUUUUGGAACUAUUUUUGUUAGAACAUUUUUAUGAUGGACUAGAGCAGAAAGACAGAGAAUGGUUAAAGUCCACGAACGGAGUUUCGUAUGCCUGUACCAGCGGGACCUACCCGAUACACCGGACCACCCAGCCACUACACACAAGAACACUCCCGUCCCACCUGCUUCAAAUGCAAACAGUCGGGGCACCUCAUAGCCAACUGCCCCCUCAACAACAACUACCCCUCACGGAAUUAUAAUUCAUCCCCCGACCAGCUUGCGCUUUCUGUGUUGAGAAGGAAAACCCUCUGGAAGAGUAUCUGGGACCCCUCCAUGAAGCCGACCCCGUGUAUGCAGCGAACGAUAACCGGCAGCACCACAGACAGGAGGUAUUGCUGGAUGGCCGCUCCACUCAGGGGUUAAGAGACACCGGGGCCACUAUCACCCUGGUGCAAGGCCCCUGGUUCCUGAAUAUAAGCGCUCUAAAGACACCGUAGCUGUCAGGGUGGCUGGAGGGGACAUCUACAAGCUACCAACAACCAAAGUACAUUUGGACUGGGGUGCGGGGAAAGGACUUGUGAGGGUGGGAAUCAUGGAUAACUUGCCAGCUGAGGUUUUACUGGGAAACGACCUGGGCCCCAUGACUUCAGCAUAUGCUCCGAUAAAGAUAAAUGGAAAUGGAAGUGCACUCAACCCUUCGUUUAUGGAAUCAAGGGUGCUCCAUGGAAAGUCCCAGUGCCCAAAAGGACCAGAAAUAAGUAGAUAUAGAGAAUAAUCCAGGCACUCCAACAGGUUCCAAAUUUUAAGGCAAUUUAUUUGAACCAGGAACUACACAGCAACGUUUCAGCCCUUGAGACUUUUGUCAAGCUAUUGAAGCACAUACAAACUUCACAAUUUAUAAGUAUAAACAGUGAUUUAACAAGUGAAAAAACAUGUGAUAAUAUAAUUAACUACAGCCAUUAACAAUCAAAUAGUGAUAAGUAUAUAAAUAGAAUACAAUUGUCUAUCCAAUAAUCAUCUUAAUACCUGGGGGUGUCAAAGAGAACAGGAGGCAUCAGCCAAUGAAAUCAAAUACUCAUCAAUCACUAGACCAAAUUACUUAAUUGGGCACAGAUUUAUCAGAUCACUCUUAAUAAAAAAGACCAUCAAUCUUUAAUCAAACACACCAAGGUAGCUCUAGGUACUCACAUUUCCGGGUAAGGUCUCAUGGUUUUGACCCAGUGACCUCUAUUGACCAAUUAUAUAUCGAUAUUCCUAACAGUCACAUGAACUGGACACCUAACCUAGUCAGAACCAAUCAGGAUCGCGCAUAUAUGCGCAUGUCUAAAGCAUUAUAUUCCACAAUGCGCUUGCGCCAACUCGCGCAUGCGCAAUGUAGUUUAUCUCACCUGACCUGAUAGGCACCAAUCAUUGCCGUGCGUAUAAGCGCAUGCGCAUAACAAAAUGUUUUAAAUGCGCAUGCGCCUACCCGCACGUGCACAAUGGAUAGAGAACCGCAAGAAAAAUAAAAAAACAAUAAAUAAAUGCACGCGCUGUUACUGCGCAUGCGUGAUUAUAAAAAAAUUUAUAUUAGUAAGGUCUAAAUGACUGAUUAUAUAAGGUAAUACCCAAACGAUAUAAAGCUAAUGUUCAUAACUAAACAGCAUAACUAAUAAAUUGAUAUUACCAUGAUGUUAACAAAUAUACUACUCUCAAUUCAAUGAUUAUAUUAUUAGAUGAAAAACAUUAUUGAAUGAAAAAUACUAUUAGGAAAAACACUACCAAAUGGCUGAUAUACAUCCUGUUCUCCAAGACAACCCCAACAAUAAAUAUAUACGCAACAAUAAAUCAUAAACAAUAUAUUAAUAUUAUAUUAAUAUUAUAUAAUAUCCAAAUCUAUAGAUCAUCUAUUAGAAAUUCAAAUAGUCCACUUGAUAUUAUAUGCCCAAUAAAAAAUGAUAACAAUAUAGACCAUAUAUAUAUAUAUAAUUAAUAAAAGUAUAUACCUAUAAAUAUAUCUGUAUUGAUAUGUGGCGUGCAACUAAAAAAUAUAUAAAUAAAAUAAAAUAAAAUAAAAAUAAAAAAAUAAGAAAAUUUAUAAAAAAUUAUAAAAAAUAUAUAAUAUAAUAAAAUAAAAAAUAAUAAAAAAAUGAAAAAUAAUAAUAAAAAUAUAAUAAACAUAAUAAUAAUAAUAAUAAUAAGUGUAUAAUAAUGAGUGUAUAAUAAAGUGAGGAAUAAAUAUCUCCAAAAUAGUAAUUAUAGUGCAUCUAAUUUAAUAUGAUUGUGUUACGACCAACACAAUCUAAUAAUAUAAUGGGCUUAUACAUUUUUCAAGAGAUUUAAAUAGAUAAUUAACUUAAUACUCAAUCCAUAAUUAAUUACUCAAUUCAUCAUUAAUAAUUUUAUUCAAAAUAUAUCAAUAAUUAUACUUAAUACCAAUUAUAAACAUCUUAAUAAUUAGACUUAAGUAAAAUAUAUUAAUUAUUUCAAUAGAUGAUCUCAUUGACAAUUAAAUAUUCAUAUCCAAUACAGUAUUCGAAUUUCAUAAAAAACAUUUUAGAAACAAUAAAUAUGUGCUUAGAAAAGUGAUAACCAGCAUAAGUAAUCUGUGAAAUGAUCUGCAAAACAUAAUAAAGAAAUUAAUUAAUUACUAAAAUAUAUAAAAAAAAUAAUAAGAACAAUAAAGGCCAGAUUUCAAUAUUAGAUAAACAGAUUGAGGUCAUAUUCUUGAUUAAGUCCCCUAGGUGCGAGGGAUUCUAAUUCUCUAAUCCAACAGUAAUCUCUUUACACGAUCCCCACGUCUUGGGUUUUCUUCUACAUGUUCAAUGAUUUGAAAUUUAAGUUGAGUUAUAUUAUGUUUUGCGUCUAUAAAAUGUAAUGGAAUAGGUAGAUCAAGCAUUUUAGUUCUAAUUGUAGAUUUAUGCUUCGAAAAUCUCUCUUUCAUUUUCUUUGUUGUUUGUCCCACAUAAAUCAAACCACAAGGACAUUUUAAUAUGUAAAUAACAUAUGUUGAAUCACAUGUAACAAAUUGUUUUAUAACAUAUUUAUUCCCUCUAUGUGGGUGAGUAAAUGUUGAACCCUUAAUCAUAGAGUUACAUAAAUUCUUAGAUCAAUUAUCAAGACCGUUUUUGAAUCAAAUAAAAUCUUAUAUCCAGGAUACGUUUGAGGUACUUGAGAAGAUUAAAACUAUUACAGAUGUUCAGAAUUUGACAUUGGUGACCUUUGAUGUCACUAGUCUGUAUACCUCUAUUCCUCAUGAUGAAGGUAUGGCGGAGAUGGGUGAGGCCUUUGAAACAUUGGGCUUCCGAGACCCAUCCCUGUCAUUCCUUCUAUAAUUACUUAAAUUUGUGAUGCCUGAUAAUUAUUUCUCCUUUGGAGAUGAAUUUUUUGUUCAAGCUAAGGGUAUGUCGAUGGGUUCCAAUGUGGCCCCCACAUAUGCUGGCAUCUAUAUGGCUAAAUUGGAAGAAGAUGUUAUAUAUCAAAAUGAAUUGUAUAAAAAACAUAUUGUUAAAUGGUGGCGCUAUAUAGAUGAUGUGCUAGCAUUGUGGUGUGGCCCAUUGGAGCCCCUCAAAGAAUUCUUUAAAUUUUUGAAUAGUUGUUCUGACAGUAUUAAAUUUACUAUGGAGAUGAGUCAGCACUCCAUUGCUUUUCUAGAUGAAUUUGAAGCUAACUUCUAUAGGAAACCAUUAGAUAGAAACACGUUAUUACAUUAUGAUAGCUUUCAUCCUAUCUCUAUGUUUAAAUCUUUAACUGGAAGCCAAUUUUUAAGAGUUAAAAGACUGGUGUCUCAAACUGAACAGUUAGAUCAACAAUUGAAAUCUACGACAGAAAGAUUUUGUGAGAGGGGAUAUCCUAUCUCCAUCUUACAAACUCAAUUGGAAUAUGUCAAUAACAGAACAGAAAAUUGUGAUUUGAAUUCAACUGAACCUAUUAAAAUAGAGGAUAGAAUUAAGAUUGUCUCUAGAUAUAGUACCUUAUGUUCCGAUCUCAAACGUGUAAUAGAUAAACAUUGGCACAUAUUAUCUAAAUGUCAUUCCAAUAUUGCUGAAUUUAUAAAUAGACCUCUUAUGGUAUAUAAACGUGCCUCUUCAUUAAGAGAUAGAUUGGUUAGAGCUCAAUUGUCCUCUUCUUCUCAAUUAUACUUCCAAAAGGAAUGGAAGUUUUCCAUGUUGUAUCUGAUUAAGGGUUCAACAUUUACUCACCCACAUAGAGGGAAUAAAUAUGUUAUAAAACAAUUUGUUACAUGUGAUUCGACAUAUGUUAUUUACAUAUUAAAAUGUCCUUGUGGUUUGAUUUAUGUGGGACAAACAACAGAAAAUGAAAGAGAGAUUUUCGAAGCAUAAAUCUACAAUUAGAACUAAAAUGCUUGAUUUACCUAUUCCAUUACAUUUUAUAGACGCAAAACAUAAUAUUACUCAACUUAAAUUUCAAAUCAUUGAACAUGUAGAAGAAAACCCAAGACGUGGGGAUCGUGUAAAGAGAUUACUGUUGGAUUAGAGAAUUAGAAUCCCUCGCACCUAGGGGACUUAAUCAAGAAUAUGACCUCAAUCCGUUUAUCUAAUAUUGAAAUCUGGCCUUUAUUGAUCUUAUUGUUUUUUUAUAUAUUUUAGUAAUUAAUUAAUUUCUUUAUUAUUAUGUUUUGCAGAUCAUUUCACAGAUUACUUGUGCUGGUUAUCACUUUUUUAAGCACAUAUUUAUUGUUUCUAAAAUGUUUUUUAUGAAAUUUGAAUACUGUAUUGGAUAUGAAUAUUUAAUUGUCAAUGAGAUCAUCUAUUGAAAUAAUUAAUAUAUUUUACUUAAGUCUAAUUAUUAAGAUAAAUAAUCAAAAAGAGAGCGCAUAUGUUACAAAUAAAAGACCUCCGUAAUAGUCUAUAUAUGAUCUAAAUAAAACAAUAAAAAUGGUACCCAAGGUACUCAAACAAUAAUAGCUGCUAAAACAAAAAGAACUUUCCCAAUUCCAAAGAACAAAUGUGAAUAAAAAAUUUUCAGCGCUAAGUAGAUAAUCCCCUUAAAAAUGAAUAAAAAAGGUGCAUAUAUAUGCAGAAAUUGAGAAAGUCAUGCAAAAAAGUGUCCAAAAUGCAUAAUUCAGCUACAAAGUCCUGUAAUAAAAGAGUCCAGAUAGCGUUGUAGUAUGCAGGAACUCAGAAACAUGUAGAAAUACUCAUCAUGGUAGAUCAUGCAGGAAAAAAAUCUUUCACGACCACUUGUAUUUCCACUGGAGACAGCUCCUCUCCGGUGCACUCAGGAGGGCUGUCCGUGAUGUUAUCUGUGGGGAAACGCUGGCUGAGAGCCCGGCUUCUAUCGAGCACUUGUGGGGUCUGCUGCAGAUGAAUCUUGCAGAUGAAUAGUAGUAGCACCCUAUCAACGCGUUUCGCCCUUCUAACGAGGGCUUUUUCAAGAUAGGUGCUCAGAGCAUCGUUCGGCAGUUUUGUACUUUGCCGGGCAAAAUAGAUUCAAAUCUCUUAAGGGUAUAUACCCUUUUUAAAACACAUGUAUUAAAAAUGCGGCAAUUUGUACAAACGGGAGCACAUUGUUUGUUGCUGUAUACAUCUAUAUAAAUAUAAUUCAUCCACAUCUAAUAUACAUAUAUUUCAUACAGAAUUAUAUAAGUCUCGACUCAUAUGUUAGGAGUUCUUAUGAUGAAUGUUUAUAAGAACAAAAACCAUUAUGAGAUAUCUCAAGUUGUAUUUUCUGUACUAUACAUGGUUCUUCUCAUGCCAUAAGUUUUUAGAACAUUAGUUAAGAAAAACCAAUGAUACUAUAUUAGUUUGAACAGUGAUAUCCAGGAGUUUGAUGUAUAAAUAUGUUUAUAGUAAUCACCAUCACUAAGAUUGUUUUAUGUCUUGUAUUUGUGCAUGGUAUUGGUAGUUUAAAUUAAGCCUAAACAGCAUCUGGUUAAUACCGUGUUUUAUAUGUAUGAUUCAAUAUGUACUGUUGGGAAAUAAUGUGCUCCCGUUUGUAUAAAUUGCCGCAUUUUUAAUACAUGUGUUUUAAAAAGGGUAUAUACCCUUAAGAGAUUUGAAUCUAUUUUGCCCGGCAAAGUACAAAACUGCCGAACGAUGCUCUGAGCACCUAUCUUGAAAAAGCCCUCGUUAGAAGGGCCAAACGCGUUGAUAGGGUGCUACUCAGGGCCGGACUGGGGAUACAAAGCAGCCCUGAAAAAAAAAAUUGUGCCAGCCCCAUAAGUCACUGCGCCAUAUAUUGUCGCGUGUAAUAUGUAAGGCUAUGUCUUGCCAGGACAGAUGAUUGAAUAAUAUAUAUAUAUAUAUAUAUAUAUAUAUAUUGCUUUUUCUAAUAUAAAAUAUUGGUCCUUUCAGGGUAAUUUUUUUAUAAUCACGCAUGCGCAGUAACAGCGCGUGCAUUUAUUUAUUGUUUUUUUAUUUUUCUCGCGGUUCUCUAUCCUUUGCGCACGCGCUGGUCGGCGCAUGCGCAUUUAAAACAUUUUGUUAUGUGCAUGCGCUUAUACGCACGGCAAUGAUUGGUGCCUAUGAGGUCAGGUGAGAUAAACUACAUUGCGCAUGCGCGAGUUGGUGCAAGCGCAUUGUGGAAUAUAAUGCUUUAGACAUGCGCAUAUAUGCGCGAUCCUGAUUGGUUCUGACUAGGUUAGGUGUCCAGUUCAUGUGACUGUUAGGAAUAUCGAUAUAUAAUUGGUCAAUAGAGGUCACUGGGUCAAAACCAUGAGACCUUACCCGGAAAUGUGAGUACCUAGAGCUACCUUGGUGUGUUUGAUUAAAGAUUGAUGGUCUUUUUUAUUAAGAGUGAUCUGAUAAAAUCUGUGGCCAAUUAAGUAAUUUGGUCUAGUGAUUGAUGAGUAUUUGAUUUCAUUGGCUGAUGCCUCCUGUUCUCUUUGACACCCCCAGGUAUUAAGAUGAUUAUUGGAUAGACAAUUGUAUUCUAUUUAUAUACUUAUCACUAUUUGAUUGUUAAUGGCUGUAGUUAAUUAUAUUAUCACGUUUUUUCACUUGUUAAAUCACUGUUUAUACCUAUAAAUUGUGAAGUUUGUAUGUGCUUCAAUAGCUUGACAAAAGCCUUAAGGGCUGAAACGUUGCUGUGUAGUUCCUGGUUCAAAUAAAUUGCCUUAAAAUUUGGAACCUGUUGGAGUGCCUGGAUUAUUCUCUAUUUCAGCAUAUGCUCCUUCCUACAACUCGAAGGCACAUCUUGUAACUACCCGGUCGCAAGCCGGAAGGACCCAAGACACGUCGCCAGUGCAGGAGACUCAGGUAAGACUAACCCCGACUAUGACUAAUUGCCCUUCACCAUUACCCUGGGAUACACCUGCAGCUUUUGAGGCUGAGACUAAAACCGACCCAAUCCUCCAGAAGUAUAGGGAAAGAGCUGACACAGGGACUGGCGGUUAGACCACGAGAUAUUUGCAUGGGAACCGGGCAGAUUGUACAGGCAAACCGAGAAAAAGGGACACGUAGGAGACAGCUGGUCAUCCCCCACAAGUAUAGACGAGAUAUCCUCCGGGUUCCCAUUAGUCAGGCACCUAGCGACAUCCCAUUAGUCAGGCACCUAGCGGUAACCCGUACCCUCCACCGUAUUACCCACGCCCUUUUCUGGCCCAGGGUACAUGCGGAUGUGAGGACUUACUGUAAUACUUGCGAGGUCUGCCAGAGAGUGGGAAAAAGAGGAGACCACCCUAAGGCACACCUUGUCAAUAUGCCCAUUAUAGAAGAACCCUUUAUCCGGGUAGCCAUCGACUUAGUGGGACCACUCGCCACCCCCAGUCCAUCCAGAAAAAUAUAUAUUCUUACUGUGGUGGACUAUGCCACGCGCUACCCCGAGGCAGUGGCCCUAUCCAACAUCCAUGCAGACACCGUAGCUAAUGCCUUAGUUCAGGUGUUCUCUCGGGUAGGAUUCCCUCGGGAAAUUCUAUCUGACAGAGGCACCCAGUUCACUGCUGAACUAACGCAACAGCUAUGGCAUGUCUGCAAAAUAAAAUCUCUACUCAUAUCAUCUGCAGACUAAUGGGCUAUGUGAGAGGUUCAAUGGAACCCUCAAACAAAUGCUAUAAACCUUCACCCAGGAAUAUAGAGAUUGGGAAACCUUCCUGUCACACCUCCUGUUUGCUUACUGGAGGUGCACCAGGAAACGACCGGAUUCUCUCCCUUUGAGCUGCUAUACGGACGCAAGGUACAGGGCCCCAUGAACCUUAUCCGUGAGCACUGGGAGGGAGAGACUGAGAAUACCGUAGUCCCCAUGGUACCAUACAUGCUGGAACUUAGGGACCGUAUGGAACAAUUAGCCAGGUCGGUCCAGGCUAACCUCCAGGCGGCCCAGAGGCGACAGAAGGUCUGGUAUGACAGGGGGGCACGGCGGAGGAGCUUUUAUAUAGGACAAAAAGUUAUGGUGCUCAAACCUGUUAAAGCAGAGAAGCUGCAAGCAGCCUGGCAGGGACCUUACCAAGUAGUGGAGAAACGUGGGGACACUACAUACGUGAUUGCUAGCUGCCACGAUGAGAGCCUGCAAAAGAUAUUCCACGUAAAUAUGCUUAAGGAAUACCUGGAGAGAGAGGAGGAUGUGGCAGCAAUAUGCAGCCCCGCUUGCGAAGACCCCGAUAGCAUCCCCAUACCCGACCUGUUAGACCAGGACCCGCUGUCUGAUUUAGUGAACCAAGUGCAGAUAGGGGACCGACUUAACCCAGUAGAGAGGGAGCAGCUGCACAAACUGCUCCAAGAGAAACAGGCGAUGUUCUCCCAGGAACCAGGGUACACAGACUUAGCCACCCACCAAGUGGAUACUCCAGGGCAGCAACCCUUAAGACAGGCCCCCUACCAGAUCCCCGAGGCUGUCAGGGCAGGGAUGAAAAAAGAGAUCAACGAGAUGCUCAGACUAGGGGUCAUUGAAUCCUCCGAUAGUCCCUGGGCAUCCCUGGUGGUGCUAGUACCCAAGAAAGAUGGCACUACCAGAUUCUGUGUGGACUAUAGGAAGCUCAAUGAUAAAACCAUGACCGACGUCUACCCAAUGCCCAGGGUAGAUGAGCUGCUGGAUCGCAUAGCCAGGGAAAACUACCUCCACCAUUGACCUCUCUAAGGGUUACUGGCAAAUCCCCCUGGCCAGGGAAGCUAUCCCCAAGACGGCAUUUGUCACCCCAUUUGGCUUAUACCAUUUUAAGGUUAUGCCAUUCGGGAUGAAGAAUGCCCCUGCCACCUUCCAGCGCUUGGUGGAUAGACUCCUUUAUGGCUUCCAGGAUUUCGCCUGUGCCUACCUGGAUGACAUAGCGAUCCAUAGUGAGUCCUGGGAGGAACACUUAGCUCAUGUAGGAAUGGUUCUAGAUCAGAUUCAGGCCGCGGGCCUGACUCUGAAACCAGAAAAAUGCCAUUUUGGGAUGGCUGAGGUACAGUACCUGGGUCACCGAGUGGAAUGCGGGAAGCAAUGACCGGAGCCAGCUAAGAUAGAGGCGGUCGCAAAUUGUUCCACACCUCACACUAAGAUCCAGGUACUAGCCUUCCUGGGCACGGCUGGGUACUACAGGCGGUUCGUACCAGAUUAUAGUUCUAUUGCUAAACCCCUGACUGACUUGACGAAGAAAAAUCUUCCCUGACAGGUCCUGUGGUCUCCCCACUGUGAAACAGCUUUUAGGAUGCUUUAUCGUCCAUAAAGAUGCCUCCAUGUUCGGGCUGGGGGCCAAGUAGGAGAAGAUGGAAAGGAGCACCCGAUUGCCUACAUCAGCCAAAAACUCCUGCCACGCGAGGUCAGCUAUACCGCCGUGGAAAAAGAGUGUUUGGCCCUGGUGUGCGCACUAAAGAAAUUGACUCCCUACUUGUAUGGACAAGAGUUCACGCUGGUUACAGACCAUAACCCGUUGGUAUGGCUCAACCGGGUCGCUGGGGACAAUGGCAGACUUUUAUGUUGGAGCUUAUCCUUACAACCGUUUAAUUUCCCUAUCACCUACCGACCCGGGAAGCAGAAUGGCAAUGCCGAUGGGUUAUCUCGGCAAACCGACCUUAGUCCAGCAUAACUCCUCGGUCUGGACAGCCUUAGUCUUCCCCGAAAAGGGGUCGGACAGUGUCUGCCAGAGUGUUCCACAAGGAGGGAGCACUGUUACAAGAAACCUCCAAACUGUUAUAAAGUAACCCCCUUUUGUUAAAACCUAUACUAUGUUCGGGAUUCAGACUGUACGAACUCAUUCCACGAACCGUUAUAACUACUCAUUCAUAUAUACGAACGACGGACCACCCAGCCCUUGGCGUGUGCCACCACUUAACCCUGGUAACCUCUGAAAGUACCGAAUAACCGGCAGUGUGCCUCCAAUUAACCACCAAAUUGACGGUCGCAGGGCAUCCACGUUCAGAUACAUUUCCCCGAAGGGAAAAACUACCGAAAGACUCACGGACGAGGACCACCUACAUUCUGGCGUGUGGCCUCAAUUAGAACGUUGAUCUUCCGGUUAACCGCAGGUUAAGUACCCCCUUCCGGGCGGUCUCCGUUCGUUUCCCGAAUCUCUGAGAGCGGGGAUUCGUGUAAAUAUGUAGCCGACACCCGCUCCGUGAGUUCUAGGUCGAGGUCCAUUGACCAGCCUUAAAACAUGGCCGCCAUCAGGAGUUUGUGACAAAAGUACUGAAUAAGACUUUAUAUGGCAGAAACCCUCUGUUCUGUUCAUGGGAUCUAGGUGCAAUUCGUAUACCUGAUGCGCCCAGAUCUGAUCUACAGAAUGAAUAGUCGAAUGAACUAUAUUCCCAUUAAUAUAUUAAAGUUAUGUAUUUUUAUGCUGUUUUCUAGGACAAAAUAAAGCAUGGUCUUUUGGGCACUUGGAGAUAAUUAGAUCGUAUAACCGUUGGAUUCAUUAUCGCCAAGCUAGGCGGGUACUAGUUUGAAUGAUUAGUUGAAUCCUUGCAUUGUACCUGUAUCCCAUCAGGCCCAGAGGGGGCUGUCCAUGGACCUGGGGACUUGCAUAAAUUGCCAUGCCUGUGUGCCAGUAAAGCCAGUUCGUUUUACCCUCAACUCGCAGCCUCGACUCGUGUUGUAGGGAACCGGGAAUCCUAGCUUUACUAUAGGGAUAUUCUACACUUGCCGGUCUCUACCGAUUGAAGCACCGUUCGACCCUCCAACUUCAGGAACCAGGACAUCUAAACGGAGGCAAUCGUAACAGGUAGGAAUUUCAAUCCCGUGGGGUCUCCCCCAUGAAAUUCCUGAAAGUGCUUGUAAAGAUGUGUUUGGAGUCCCUUUUUGAUAAUUCGGAUGUGUUCCACAAUUCUGAUUUUCAGGGGUCUUUUAGUUCGCCCCACGUAUUGUUUGGGACAAGGACAUGUAAUGAGGUAGUUGAGCCCUGCUGUGUUGCAGUUCAUAUUGGUUUUAAGGUCAUAUUCUUCCAUGUUAUCCAAAGAUGAGAAUUUAGUGACUUCAAUUUCUGAGGAGGGGUUGUUCUUGCAUGCCAUGCAUUUUGCACACCUUCUGAAGCCUUUGGAUGGUUCUUGACCAUGGAUGUUGGUGGAGGAUUUAAUGGUAGGGGCCAACAUAAGUUGUAGAUUGGGUGCCUUGGUGAAAAUGAUUUGAGGUUUGGUAUCGAGAAAUUUUGAAUGAGUAGGAUCAUUCCUUCCUUUGAUCCCAACCUGCCUUUGUUUCAACCCUACCUGGAGAUCACAGACUUUCUUUAUUAUUUGCAAAUAACCUGUUCUGUGGCAUAUUGCCUAAAGUAUGUUUUUCCUCAAGUUUCCUAAUAUGUCUAAAACACUAAUAAAGUACCUGAAAUCAACCCUGGCAUAAGUCUCCUAUCUGACUUGCACAAGCUCAUGACAGCCAAUCACUUCUCACCAAUCCCCCACCCCUUUUUUUAUAUCAUCUAACCAUGUCCAUCAGGUCUCUAGGCUCACUUUUCUGCCACCAUUUACACACAUCCUAUAUUUGUAUUCUCACUUCAACUCUCUUACGCAUAUACACCGUAUAUCAUAUGUCUAUUUCAAAUGGGAAUUGCAAUAAUUUGUAUUUCAGAAUGAAUCCAUACGAGAUAGUAAUAAUGAGCACAUAUGUCCAUCCAAUGAACGCUAUGUCAUUACUGUUGUUUGUAUUUUUAUCUGUUUUCUUGUUCUUAUAAGUAUUUCUAUUUACUUAUGACUGUUCUCAAUUAUGAAUAACAACACGUCUUGAUUUAGCUAACCAUGGAAAGUAUUUCUAUUUUAUCAUCUCUUUUCCAUGUUAUGUAUUUACUGUGUAACGACAACUAAAAGACAAUCUUAAUGGAAUCUGUUUAUUUAGACCGAUCAAAGUACAUCUGAUUAUGUAUCCAAUAAUUCAUACACGACCUCAGCAGACUCUAUACAUUACGUAUAGCAAUAUCCACACACACACAGAUUUUCAUUUUAUUCAUAUCCACUACAUCGCACGCAGUUGCACUUUACACCCACAUACUUUUGUGAUCUAAACCUAGCAUGUUCAUUUUAUAUUCUAUUCAUAUAUUUAUAUAUUCCUGUCGUUUUUUAUUUCUAUUUUUAUGCCUGGUUCUGACCCCAGUUUACUCUAAGAUGAAUUUAUUUUAUGCAAUACAGUAAAGUAUAAAUGGAAUUACCGUUCGGAUUAUGUCAUUGUAAUGUGCAGCAGAGUAUUAACUCUUAGGUACCCUAUGUCUUAUACCACUCUUUAUUAUUGUAUCUUAUUUAUGAUAAACAAUUAUCACUUAAUCAUUGUUAAAUUAUCAUAUUGAGUAGAUGUUACAACUCAUGUAUGUACUAAUGUAUGACAAUUAGUUAAAUAUAUGAAUGCAUAUGAUAAACAAUUAGUUGAAUGCAUAUAUAAACCACCACUUAAGCACCAAACAACAUUCCGUCUCUGAAUAAGUGGGGCUGACUCCCACAAAACGCGUCAGACCGAUCAAGCAGGAUACAGACACAGUCUAUUUUCCAGUAAGCAGAAGAUCACCCACGCCGAGAACCUCCCACGUUCUUGGAACCGAGUGGGCCACAGUGCUCGUCUCUCAGAGUGAGGUCUGAGAUGCACACCAUCCUCACCGGCAGCCAGAAGGAGAAUUUGCUAUACACUAUCAGCAUCAAUCCUAGCAGGUCCCUAAGGCUAAUUCCAACUACAGAUCUCUACUGUGCUGGUAAUAUUCUUGUAUACCGUUGCUUGCAUUUUUAAUAUAUCUCGUAUAUCUCCCUACUGUAUCCCUGAAGCAGUCCGAGAAGAAAUAUGGAAGGAGAUGACUAAAUUAGGAGUCAUUGAGCCCUCGGACAGAGUACUAAAAUUCUUUUUUUGUCUAGCAGCUGUAUCUACUGGGUACUUCAAGUACCAUUUAUUAUUUCCUUUAGUUUUGAUUUUGUAUGCGCUCUCUUAAUUACUUUAUUUAUUGUUUGAGCCCUCGGACAGCCCCUGGGGCUCGCCUGUAGUCCUUGUACCUAAGAAGGAUGGGGCCACCUGGUUUUGCGUUGACUACAGGUGACUCAAUGAGAAGACUACCACUGACCCGAUGCCCAGGGUAGACGAACUGCUGGAUCGCAUAGCCAGGGGACGUUAUUUAACUACAAUAGACCUGUGUAAAGGCUAUUUGGCAGAUUCCCCUGACCAAGGAUGGUAUCCCCAAGUCGGCAUUUGUCACUCCGUUUGGCCUGUACCAGUUUAGCGUCAGGCCAUUCGGGAUAAAAAAUGCCCCGGCUACCUUCCAACGUAUGGUGGAUAGGCUCCUUGAUGGCUUCCAGGAUUAUGCAUGUGCAUACCUGGACGCAUUGCGAUCCACAGUGGGUCUUGGGACGAACACCUGGUUCACGUAGGGGUAGUUCUAGACAAGAUUCGGGCCGCAGGCCUGACCUUGAACCAGAAGAGUGCCAUGUAGGUAUGGCUGAAGUGCAGUACUUGGGUCACAGAGUAGUACUGUGGGAACCAGAGACCAGAACCGGCCAAGGUAGAGGCAGUGGCUAACUGGCCCACACCCCGCACUAAGACUCAGGUACUAGCCUUCUUGGGGAUGGCAGGGUAUUAUAGAUGUUUUGUCCCUGACUAUAGUUCUAUAGCCAAGCUCUUGACUGACCUGACCAUGAAGAAUGACAGGUUCUGUGGUCUCCAGCUUGUGGAGCUGCGUUCCAAUCCCUCAAACAAGCACUUGUGAAUGCCCCUGUCUUGACUGCCCCAGUACCUAACAAACGUUUCAUUGUCCACACAGACGCUUCAUGUUUGCACUGGGGGCUGUGCUGAGCCAGGUCGUGGAGGAUGGAGGAGAGCACCCUGUCGCAGAAAAUUACUACCCAGGGAAGUGAGUUAUGCGGCACUGGAGAAGGAGUGUUUGGCCCUGGUUUGGGCACUUAAAAAGUUAACCCCAUACCUGUACGGACAGGAAUAUUCACUAGUCACCGACCACAACCGAUUGGACUGGCUAAACCGGGUCGCAGGAGACAAUGGCAGGUUGCUGCGGUGGAGCUUAGCCCUGCAACCCUAUAAGCAGAAUGGCAAUGCUGAUGGGUUGUUCUGGCAAACAGACGUCAUUUCGGCCACCUAGUUCCGGACAUCCCCACAUUGACCUGAGAAGGAUCAAGCCGGGUCUGCCGGAGUAUACCACAAAAAGGGAGCCAUGUGACAGACCUCUCUGUCUUUGGAUUACUUUUAUUUCACCUUUUUUCGUCUGUUUGUUCGGUUAUUGCCCUGUCCGUAUGGCCCCUAUGUUUAAUUCCCUUCUACACGAAAGAGCUACCGAAUGGCAGGCCACCCAGCAAGGAGGUGAGCUGCUUGUUAACCUCUUGGCCUCAUUAGAACAUUGUAGUUAACUGCAGACACUUUCUAUUUUCGAAUGGUCGUGGUUCGUAUGAACAAACACGUGGUGGCGGCCAUCUUGGACAUUCGAACGCCUAUCGGUGUCUGGAUAUCCACAUCUGCCUCGGCCAUUAGCUGCUGUACCAGUUCCAUAGGAGGGUUCGGCCCAAAUAGGGAGAGCCUCUCCCGGACAAUCCUGGUUUACUUAUCCCCAGCCAUCACCUGGGUUUCUGCCAUGGUGAAACUCUGGUCCAGUUCUGUUAGCUCCGCAAUCAGCUCCCUCCUCGAUUGCUGGCGGUUCCACCUCGGCUCUCUAGUAAGACUUUUAAGGUGGUGCACUUCAAUUUGUCGUAAGUGUUCUCCAUUCGCUCUGAGUCUCUCCUAGGAAAUCCAGGACCAUCCCGCCGCUGCUACAAAAUGUUGCGGUUGCUUCCAGGCUAGCUGAAGGUUGGACCGAUAGAUGUCCUGGUUCUUAAUCUUGGAGAGUGAGAGCGCAACUUCGAACAGCAUCCAGUAGUAAUCCUGUAAAUGUAGAUAUCCCACUAGCUAUAAGUAAAGCUAGUAUAAUGCCUUUCCCUACAACACAAGUUGAGGCUGCGAGUUGAGGGUAAGAAGAACUGUUAUAAUGAGCAUUCAUGCACGGCUUAAAUACAUAUUUUCAGGCCAGAGGAACACCCCUUUGGACCUGAUGGUACACAGGAAUACAAAGGAAUACAGGAUUACAAAGUGUAACAGCCAAUACAAACAAAAAGUGCAUUUUCCAAAACACUCCCUCCUACCCUGGAGAUAAUGGGUCUCAACGGUUACAGUAACUCAAUUAUCUCCAGGUACAUGAAAUAAUAAUACUUUUACAGACACAUGAAAACUGAAUAAAAAUGGAUUUGUUUUACACUAUAGACUUUAAAUAUCACAUUCAACCCGUCCCCAGACAGCUUGGAUCUGAGCCCACAAAAUAUACAAAAAGCCCUCAGGUCUCACUAACAGUAUGCAAAUGCCAUGGGGAUGAAAAUUGUCUGUAGGGCUGUUCGCCAAUUAGCAGCCCGUGUAUCCUCGGCCAUGGUGUCUUGCAAGGGGUUGGUGGAGACAAAUUGGCAUGCCUUUUGGGGUUUUAUACACAAACGGACGGGGCAAGAUGGAUCCCAGUGAGGUUCGCGCAAAAUAGUGUUCGAAAAUAGGUCCCGCUGUGCGUUCGACAACAAAAGAUGGCCGCCGCCACGUUUUUGCGUAUACGAACAACGACCACCCUGGCGAUGAUCAAUUAAGCUGCGGUUAACCACAAAACCACAGCUCCUGGGUGGUUGAUUGUAGGCAUACUCCUCAGGUAGGGUGGUCGUCCAUUCGACAGUUUGUUCGGUAGUUUGAGAGGUGAACGGGGUUAAUUGGCGGCACAUGCCAGGGGCGUGGUGGUUGGCCAUUCGUACACACGAAAGGCCUGCAAUAGCUGUUCCAACAAAAAGUAACAAAAGUUGCAGGAUUGUAGAAGACAGAGGGGACUUCUGUAACAGAGAGUAAGAAGAUCUCGUUUAUUGAGCAACUUGCAUUUCUUUUAUAUACAAAUUUCAGGCCAGAGGCACACCCCCUGGACCUGAUGGAACACAGGGACAAAACCCAAUGGAAACAAUAAUUAACACAGUAACACUCCUACAUACAGUCAGCAAGCCCUCCCCCUCUGCCUGUGAUAUUAUUAAGAUAGCUAAUGGAACAAAAUUAUUGACAGGCAGAAAAUACCAAUUUUUACCUAAAUACUCCAACAUCUCCCCACAAAUCCUACAUCCCUGGAUAGCCCUGAUAUGGGUGAACAACAUUUCCAAAAAUGACCCAGAUCAGAGCAGGGGUUCAAAAGUUUUAUGGAAGUCUUUUUUGACUGACUCCAUUGGAUGCGUCUCGUUCGGUAGAUUGUUCUCACUGAAUAGCGCUCUGUUCGUGUGGAUUUAGCCGAAAACAUGGGAAGGUGGAAGUCCCAGCGGUGUUCGUGCCUGAGUGUCCGAUUUUAGUACCAGCCCUUCUACGGCAAAACCCUGCUGGCUGCGUCCGGCUAAACAAAAUGGCCAGCGCCACGUGUUCGUGCAUACGAACACUGACCACCCAGCCGUUCAUCAAUUAAGCUGUGGUUAACAACAGCUUCUGGGGGGGAAAACAAGCAGCACACUCCACUUGCGGGUGGUCCAGCUGUUUGACAGUACCCGAUUUACUGAAUCAAAUAGGGAAAAAACACAAACAAGCCUUUUCACAGUCUUGGGACAAAGUUUUAAACAUGGACCAUAGUCCUGGGGCAAGAGGCUGGCAAUCAGGCCCCUCCGAAAGCCAGUGGCGAAGCGUAGUUCGUCACAGACGUGGGUGACAUAUUGUUUUUUUUUUUUUACAAAAGGCUAAGUAAAGUUAAAUCAUGCAACAAUAAAAUGCCAAGUAAAAGUUAAUGAAUGAUUACCAUAGAUCUACUGUUCUAAGGAAAAGAUUAAGUGAAUGGCUAUGUAAAAGACCCCUUAUACUGUACGAAUGUACAUGAAGCAGUAAAAUAGUGAAAGACCACUGCUUCAGUGAUUAGUUGAUUUGUAUGAACGAACGGUAUAGUAGGUUACUACAUGGUACAAAAAGGGGUUUAAAUAUGAGCCAUGCGGGCAGGCUGUUCGACUAAAAUUUUAACGAAAACGUAAGAUCUGCAUGAAUACGUAUAUAUAUAUAUACACAUACAGUUACAAGAAAAAGUAUGUGAACCCUUUGGAAUGAUAUGGAUUUCUGCACAAAUUGGUCAUAAAAUGUGCAUCUAAGUCACAACAAUAGACAAUCACAGUCUGCUUAAACUAAUAAUACAUAAAGAAUGAAAUGUUGCCAUGUUUUUAUUGAACACACCAUGUAAACAUUCACAGUUUACUCCCCCUGCUGGCACUGCUGUGGCCGGCUAUGCCGUCCAUAUGAUGGUGAGGUCCUUGCAAGGACCUCACCAUCACAUGGCCCAGGAGGGCCACAACUGUAGCAGGGGGACUCCCUGGGAUACCAGGUGAGUUCCCCCACUGCGAUUGCUGGUGUGGGAUAGCGACGAGUGGGUAAGUACAUAGGACGGUGGAGAUGUGGUUAACACUCUUUAUUUACCAAGAUUAUUAUUUUUUUUUUUACAGCACACAUAUGGAAGCAAAGAUACAAUUUAAAAUAUAACAAUGAGUUCCAAAUACAUUCUAACUGUAAAUAACAGGCACCUACUGAAAGGAUGGUUAUCAUGAAGAAACGCCACCAGGAAUGUGCAGUAGAGAGUGUUACUGAGACUGGAGGUGAAGCCAGUGGCUAUAUCUACCCCAACUGGGCUGGCCUCCAGAAGGACUUGUUUUCCCAGAUAUGUAUUGUCCCCUAUGUCUGUCCUCCUUCUCCUAGGCUUGUAUAGUGUAACGGAUCGCCUGGCACCCCGACUGGGUACCUCCGUUAAAGGAUGCUCCUAGCGCUUCCUGAGGACUCCAAGCACUGCAGCAGACACCACAACCACCGAACCGGAGAAGCAUAUGAAUCCUCUCAAGCAUAUGAAUGCUGUAGACAGUUGAAUAGGAACCAUACGAAUAGGUUUACUCUCCUAGCAGUCAAACUGGAACAGCAUACAAUAAAUCCUUCCCCAAUAAUGAGACGACACUUCACUUUGAGGGUUAAAACAGGAACUCCCUGUACUGUCACAUACAGUCUCUUUUAUUCCCAAUCCACAAACAUAGUACAGCCCACAGGGCGUUACAAAACAGCCAAUCAAUCCAUACAAUACACCCAGACACUCCCACACAAAAUCCUCCCCUCUGGCUGUGAUAUGAUUACUGAACACAAUGGGUAAUCUAAUUAUCACAGCCAGAGAAAUACAAUUUCAUAAAACACAUCACAGGGACCCCAAAACAUGCAAUAACCCCAUAUAUCCUUGGAACUGGGGGAUCUGGGUGAACCACAUAUCCAAAAUUCACCCAGAUCCGUUCAGUACUUUGGAAAAUACAGUUUAAUGCAGAUUCUGCAGAACAUAUACAGGCUAAAUAAAAAACAAUCACUGUAUAAUGUGUCCCCUGCUGUAUAGUCCAAAACCACCGCACGAUGUCUCUGUGCAACAAAUACUGGCGAGAUGGCACCGUGUUGAAAAGUCCACACAGUGUCUGUGAGUUAAAAUGGCCGCCAUCCAUUGUUCUCACCAUGUGCUUCUGAUACAGGAAAUGGUGGCCACCCAGUAACUCCACAGUAUGUCCCCAGAUGGUUCUUAAAAGGGCCAGCAGCAGCACAACACAAAUCCAUUAUGCCCAAAUCAUGUCUUUAAAGGCAAUACAUCCCAGGGGCCAUAGUCACAUGGCAGGAGGCUGGCAACCAGGCUUCUCCAGUGCAUAGUGGCGAGGUUGGUUCCGCCACACUUCUCCCCUUUACCAAUCAGACUAACAGGGUAUCUGACCUCCUGCCGGUCAGUGCCCUUGUUAGUCCAGCAGCCCACCCACAAAACACAAUCAGUAAUACAGCCCACCCACAAUAACUGGCUACUACACCUGGGUAGGGGAGAACUUUGUCCGUGUCCAGGUGCCUCACCAUGGCUGUGUGGGUGACUGGUAAGUGUUCUGGGUGGGUUGCUGAGUGGGCAGAGACCAGCGGUACUCUGUCCUGGUGCCAGCAAUACCACGGGAGUAGUCUGGUUGGAACCUGGUUGCUGGAGGGGGAGACAGACUGUCUCCCCUUUGCCUAAACAGUCCUGCUGCUGGGGGACAGGACCGACUGUCCCUACCCCCGGUGGUGCAUGUGCAGAGACCACUGUCCCAUCUGCACUGUUGUGGAGAUUACUGUCUCCCCUUGGUGGGCUAAGCUGCCGCUGGGGAGAGGGGAUAACAAGCUCCUCUCCCUGACACACUCUCUGCUGUUGAAGGGGGAGACCGACUGUCUCCCCUUUCAAUAAUUCGUCCUGUUGCUGGAGAGAGGUGAUAACUGGUUCCUCUCCCUGGAACACUCUCUGCUGUUGGAGAGGGGGACCAACUGUCUCCCCUUUUAAUAUAUUGUCCUGCUGCUGGGGAGCGAGACCGACUGUCUCCGCUUCCUGCAGGACACACUGCCGCUGGGGAGAAAGUACGGCACCUUCAGCUUCCUGGGAUACAUACUGCCGCUGGGGAGGAAGGACUACACCUUCAGCUCCCUGGGGUACACACUGCCGCUGGGGAGGAAGGACGGCACUUUCUGCUCCCUGGGGUACACACUGCCGCUGGGGAAGAAGGACGACACCUUUGGCUCCCUGGGCUCACACUGCCGCUGGGGAGGAAGGACGGCACCUUCAGCUCCCUGGGGUACACACUGCCGCUGGGGAGGAAGGACGGCACCUUCAGCUCCCUGGGGUACACACUGCCGCUGGGGAGGAAGGACUGCACCUUCAGCUCCCUGGGGUACACACUGCCGCUGGGGAGGAAGGACUGCACCUUCAGCUCCCUGGUAUACACACUGCCGCUGGGGAGGAAGGACUGCACCUUCAGCUCCCUGGGAUACACACUGCCGCUGGGGAGGAAGGACUGCACCUUCAGCUCCCUGGGAUACACACUGCCGCUGGGGAGGAAGGACGGCACCUUCAGCUCCCUGGGGGACACACUGCCGCUGGGGAGGAAGGACGACACCUUCAGCUCCCUGGGACUCCUUUUUGGCCAAAUCUACUAGAGAUUGCAGGUAUUCUCCUACUAGUUUCCUGGCGAGCUGCACGGCUCUCUCUGGGGGGUUGGGUCCAAAGGUAGACAGCACCUCAUUAACCUCUCUGUCCAACUCCUCCUGAGUGUAAUCAUACGCCAUAUGCUUGCUCUGCUGAAGUUAGUUCUUUUGUAGAUAGGGUCGCUGUACGGGUACUAGCGUUGCCCUCAAUUUGUAAAUCCACGAACUGUGUCUCCGAGCUGCUUUACCUCGCACUAGGACGCCAUCCCACCGCUGCCACCAAUGUAACGGAUCGCCUGGCACCCCCGACUGGUUACCUCCGUUAAAGGAUGCUCCUAGCGCUUCCUGAGGAUUCCAAGCACUGCAGCAGACACCACAACCACCGAACCGGAGAAGCAUAUGAAUCCUCUCAAGCAUAUGAAUGCUGUAGACAGUUGAAUAGGAACCAUAGGAAUAGGUUUACUCUCCUAGCAGUCAAACUGGAACAGCAUACAAUAAAUCCUUCCCCCAAUAAUGAGACAACACUUCAUUUUGAGGGUUAAAACAGGAACUCCCUGUACUGUCACAUACAGUCUCUUUUAUUCCCAAUCCACAAACAUAGUACAGCCCACAGGGCGUUACAAAACAGCCAAUCAAUCCAUACAAUACACCCAGACACUCCCACACAAAAUCCUCCCCUCUGGCUGUGAUAUGAUUACUGAACACAAUGGGUAAUCUAAUUAUCACAGCCAGAGAAAUACAAUUUCAUAAAACACAUCACAGGGACCCCAAAACAUGCAAUAACCCCAUAAAAAGUAUAUCCUUGGAACUGGGGGAUCUGGGUGAACCACAUAUCCAAAAUUCACCCAGAUCCGUUCAGUAAUUUGGAAAAUACAGUUUAAUGCAGAUUCUGCAGAACAUGUACAGGCUAAAUAAAAAACAAUCACUGUAUAAUGUGUCCCCUGCUGUAUAGUCCAAAACCACCGCACGAUGUCUCUGUGCAACAAAUACUGGCGAGAUGGCACCGGGUUGAAAAGUCCACACAGUGUCUGUGAGUUAAAAUGGCCGCCAUCCAUUGUUCUCACCAUGUGCUUCUGAUACAGGAAAUGGUGGCCACCCAGUAACUCCACAGUAUGUCCUCAGAUGGUUCUUAAAAGGGCUAGCAGCAGCACAACACAAAUCCAUUAUGCCCAAAUCAUGUCUUUAAAGGGCAAUACAUCCCAGGGGCCAUAGUCACAUGGCAGGAGGCUGGCAACCAGGCUUCUCCAGUGCAUAGUGGCGAGGUUGGUUCCGCCACAUAUAGACCCUGCACUGCCACCAACUACUGCCUUUACAAAAGCACGCGUGGCUCACAGGCCUAGCUUUAAACAGUAUCUUUACAAUUAAGUUUUAAGUUGUCAGGUUAAAGGGACACUAUAGUCACCUGAACAACUUUAGCUUAAUGAAGCAGUUUUGGUGUAUAGAACAUGCCCCUGCAGUCUCACUGCUCAAUCCUCUGCCAUUUAGGAGUUAAAUCCCUUUGUUUAUGAACCCUAGUCACACCUCCCUGCAUGUGACUUGCACAGCCUUCCAUAUACACUUUCUGUAAAGAGAGCCUUAUUAAGUUCUGUUUAAUUAAGAUUUCUUUAUCCCCUGCUAUGUUAAAAGCUUGCUAGAACCUGCAAGAGCCUCCUGUAUGUGAUUAAAGUUCAAUUUAGAGAUUGAGAUACAAUUAUUUAAGGUAAAUUACAUCUGUUCUGAAAGUGAAACCAGUUUUUUUUUUUUUUUUCAUGCAGGCUCUGUCAACCAUAGCCAGGGGAGGUGUGGCUAGGGCUGCAUAAACACAAACAAAGUGAUUUAACUCCUAAAUGACAGUGAAUUGAGCAGUAAAAAUGGCAGGGGAAUGUCUAUACACUAAAACUGCUUGAUUUAGCUAAAGUAAUUUAGGUGACUAUAGUGUUCCUUUAACUCAUGAAAUCCAUGCAACCAGGAAAUAGUGCAGUCAGGACGCAGGCCUGAAGUCUGCUACUGGAAUAUCUGAACAAGUGAGAUAGGACACACAGUUCCAUAAGAAGUAACACACAAUACUUUAUUUUGAAAAAGGACUAGUAAUUUGGGGAAUUGACAAAAAACAUGAGAGGGGGAAAUCAUUUAAAAUACAAAUAUACAGAAAAAUGUAGAACAAGCAAUUCUAAUAAUACAUCAAAUAUAUAUUACAAGUAAUUCUUUGAAACACAUUAAAGUGCAUAGAUAGAUUUGCACUAAAUUCCAUGUCGUCAAUUUGCAUAUUUUCAGUCAAUAGGGGAUGCUUACAAGUUAUCACAAUACCAAUGCAUAAUUUGUUCAUUGACUGAUACUGUUACAGUAAUUAUUUAUAGUGUCAGCAAGAAAAAGGCUUUGCUAUAAUAUGAGGUGCUGCAAGGUAAGCAAACUUUGAAUUAUGAUUUUAGAAUAUCUCACACUCACAGUAAAUUACUACAUUGAUGCCUCAUAUAUUAUUAGAGUUGACAAUAACAUUUGGAACUAUCAAAACAUCACAUAAUCUAUCUCCUGUGUGAGUUUUCUUAUGUAUUGCAAGUUGUGACUGCCAGCUGAAACAUUUCCCACAUUCAGAACAUGAAAAAGGUUUCCCUCCUUUGUGAGUUCUCUGAUGACCAACAAGAUGUGACUGCCGGCUGAAACAUUUCCCACAUUUGGAACACGAGAAAGGUUUCUCUCCUGUGUGAGUUCUCUGAUGUCUGACAAGGUCUGGUUUACUGACAAAACAUGUCUCACAUUCAGAACAUGAAAAAGGUUUCUCUCCUGUGUGACUUCUCUGAUGUGUAACAAGAUGAGUGUGCCGGCUAAAACGUUUCCCACAUUCAGAACAUGAGAAAGGUUUCUCUCCUGUGUGAGUUAUCUGGUGUUUUACAAGGACUGCUUUACUGACAAAACACUUCCCACAUUCAGAACAUGAAAAAGGUUUCUCUCCUGUGUGACUUCUCUGAUGUGUAACAAGAUGUGACUGGUGGCUGAAACAUUUCCCACAUUCAGAACAUGAGAAAGGUUUCUCUCCUGUGUGAGUUCUCUGAUGUAUUGAAAGUAGACACUGCCGACUGAAACAUUUCCAACAUUCAGAGCAUGAGAAAGGUUUCUCUCCUGUGUGAGUUAUCCGAUGUAUUGAAAGUUGACACUGCCGGCUGAAACAUUUCCCACAUUCAGAGCAUGAGAAAGGUUUCUCUCCUGUGUGAGUUCUCUGAUGUCUGACAAGAUCCGAUUUACUGACAAAACACUUCCCACAUUCAGAACACGAGAAAGGUUUCUCUCCUGUAUGAGUACUCUGAUGUUUAUGCAGAGCUGAGGUAUAGCUAAAGCAUUUCCCACAUUCAGAGCACGAGAAAGGUUUCUCUCCUGUGUGAGUUCUCUGAUGGCCAACAAGAUGUGACUGGCGGCUGAAACAUUUCCCACAUUCGGAACACGAGAAAGGUUUCUCUCCUGUGUGAAUUCUCUGAUGGGUAACUAGUGCUGAGGUAUAGUUAAAACAUUUCCCACAUUCAUAACAUGAGAAAGAUUUCCUUCCUGUGUGCGUUGUCUGAUGUCUAUCAAGAGAUGAUUCAAUGAUAAAAUAUUUUUCACAUGCAGUAUAUGAGAAAGGUUUUGGGGUUAUGUAUACUAUGUCUUUUGUAGACAUAUUUGAUUCUGAGAGAUUCCUUGAGUUUGGAGAGUUCAAAUCCUUGGCCUUUUUAUGAAGUGAUUUCUUCGUAUUCUUGCUUAGUGUAUUUCUGUUGUCCUGUCCUUUAGAAAAACAUCUGCUGAUGGAAAUACCUGAAAGAAAAUGUACUAGGAGUUAUAGAAAAUCUGUCAAUAGAGGAUUUAUUGUUUACCAUACUUUGAAAAACUGACUUUAUUUUCAUGAAACAUCAGAAAUGCAAAACAUUUAUAUUUCAGGAAAGGCUCACGGCUUUUAGAAUAAGUUAUUUUUUACGUUUAUUCUUAAGUCUGCAAAUAUAGUUGUGAAAUCUCCUGUAAACAUGUCCGCACAUUCACAUGUGUGUACACACGCACACACGUGUCCACACAGAGUGAAUGAAACUUCAAAGAUCACGUAGAAACAUAGAAUGUGACAGUAGAUAAGAACCAUUUGGUCCAUCUAGUCUGCCUGAAUACUCAUUAGUCCCUGACCUUAUCUUAUAUCUAGGAUAACCUUAUGCCUUUCCCAUGCAUGCUUAAACUCCUUUACUGUAGUAACCUCUACCACUCUAGAUGGAAGGCAAUUCCAUGCAUCCACUACCCUCUCAGUAAAGUAAUACUUCCUGAUAUUUUUAAACCUUUGUCCCUCUAAUUUAUAGAGACUGAAUACAUCUGUUUUUUGUUCAUUCCUAAAAAGGCUGGCCUGUGAUGCCACUGCCAGAAGCACAUAGCUUAAGGAUUUCUACACACUGCCCUUAGUGGUGCCUAUAAGACAGUAAACUCAUUAUGCUUUAUUUUAUGACUUAAAUCAUUAUUAAUAUUAUUAUACUAUGUCCUCUUGUUGUGGUAAAAAAUCCUAUCCUUUAACAUGGUUUCCAUUACUUCCCUACUACUGAAGUAAGGUUUACUGGCCUAUAGUUUCCCGACUCCUCCCUACUACCUUUCUUGUGACUAGACACAACAUUAGCUAAUUUCCAAUCUUCUGGGACCACUAACUAGGAUUGGUUAAAUAAAUCGACUAAUGAUUUUGCUAGUACACCACUAGGCACUUUUAAUAACUGUGGCGAAACCAACCUCGCCACUGGAGAAGCCUGGUUGCCAGCCUCCUGCCUCAUGACAAUGGCCCCCUCUCAUCAGCCCAUGGCAAUUUUAAUGUGUUUGUGGGAUCUGAGCGCAGUUUGGAUAUAUUGAGCGCUCAGAUCCAAGCCAUCUGGGGAUAGGUUGAAUGUGGGGGUUCUGUUCAGUAUGAUAGGCGUUAUGUAUUUUUGCUGUUGUUGUGAAUAGAGAUAUUUUCUGUACCUGGAGAUGGUUGGCUUACCACACCCAGUUAAGCCAAUUAUCUCCAGGAUAGAGGACUCUGUGGAACUGGUUUUGGGCAGAAAAGCCAUGCUUCAUUUGGUCAGAAAGGACUUUGAUCUAACUUUUAAACCAAUGGAAGGAAUUGUCUGAUUUUUUAGAAUGUUUGUAUUUUGAGUAUGUGGAGUCUGAAAAUGUAAGUUAUAUGUGAUGUAUAUGUAACAGAGCUCCUUGUACUCCGACUGAGUACCCUCCGUUGACGGAUGCUCCUAGCGCUUCCUGAGGACUCCAAGCACUGCAGCAGACACCACAACCACCGCAGACUACGCAACCGCCGUAUGUUGACUGGAGUCUCGCAGUCUUCCUUCCACCCUGGAUCAGCUUCUGUCCUCCAGGACUGUGUGGGAAAGAACUCUUCCUUCCACCCUGUAUGAACCUCCAGCAUCCAGGACUGUGUGGUGAAGACCCCUCCUCCAAGGAGAGCGUGUCAGGAACAAGCUCUUAAAAAAGCUAAGUGACUCAAGCUCAGGGGAGCAUGCAGAGCAUAGCAAUCCCCAGUGUGAUUAUAACAGCUCCCUCCAAUAAUGAGACAAGGCUACGUUUAGAGGGAUCAAGAAGAACUGUCAAAACCUUUAUUUCCCUUGGGACCAGCCAAUAGGGUCACCACAAUAACAUUGUUGUGAAACCUCAGUAAAAUCACAAACAGUCAAACCAUAUCAAGCAACACACAGUGACUUAUCACAACACAAUGGCAAGUUUUUAAAGGGGUGGGGAGAGACAAUAUUUAACAGUAAAUAUCUCACCUGCCUGCAGAAUUAGCAAUAUGCAAAUCUACCCGAAUAUGCAAAUUAACCAGUCUUGCAAUUUAACUAGUGCAUAUUGCUGUUGCUACCAACAGAGGGCACUAGACAAGCUCCAUAGCCAAACCCACCUAGUUGGUAGCAAACCUCAGCAAUACAAGAGAGCAGGCAAUACAUUACACAGUACACACACAUACACACUAUAAACAAUUACAUUACACACACCCUGCACCUAUAAUGGGUACAGGGUGACUAAAACAUAAAAUAAAUAAAGCAGCCUACAUAAAUAGUCUGUCUCAAGGUAGACUAGGGGCUUUAAAGGCAGAUACAUGAAAGAGUCAUAGUCACAGGGGAGGAGACUGGCAAGUAGGCCUCUCCAGGACCAAGUGACGAAGGGCACUUCGUCACAGUAUACUUUUAAAGUUAUGAAUAUUGUGUAAAACUGUAUAUUUUCUUGCCUGUGAUAAUUACGUUAGCCCAUUGUGUUCAGUAAUUAUAUCACAGGCAGAGGGGAGGAUUUUGCUGGAAUGAAUGGGAGUGUUUAUCUGUGUUAUAUGUUCCACAAAACCCUGUGGGUGGGACUUUGUCUGUAAAAUGUGUAUAUAAGGCCAAUAAAAACACAGCUCAGUCUGUUCCUGCUUGACCCUCAAAACGGAGCCUUGUCUCGUUCUUGGGGGGAUUUAUUGUAUGCUGUUCCAGUUUGACUGCUAGGAGUGUAAACCUAUUCAUAUGUUGUUUUCCUAUUCGGCUGUUUAUGGCAUUCAUAUGAUUUCCUGUUCAGCGGAUUGGUGUCUUUGGUAGCUGCCUGUAUAUCUGGAAGGGGGAUAUCUACUAAACUGCUAACUCCUUUUAUUCCCGGGCUGCCGUUACAAUAACCUUGAGUGUAUUCCAUCAGGCCCAAUCAACUUAUUUAUCUUUACUUUUGAAAGUAGAAAUAGAACCUCUUCCUCUGUAAACCCACGCGUAACAAAUGACUCUUUUAUUCUUUUUCCUAACUGAAGUCCCUUUCCUUUAUUUUCAUCUCUAAAUACUGAACAAAAAUAUUCAUUGAGUGUAACGGAUCACCUGGCACCCCGACUGGGUACCUCCAUUAAAGGAUGCUCCUAGCACUUCCUGAGGACUCCAAGCACUGCAGCAGACACCAAAAUCACCGAACCAGAGAAGCGUAUACCUUCUCUCAAGCAUAUGAAUGCUGUAGACAGUUGAAUAGGAACCAUACGAAUAGGUUUACUCUCCUAGCAGUCAAACUGGAACAGCAUACAAUGAAUCCUUCCCCCAAUAAUGAGACGACACUUCACUUUGAGGGUUAAAACAGGAACUCCCUGUACUGUCACAUACAGUCUCUUUUAUUCCCAAUCCACAAACAUAGUACAGCCCACAGGGCGUUACAAAACAACCAAUCAAUCCGUACAAUACACCCAGACACUCCCACACAAAAUCCUCCCCUCUGCAUGUGAUAUGAUUACUGAACACAAUGGGUAAUCUCAUUAUCACCGGCAGAGGAAUACAGUUUUUACACAAUAUUUAUAACUUCUAAAAUAUAAAUGUCACAAACAUAAAACAUACAUUUUCAUAAUCAAUCCAUUCAGGGAACAACAUAUUAAAAAAUGGCACGAAUCAGACCAGGGGUUCAAAAGUUAAGGGAAAGUCCUUUGUGACUAAAUGAAGCAUGGCUUUCCGGCCCAAACCAGUUUCAGAGUCUUCUAUCCUGGAGAUAAGUAAUUCAAUUAUCUCCCAGGACAGACACAAGACUCCAUUAAGCACAUGGUUGCAAAAAGACAUAAAACACUGUAAAAUACAUAAAGUCACAUUUUAUACAUAAAACACAGACAUGUCACAUAUCCCCAGAUAGCUGGGAUCUGAGCGCACAAAACUACUUGUAAGAAUAUUAAAUAGUUAACUUGUUUAUAUGUAUUUUAUGCUUUUAUAAGGUUUAUAACAUGAUUAUUGCUGACUGAAGGGAUAUUGUACAUAAUAUGCUGACUGUGACAGACUAAGGUAUUUCUUCUAUAGGAUGUAAGACAAUGCUAAAAUUUCAGGAUGUCUUGCCCAUUCCGAUUUUAAGGAUAUUCUUUUCCAGACGUAUGCAAAAGCUUAUCUUUCCAUUGUCAGAAUAACGUAAUAUAAGGAAGUAAUAAAUCUUAUAGUCUGUACUGUAUUUGCAUAUACCAUGGCUAAUGUAAGCAAACUAUGUAUAAAAGCCAGCUCUGGAAUACACUCAUUUGAGAGUCUUGUAAAGCUGUUGUCCGUGUGUUAUUGCUUACAAAUGAUCCUCCAUCAACGUUGAUUAUGGUGACCGAGGGAACGAGAACCGAGGGGAUUAGAGUCCAUUACAACAUUAACCCUUUCAGCUUGGUGUCUAGAAGUGGGAUAGAUGAAGUGGAUCAGCAAAACCAUUUGCGGUGAGUAGCCUUUUUGUGUCUUAUUUGACGCUGAUUGUCUAUGACCCCCCUUUGGUUCAGUAAGUCUGUAUCCAGUAGAUAGGAAAGGUGUAAGGACUCUAGUUAUAUUGAGACUGUAAAUAGGUCUCCGGUUUAUUAGACAUUUGGUCUAAAUAUAUAUAGGGUUUUGGUAACCCAGGUUAGUAUCUAAGAUAGAUACAGGUUUUUGAGACCAUAAGAGGUCUCCGGUUUAUUAUAGGGUUUUGGUAACCCAGGUUAGUAUCUAAGAUAGAUACAGGGUAUCUCAGGUAGAUACAGGUUUUUGAGACCAUAAGAGGUCUCCGGUUUAUUAAGUCUAUAGGUGUUCUGAUCUAUAAGUAUAACCCAAACUUCUCUUUCUCCCGGUCACCUUUGUUUGUCUUAAGUGUUUUUUUUUGUGGGUGAUUGUUUGUCUAUAUUGGGGACACACUUUGGUAAGUUAGUAGUGUCCCCACUCUGAGUCAGCAGUAUGGGAAAUGUGAGUUCAUGUCCUGAGUGACCAAUAUAUGUACAUGUAUAUGUGUGUGUAUGUAUAUAUGUGUAUAUGUAUGUAUAUAUGUGUGUGUAUAUGUAUAUGUGUAUAUAUAAGAUAGCAGUACUUUUAAACAAAUGGAGGUUUUAAAAAUACAUAGGGAUUAAGGAGAGAACGCAGGUAACUUGUUUUUCUUUGGUUUUUACCAUAUAUUGGGGCUGAUGUGUACUGUAGUCCUUGCUGCUGCCCAGUAGUGAUGGGAGUGAGCGCAGGACUUAUCUUUCUGCAAGAUAGCAGUACUGUAUAUUAGAAAAGAAAUGACUCAUAGGUUGUACCUGAUAGACCUACUUAAAUCUUUUUGCUUUAUUCUUUCUGUCGCAUAGAAGUAUAAGUUUAUUACUCUGUUUUAUUGUAAGUUAUUUCACAUGGGAACUGUGUGCCUGGAAUGAUUGUUGCUUUAAAAAUACUAUAAGCCCACUACACUUAUUAUGAGAGUGGGAUAGUGUAAAUGUGUUGCAUUGUUUGCAUGAUGAGCUCAGUAUAUUUUAUAACUGAGACAAAAAGUCACUUCAUUAGUAUUUGAAAGUUAAUUCCCCAUAUGGGAUUAAUUGUAUAGAAACACCAAUCAGCACAUCUUCCCUGCCCUCUGUGUUUGUUGCAAAGGAUCCAUACUGUAAAUAUAAUUUUUGUUUGAAAAUAACAGAGCAACAUUUACAUUUUCAGCGGUCCAACACAUGCUUCAUUUUGCACUGUAAACUAACCUUUUUAUUGCAACAGGUUCCUUUUAAAUGAUCCAGUGUAAUAACUACUGCUUGUGUCUUCUAUGUCUCACAUUAUGUGAUAUUUUAAAUUGUGGUAUAUAGCCUGAAUCAGACAUCAUGGACAAAGGUUUUUACCUGUGUUACUAAGGGCUCUUGGAGACUGACCGGUCUAAAGGUUUGCCAUGCCUUUAAAACAUGGUAUAGUAUAAAUUUUUUAAGUCUCUGAGAGCUCUGAAAGAUUCAGGUGAAACCAUGUCUGUUUAAUCUGGUCCAGAUGUUUGUUCAAUUUCUAUAGGAUUUAAGUUGAUGCAGCAUCAUCUCAGAUUAGUUAAUGGAAGUUUUAUACAAAUAGUUGAGUUAUGAGCGCGCUAUAUAAAUGGAUCCUUUCUUUAAAUACAAUACUAUAGUAGAUUAAAGUAAUGAAGUUAAUUAAGAAAAUGUAUACAUAAGAAUCCCUAAAAUAAAUCUAAACUAAAAUUGGUAUACCUUCCAAUAAUAUGUUCUGAAUACAGCUGUUAACUGUUUAUUUUGUGUAAAUGGUAAUUGUGAUAAUGUGUGAUAAGUGUGCAGUUUAACUUGAAAGUGGUUUAAUUUAUGUUGCUGUAUUGUUUUAAAUUAUAUGUGAAUCAGUUUGUCACAGUCUAGUGAUACUGAUAAGAAUGACAGCCAAAUAACCUAGCAAAUAACUGUUUUAUUAGUUGUUGAAUACUAGCGUUUUGGCCAAGAAUAGUUGGAGAUUUGGAGGUGUUAGUUAAGUGUUCUUGCAUAGCAAGACCACUUAAUGUUAUCUCACAUAUAUAUUAUUAUUAUUAUUAUUAUUAUUAUUAUUAUUCUUAUUAUAGCAAAAUUUGCCACCCUAACUCCUCCCACAGUUUUUACACUACAUAGACAAAAAUUUACCAAAACGUGCAGAUUGUUCCCGAUCGGAUUGCUAUUACUUUGUGGAACGUUUCGCCGAAUGGUUCACGGAAUAUCGUCGUUCUUGUGGCGAAAUUUGUCCCAUAGGAAUGAAUGGCAAAGCUAGAGUGGGAGCUAGCAAAAGCUGAAAAAUCAGGACAUGAUUUCUAAACUGCCACCACUCCCUUAUUUUCAGGCCCACCUACACAAAUCUUAUAUCAAAACGUUCAGCUAUCCCUGCUGCCACUAAACAUGUCAACGGCUAAGCCAUAGUCCUGAUAGUUUUCACAAUAUAAUCAUUUGUUUGCAACUAACGCCGUCCAUUGACUUUCAUUGAAACUUCACUCUGCAAAGCUCAGAUUUGAAGUGCAAUUUCUAAACUGCGACUGUGCCUUCAAUUUUAAUACUUCAGAGACAUACUAUGCAUCAAAAUGUAGGUCUGGGUCUUGUGAUUCUCACAAUAUAAAGCUCUUCACUGUAGGAGUUAUAGUUUUUAAGAUACGACCGUUUGAAGAUGGCAACCGCCAAAAUACUCUGACCUGUGUCAAGCUGCAGCAGCAAGUGAUGUCAUAGACAGGGCCUUUUAAACACCUGCUAAUGUUUUUAUAAAUGUAUGGUUUAAUGUAACUGUGCAACAACAUUGCAAUUAAAUGUGCUAUGUAAAUGAUAACAGUUACUCCGCCCACUCCAGUUGUAGACUACAGGUGGAGGCAAGAACACUUCACACAAUUUCCCCAGAAAUUGUAACUUUUCUAGUUUAAGAUUGCUUUUAUAUUGUGUCUAUCCGUGUUUCCUAGGAGGGAGACAGAGUGUGUAGUUGUGUGCCCAUAAAUGUGAUUUCUGUAUUGGCAUAUCUGCUGGGUACCCAUUAUGUGUUUCUACAAAGAUAUUGCUUUGUGAGAUGACGUGUAAUAUUACAUGGGAUGCUGAGUAUGAGUUAUAUGGUUUGAAAUGAAUUGGUGAUUAUGAGCUUAGUACUUCAGUAAGAUGUGCUAAAAUUUGGAACAAGGUGGAAGCUGAAAUGUUGGGAUUAUGGAAGAAUAAGCAGUCUAUAUUCACUGCUUUGGCAUUUAAGCGGGAUGCAAAGGAAGAGAUUGGUAAUAUGAUUUUUGUAAAGAAAUUUUACAAGUGUUGGAAGGAUGAGGCAGGUUUGAUGUCUGGAGAUGAUAUAGAUCUUUUUAAAAUACAGUCAUGCCUUGGUAAUAUGUUGCCACAGUAUUCUUUGCUUGUGAAACAAUUGAUUUCAGACUGGGCCAAUUUGGAUAGCUCAGAGUUUCUUACCAAGGUUAUAGAAAAGGAAAAUGCAGGUUGUUUUGAAUUAAGAAAAGAUUUAGGAAAGUAAGGUUGCUUAUUAUGCUCAGGGAUUGCAACAUAUUAUGUCCAGCUACACAGGAUGAGAGCAAGGAUGGGAUGGAGCACAUAAAGCCCGUGGAAGGGGUGGUCAAAGAGGGGCAAGGGGAUGGAGACAGGGAAAUCAGGGUUAUAGGGGCAGGGGUAACCAAGGAGGAAUAGAUAGGAACACUUGUUUCAACUGUGGCCAAUAUGGCCACUGGAGGAAUGAGUGUCCACACCCCAGGAAACCCCAGGAAACCCCACACACCCCAACAACCCCACAAUUCUCAAAAUAUGCCCGGUAGGCAAGAACAACACCAGACCCACUCCCAACACCACUGGCCAGCAUAUCGCUUAAUUCAGGACUUUAGAGCCCUGAAUAGUUUAAUUGUGCCCAUUUCACCCAUUGUCCCUGAUGUGACAUCCCUCAUUACAGCCAUUCCACAUGAUGCCACUUGCUUCACUGUCAUUGAUUUAAGUAAUACAUUUUUUUCUAUACCUAUUGAUCAAGAGACACAGCUACUUAUGGUUUUUACUUUUUGAAGGCUGCCAGUUUACCUGGACACGCUUACCCAAGGCUAUGUGGAUUCCCCAGCUGUUUAUUCGUUGGUACUCCAACAUACUCUAAAAAACAUGGACCACCGGUCAUGGUUCCGUCCUUUUUGCAAAAUGUUGAUGAUUUGUUGUUAUGUAACCCUAGCUAUGAGGCAAGCACUGUGGAUACUGUCAGCAACUAUAGGUCACAAGGUUGUUAAACACAAAAUGCAAUUGUGUAAAUCAAAGGUUGAAUACUUAGGUUUUGUUCUGGCUUUAGGCACCAGACAAUUGAGUCCAAAAUGUAUUGAGGUCAUUCAGAGGAUUCCUACACCCACUAUUCGGAAGGAGUUGCUCACCUUCCUCGGCAUGAUUAAUUACUGCCACCAUGGAUCCCUGAAUGCUCCCAUUAUGACUCAAUCCUAAGGGAGGCUGUACGUUCUGACAGCCCUGAAAAUGUCUGCUGGUCACCAGACAUGCUAGCUGCAUAUAUUGCCCUUACAGUUGUUAUUGUGCAAGCCCAGGCUUUAGGACUACCUGUGUAUUGUAAACCAUUUCAUUUGUAUGCUUGGGACAAUUGUAAAACCAUGGCCGCAGUCUGUGCACAAGAGCAAGGAGGCGGUAUGCGUCCCAUAGCAUUCUUUUCCAAAGUAGUUCGAGCUCCGGUACAGGGUAUGCCGGCGUGUCUCAGAGCAUUGAUAGCAUGUGCAAUGGCUGUUGAAACUGCUACUACUAUCACACUAGGGCAUCCUACAAUACUUCAUGCCAGUCACCAGGUCACUCAGCUGAUAAUAAAUAUCACCAUACAACACAUGACAGCCCAGCGCUUCAGUGGUUAUGAGAUUAUUUUUUUAAUACCCAGAAUCUGUCUUUUGGAUUAAACAAGGUUUAGAGAAAGAUCAAAAUGAUCUGUUCUCUAAAGAGGGGAGAAUAGGCAUACUUGAAGAAUAGGCAUACUUGAAGCAAGCUGAUUUAUUUUCAUCAGUCAGGCACAUAGCAAGCACCAUUCAAUUCUUCAUGAAUUCAUUUUAUAUUAGGAAUCUCAGGCAGCAUGUACAGUCUUUUGUAAGAUCGUGUGAACACUGCUCUUUUUACACACUUACAGAUUGAUUUUAUUCAUGUAUCCAAAAUUGGUAAGAAACAGCAAUACUUACUGGUCAUAGUUAAUCAGUUUAGUAGAUGGCAUGAGGCCUUUGUGACAUCUAGGGAGGAUGCUAGUGAAGAUUAUUGUUACUGAAAUUAUUCCCAGGUAUGGCUGCCCUCUGCAGAUUGGCUCUGAUAAUGGCCCGGUUUUUGCAAGUAGGGUUGCCCAGGAACUUGCUAAAUUCUUGCAAGUUACCUGGCAGUUUCAUAUACCCUAUCAUCCACAGAAUACAGGGGUAGUUGAAAGGAUGAAUAGGACUAUUAAGGAAAAGCCCAGAAUUUACCCAGGAACAUGGGUAAAUUGGACUAGAUAUCUACCAGCUAUUUUAGCUGAGAUAAGAGUGAUUCCUCACAAGGUGACUAAAUUAUCUCCAUUUGAGAUUUUGAUGGGAUGACCUUUUCCCACACCCUGGGCCAGGGAACUGCUUGUUAUAAUGUCUGGGGAUUUAAAGCUAAUACAAGAACAAUAUGUACAGGAAUUGUUGAUAAAACCGAAUGGUAUGUAUGACAAUGUUUCUUCGCAGUUUUCCCUUACCUUCACAGGAACCUACUCAUUCAUACCAGCCCGGUGACAAGGUGUAUAUCCGUCAGUUGAACAGGACCAAGAAAGGAGGAUACCCUUUUGGACCACCUGCUACUGUGAUUGCUGUACCCAGAACCGCUGUCCUCACAGAUUCCCACGACAUCUGGAUUCACGCAUCCCGAGUGAAGCUGUGUCCAAAGAGGGGAACCAAGGAAGACAACACCACUCCUCGCUCGGAAACAGAAGAAUUUCUCCUCAGCGAAGCAUCAUGGCUUUUACACCAUAUCGUAGAUUGAGAGGAUCAUACGUACCUGAGACCAAGAUUAUGUUGUGCGCUAUGCUUUCUGGAGUUGUUAUACUCCCUCUGAUAUUGUUCCUUGAAUGCCAUUAUGAGUACAAGUCAAUGGCAAGUUCUGGAAAAAGACUCUGACAUGAUGAACAAUUCUUCAAUACCCCAGCCCAAUUAGGCCUUAGCCCCUCAUCUAGCAUUCGUCACACACGCCCCCUCAAGAACCUUUCUCCACCACCUUUCUAUCAGCAUGCAAUAUGCAAUCAUUCAUUGACUGAACGCAUUUGGAUGAAUUGGACAAAUAGUAACCCUUAUAAGUACCAGUUACCCAUAUGAAAUGUGUCUACAGCUAAUGAAACCGAUGCAUUAUGUUUGUUUAAAGGUUCACAGAAAAUUGUUAGAUCUUAUAACGCAGAAAUGUGCACAGUUAAGGUUGCAUAUCAAUGUAAACAGAUAGGCCUUAUUACUUUUAAUAAUGAUUAUAUAACUGGUAUCAUUAAUUGGAGAAGGGGACAAAUGUUAGUCAUUAUGAACAACACUACAAUUGAGAACUAUACACUACCUUAUAUUUUUACACCUUAUUACUGUCCUUUAUCCUCUACCAUAGAACCAAAAGUCAACAACGACACACACACACCUAUUCCGUCCACAUGUGUUAAUACAACUGCCUUCUUACAAGCUGUACAUGUGUCAUUAAAAGUCACUACUCUUGUUGUAACAUUAUGUAAUACAACAAACAAAGGCAGAAAAGGGAAUGGUAUGACACACUGUUAGAUGGUGCUGGAACCACUAUGGGUAUACUAAAUAGUUAUAGAUAUGGAGACCCUCAAGAAUAAGUUAAACACAGCCAGCAUGCAUAUAGGGACUGGUUUUCAUGCUAGUGCAAAUUGGGCUCCAAUUGUUGUUAAAUCACAGGUUAUAGGAUUGGAUUUAGAUAAUUUAACUGUUGCAACUAUGAAAUUCACAACAGGUCUAAGUAACUGGAGUACUUGUGCCAUCAGGUAUUUAUGGAUACAACAAGGAUUGGCAUUAGAAAACACACUAAUGAUUCCUAAACUAGAGAAGAUUAGAGGGAUGCUUAACCUCACAGAUAAUGAAUGGUUACUUCUAAAACCCCAAUCCACUAAAUGCAAUGGAUGGUUAACUGGUAAUGCUUCACAUUUUUUCAUGCUCUUGCUAUUUUACAUUAUAUCAUACAUCAUCAAAGGAUGUUAAAUUAGCUUGUCAAUUUAACACAUUACCAGUACCAGUUUAUGAUCUUUUUGCCAAGAAUUUAACCUGGUGGGCACCCACAUACACAGGGGACUAUAUUUUUCCCAAAGAUAACACACACAGGUAGCCACACAUAUCCUAAAAGGAGAACUCCUUAAGGUGAGUUCACAAAUUCAGAAUGAUUUAGCCCAUCAUUGGUACGAUGCUUCACUGGUUGGUCCCCUACUGGAUCUCAGAUAAUGAAAUCAUUCUUCUAUCAUUUUGUUAUUAUAGUCCUGAUUUUAUUGUGUAUGAUUUUAUAUAACUGUCACCUUACUUGUACAUUGAGGAAGAGAGUACAGAAAUGAAUCCAUAAUGCAGAACAGAAACAAUUAGAAAUUCUCCUCUCUGCCACUGGAGGGUAUCAACCCAUCUUUAAACUGGGCCUUAGGAAUUACCACAUGGGAAUCGAGGUGAAGAAAUUAAUGAAAGUCCCGCAGGGAGUGACUAGCACCCCUGAAAAUACCAUGUGGAAGUUUCUCUGUCCUGGUAAGAUUUUAUCGAUAAGAUGAGCAAUUGUUUUAUUGCUCAAAGAGGGGAAUGUAAGAAUAUUAAAUAGUUAACUUGUUUAUAUGUAUUUUAUGCUUUUAUAAGGUUUAUAACAUGAUUAUUGCUGACUGAAGGGAUAUUGUACAUAAUAUGCUGACUGUGACAGACUAAGGUAUUUCUUCUAUAGGAUGUAAGACAAUGCUAAAUUUCAGGAUGUCUUGCCCAUUCCGAUUUUAAGGAUAUUCUUUUCCAGACGUAUGCAAAAGCUUAUCUUUCCAUUGUCAGAAUAACGUAAUAUAAGGAAGUAAUAAAUCUUAUAGUCUGUACUGUAUUUGCAUAUACCAUGGCUAAUGUAAGCAAACUAUGUAUAAAAGCCAGCUCUGGAAUACACUCAUUUGAGAGUCUUGUAAAGCUGUUGUCCGUGUGUUAAUGCUUACAAUGAUCCUCCAUCAACGUUGAUUAUGGUGACCGAGGGAACGAGAACCGAGGGGAUUAGAGUCCAUUACAACAUUAACCCUUUCACUACUGA
rnacentral:lncRNA from 1 species